AUGCUUUGGAAUCAUUUGAGCAUCAAGAAUAUGAACAUAUAAAGUAGUUAGACAAGGCAAAUUGUUUAAUUCGUCAAGGCUUGCAUUUUUCCUCUCAGUUUCAACUACUCCUUCCUUUUCCCAUUCAACAAAGCUUCCACCCAUAUAUAAUUCUUCUAAUUUAGACAAACUUGAUAAGACAUUUGGUGGGAUGAUUUCGAGUUCUGUACACCAACUCAAAUCUAACAACCUUAAUUGAGUCAAUUGUGCCAUCGCCAUAGGUAGUUCUUUGAUACCUGACUCAGAAAGGUCGAGGAUUUCUAAAUUCUUGCGCUCUCCAAGGAUGGUUAUGUCAUCAACUGCACAUUUUUUUAGACACAACAUGCGAAGGUCCGUGAGGUGAAUAAUUGAUUCAGGUAGGGAUGGAAACUGCAUUCCGAACAAAUCUAAGACUUUGGAGGAAUUUUAACUGCACGGGCCAUAUGGAAGAAGGAAAGACCUGAACACUCCAUCUCCUUAGGAAGGUUAGCUAUAAUCUGAGGACAACGUAAGCUGAUCACACUCCACCUAUUCAUUUUCUCCUUAUCGGACCACUCCUUUGGAACAUGAUCUCUCAAAACAAGCAUACGAUAGUCCUUCAAUGCAAUAGCUAAAGCAGCAUCCCAAACAACAUCAUGGAUAUCAAAGCGCUCAUCAUCAUAACUAUCAAGCAACAAGGCAGACGCUUUGAGAUUAGCCACAACCGUCAAUACUUUAUUUCUAGCUUCUUCCAUAGUGUGGACACCCUCAAAUAAACCCAAACCUAGAGUAUAUCUUACCAAGUCCUCAACAGACCAUUAUGGCCUAUUACACUGCAAAGCAAGAAAGUCAGCUUAACUUCCUCGCUUUCUAAAUAAUUAAAACUCCACUCUAUAGCUGAACGUGCCGCAGUUAUCCCCGUGAAGUUGCUUGACGAAGGCUUCUCCAGUUCUCGUAAAGCAUUCUUCCAUUCAAACAACCUUUUGUUUCUCAAAGCCCCUGCAACUGUCGCAAUGGCUAUUGGCAAUCCUGCACAUUUUUUGGCUACCUCCAUAGCUAUAGGCUUCAAAUCGCAACUUUCAUCACAGUUGCCAGCCAUCUUCUUGAACAGGUCCCAGGCUUCCUUUUCAUUUAAAAACCCAAUGGGAAAAUUUUUCUGAGCAUCCAUCCCAUUUACUAAAACAUUGAGCUCUCUAGAAGUUAACAGCAACUUGCAGCCCUUGUGUUCAUCUCCCAAAGGAAUCCCUACUUCCUCAAUAUCUAACUUUUCCCAAAUAUCAUCCAACACAACCAGAAUCCUCUUCUCCUUCAUUCUUUCUCGUAGUCGAAAUGCCUUUCCAACCAUACUCUGUUCCUCAAAUUUCAAGCCCAAGAAGUCUGCAAUUUGGUUCUGAAUCUUCUCAAUAUCGAUGGCUUGAGUUACGGUUGCUAUGACAACCGAAUCAAACAACUUGCCCUUGACUUUCUAGCGAUUUCUUUGACCAGCGUUGUUUUUCCAAUCUAAAUUUAACUAAAUAAAAAUAAAAGUCUCUUUAUUUUCAUGCCCCUCUUUUUCUAGCUCCUACUCCUUAGUACUUUUGUGCCUUAAUAAUUCAACUUUCUUUGGUGCUAUAGGGGUAUGGAGGGAAAAAUAAUAAUUCAAUUUUCUUUCACUUCACAUGGAGGUCACCAAAACGUUAAUCCAAAUUGCGGAGCUAUACCAUUUUGUACAUAAAAGACUUGCUAGCUUGGAAUGGGUAAAAAUAAUGUGAGAGUAACUUUAAAUAAUUAUAUAAAACAUCCUUUUUUUUUUUAUUUCAAAGAUUUUCUUUUUUGAAAUUUACUUACCUAUGAAAUUAAAAUAAAAAACAUCUUUUUGAUAUUGAACAAAUUGGUCACUCUAAAAGAAAUACAGUAAUUUAAUCAUUAUCAAUUUUGAAAGUAACCACGAACAAUUAAUCAAGCACUAAUAGUUUCUGUUAAUUAUACAUAAUUUUGAUUAGUAUAAAAACAAAUUUAAUCCUUGAUGAGUAUACAUUUUGCGUAAAUGCUGAUAGAAUGUGUAAUUAUUACGGGUUAUAUAUGUUAAAUCAUGAUCAAUUAACUGACGAAAUGUGUAAAUGUUGUGAGUUAAAUUUGUUAAAUCAAUAAUAAAUUGAUAGAAUGUGUAAACUUUAAGGGCUAAAUUUAUCAUUAUACCAAGAAAAUUAUGUAUAAUUGAUGAAAAAUAUUAACGUUGUGAUUAAUUGUCCUUAAUUUAUCACUUUUAAAAAUAAAAAUAAUUGAAUAACUCUUAUAUUUUUAAAAAUACCAAUUUUUUCAAUAUUGAAAUUGAAAAAGAUUAGAGACACAUGUUUUAAUAUAUUUAUUCAAAUUGGAGUAAUUUUGAAAUCAAUUACCAUUCUUCAUUUUAAUAUAUUUCAUUAUUAGUUGCUUGUGUUCCUUUUUUUAUGGUUUAUGCAUGCAUUGUGUUUGGUAUUUUUUUUUCAACAAUGAGCAACAUAGACAACAAAUAAUGAAAUAUUAAGCACAUAAUACAAAUCCUGAAUAUGAAUUAUAAAACGGAUAUAAAAAAUACAAAUAAAAAUUAAGACUAGACUCAGCCACGAAUGAGAAAACUACCUUUAAGGGAAAGCUGUCGCAUGAGAUGGCUUGGAACAUUUGCUAGAGCAUAUUUUGGAACGAUUUCAAACUGUUCCGAGGAGGUUGGAGGGUCUUGGGCUCUUCACCUUUCGUAACAAAUAUAAAUCUGCCAUUAUCGAAGUGCAUUAAUCCUUUUGUUUCUUUUGCUAGCAAUUUGGGGAGAGGCUCCUACAAGGCCAUCAACUCUUAUCGCAACAAAUUGAUUAGUGUAUCAGAUUCUCAUCAAUUAAAGGGUGUUGCUUGGAGCAAAGCAUCAAAACACCUUAAGAACCAAUCCAUAACCAAAUGGACUGUUACACUAAUAAACCAUAAACUUCAUGGAUUGGAACACUUAGUUAAUUAUGGAUGAAAGCUGGCUUGGAAAUUCAUACUUGAGACCCGCCAACCUUGCAACGUAUAAGCAAGACAGUCAACCGUAAAAAUCAGAGGAUCAACAACCAAAUGGCAACAAUCAGUAAUGCCUACAACUGAAAAUGUAAAACUUGAUCAGAAUCCACGUAACAUUAUUCUUCCAUCAGGCAAAUACCAACAACCCAUUGAUUCAAUUUCAGCCGUCUUUUCAGAAUCAGCCGUAUCAUUAAUAGAUAGCUGCCUACUUUUAUCCCUCAUUAGGGAAUAAUAUAUAUAUAUUAUAUUUGUGAAGAUACUUGAUAGCUUUAAGCUGACAUUGAUAUGGUAACCAUCAAAAGUUGGCAAAUCCUUAAAACAGGGGUCAACCUUACUAGUAAAAGUUUACAUGUUUGUAGCCCAAUGCCAUGCAUGAUGCCCUUGAAGUUCAAUUUUGAGGGUAUAAUGUGAAAUGGAACAGUUCAAAUAGUAGUUUUACAAAAACUGAAAUAACCUUUCACAUUUUACCAAAAGUUGCAGCCUCGUACUUCAGCAAAGCAACUCAACCUACAAUGAAAAGGGCGUCUCUAUGGUCGCUUUAUAAAGCAUUAUUUAAGCUAUGAUGAAAAUAGAAGAGUCAAUUACCAUUUGUUUUGAAUUCAAACGAAAUUGAGCUUUUCGCAUAAGCACCAAACAUAUUUCCUUAUUCCAGCUUGGGCGACCGAUCAGUAACCUCCGUCACCUCAGAAUUUUGCACAUUCUGUGCAUCAUCAUAUCAAACCAAGAAUUGUUCAAUUAACUAUGUAUGUAUGUAUGUAAAAACACAUGAACUUAAAUCCUUUAAAUGAUUUGUACCAUUUCAUCGAACAUAUGUUUUAUGGUAGUGUUAAGGUCGCCUUCCCACUGCAGUUCACCUUCCUCAUCUCUUGUUAAGUGCAUUUGUUCCAGCCUUGGUGUGCUUAAAUCUCCUUGGCAGAAAUUCCUCAUUUGGGGGCACUUUGUCACCAUCACCAUUAGCAAGACUGGGAAUUCCAGCGAGUAAUGGGCCAAGGAAAAGCUUGCUAGACAUGGCAGACAACUUAGUUCCAAAUACUUCAGUUUGGGAAAUACAAUGCCCCCUUGUAUUUCUUCAGCCUCACACGCUAUGAUUUCCUCCAUCAUCUCACAAUCAUCUAUGCUCAAUCUUUCCAGUAGCCUCAGGCACUUAGCCGUUGAGCAUGCGAUUAAAUUGAUGAACCCAUCGCAUCUUGAAACUUUCAGUGUUGUUAGAUUUUUGAAAGACAGCAAAGAUGGUUCAAAAGUCUUUAACGUCAACUCUGGAAGUUGAGACAAACUUAAUUCCUUUAGCUGAUAGAAUGCUGAUGUAUGCCUUUCCUGGUCGCUGAGUCCUUCAGAUUGUACUAUUUGACAAAUGGAAGCAUUGUCUAUAACAAGCUUAUGAAGCUUUGGUAGUGACCGAAUAAAGGAAUACGGAAGAGUAGUGGAUGUCUCAGGAAAGAAUUGGAGAUUAAGAUGCUUAAGGUUUUGGAAACACUGCAAUGAGAGUUGUCCAUCACAUAUCCCCUUCACCAUAUCAUUCGUCUUCAGUGUUAGUUCUUCUAAUACAGGGAAAGUGUCCUGGAUGGCAACGAAUAUAUUAAACAUCGAUCAAAGAGUUUUCAAUUAGUAAGAACUAGACUACAAAAUGAAUAUAAUUUCCGUUUUCUUUCUCAUAAAUUUAAAAGGAAGGUGAGAAUAUUAGUUAUUUCAAAAGGCAUUUUAUAGGUAAUCUCAAGUAAUGAACAUGGAGUAUGAAACUGUUAGUGAGCUCACCUCAUUGACGGAAAACAAGGGUUGUUGGCUUGAGAUUCCAUCCUGACACUCAGGACAUUGUGGAGUAAAUAUCUGUACUUUGGGGCAUUCAAUAAUGUCCAUUUUUUUCAAUGAAGGCCACCGGGUGGUAUGCAUCCUAGAGUAGAAACUUUUCAAUCUCGGCACCUUAUCCAAUCUGAGUUUUACUAGUUUGGGAAAUACAAACUUGGUCGUCUCUGUUUCAGCCAUAAUAGAUUGAGCAGCUGAUGUUGACUGUGACUCAUCAGCAAUGACUCCUUGCAGCUCAAUAAUUUGUUCUAAGGAAUCACAAUUCUGAAUCCGCAACUUCUUCAAACUAGGGAAAACAACCUGCUAAAUCAUUUCAUUAGGUUAAUAACUGAAAUAUGCAUGGAAAAGAAAGAACUUGAAAUGAGUAAGAUCAAUUGAAGUAACAUAAAUUAAAAGGAGAACCCGUAAAGAAUUGACCUUUUCAUUGAGGAGAGAUGAGUUAUGAACCUCCAAGUUACUAGCUUGUACAUGUUGGCCAAUUUCAGGUUCAUCUUCGGAUACACAUUUAGUGAUGAAUGUUUUUAGCAAUGGACAAUUUGUUAGUUCUAAAUCUGUCAAACAUUGGAAUUCAAAGUAAUUUUCAAAGCACAAACUUGUGAGUUUGGGAAGGUCUUCUAGCCAGAGCAUUUCUAGUUCAGAGAAAAACAUCUGAUUCCUCCCUUGAUGUUCCUCAACCAAUCCAUCCGUGAAUAUUACUUGUUCCAUCAUAUUACGGUCCAAAAUUGCAAGGUCUCGGAGUUGCACAAGAUCUUUUACCAAGAAAGACGGGAACAGGUAUUUCAAAUUGUGACACCUCUCCACUUGCAAGGUUUUUAGGCAUCCGACAGAUGGGGAGGAUGGGUGGUGCCAUAUCUCAUGAAUGUUAACGAAGGACAAUUCCAGAUGCUGCAAACGAGGAAUGACAACCUGUUGACAUAAAUUUCAUUAUAAGAUAACAUCAUAACUCUUCCUUCGUUACUUGUAAAUAUAAUCAAAAUGAGUAGAUGAGUAUAAAGAUUUUUAAACUGAUAAGUUAAGGUUAAUAUUCAAACAUCAACUCACUUGACAGUUAAAGUGAUAAAUAUAGCUAGGAGACGUGAACCCUUUUUUUUAGAUGAAAUGUUCAGCAGCAUAAAUCUAACCUAAAGCAAAAUUUGUUUUUUUUUUUGUUAAAUAAAAAAGCCUUUUUUCUAUAAAACCUCGAGCUUUCAUAUUUGCUAUAAUGGUUGUUGAAUGAUUAUUAUUAAUGCAAUUCGACAGGGGAAUAUGCAUGUUUUUAAUUAAGUUGGACUCACAUAUUUAUGUAGUUUCCAUUAAUGAUUUACAUUAAUUACUUAAAAUAAGUUUUUUAAUGAGUUAACUUCAAAAAUGUUAAGCAUAAUUACCUAUUUAAUCCUUUAAUUUUAUAUAAAAUAAAUCAUUUUAGCUCUCUAUUUAAUUUUUCGUUUCUUUUUAUUUCUUGAAUUUGUAUUAUUUAUUAAAUCAUUCUAAAUGGAUAGAAAAAUCAACAUUUGUUAACUUUACUGAUGUGGUAUGCAUUGGAUUCCCAUAUAGAUACCAUGUCAACAAUUAUUUUUAAUCAUUAACUUGGCAUGCAAAUAGAUUGUUAUGUCAUAAAAAUGAAAAUUCAAUGCCCGAAAGAGGUGAAAACUUAAAUGGAGAGUUUUUUUUUUUUUUUUUUUUUUUGUAAAGUUGGAGAGUCAUUUUAUUGGAAGAGGGAUGAGCAUUGAAGGUCAUUGUCUGCUAUGUCAAGGGAACCAAGAAACAAGAGAUCAUCUUUUUGCAGACUGUAUGUUUGCCAAAACUGUAUGGGGCAGCGUUUUACGGCUUUGUAAUAUUCAAAGAGAAGUUAGGGGGAUGGAAUCAUGAGAUCGGAUGGCUUUGCACAAGACUUAAAAGGCAAAGCUGUAUAUUAGGAUUUUAGCUUUUGAAAAGUGCUUUUCAACUUUGUCGUGAGCAAGAAAGAAAUAGAAGACAGUUUAAAGGUUUGAAUAGUAGUUAGCAGAACAUUUCUAGAAGUACUAAGGAUAUUGUAGGUUUAAGGCUUAGAGGUAAAAAGAUUAAUUGUAGUGACACUGUAAAUAUUAAACUUUGUACAGCUUGGAGUACAGUAGGGAGUAAAUAUAGUGCUAAGUACAGACUUUUUCUCCCUAAAGUUGUAUUGAAUGUUUUUGUAGCAGUUUUACUAGUUUCUUGGAUAAAUAAUGUAAAAGAACAUUAAGUAAAAUCACAACACAUACAGAGAAGAGGAGAAUUUAGAAGACGAGAAUGAUGAUGACUUAACAUCAAACAACUUUAAAAAAGUUUUAUUUAUUAGUAUUUUACUUUAAGUUUUUCCUUAAAUUCUUAUUUUAUAUAUUUAUUUAUACUUUAAACUCCAUUUUUUUUAAAAUAUUAUCUUAUUUAUUAAUAUUUUUAUGAAUUUUAUUGUAUUAAAUUUUGACAACUCGUAGUACGUGACAUUAAUACUAGUAUGUCUAUAUAGACCAGACACACUCAUGAAUUGAUCAAUAAAAAGAAAAUGUGAAAUAAAUUGUGCAGAUAAAUAUUGAAUACCCAACUUACCUUAUUGCUGAAAAAAGUUGCAGUGUUAUCAUAGAUGCCCCCUUCGCCAACCACGCUUUCACUUGCAUCACCACUCUCUCUUGAAACUGAGGAAGAAAAUGCAGUCAUUUUUGGACACUCCUCUAUCGUGAUAUCACUCAACUCUGGAAAUUCAAGAGCUUGACUUCCCAAAUGGAAAUUUGUCAAGUUGGAACACGACUCAAUUUUUAAGGAGAGUAGCGAAAGAAAUGUAAAUUUAUGUGUCAUGGCUUCCUCCUCCUCCCUAACUACUUGUUCCAUUGAACUGCAUUCUUCCACUUCUAUCCUUCGUAGUAGAUUGAGGCUCAAAAGCAUAGACGGAGUAAAUAUGUACUUCAAGCUGCUACAUUUAUAAAAAUUCAGCGAAACAAGGUUUCUGCCCAAAAUUUCUUGAGGGUUCCUAAUCCAUAUUUCUAUUGACUUGGGAAAUGUGUCAGAGAUGUUCAAAUAUUUUCCGUCAUAGAAUCCAUCCUAAAAAAAAUAUGAUAUUAUUCCACUAGAUAGUAAGCAUGAAUAGAAAAUGCAAACAAUAACAAAAUAACUAAAAUUAAUUGUAUUAGGACGGGAAGAAGCCAGCUAGUUUUAUAAACUUAUUAACUUUGUACCUUUUCCGUGUAGCGCUGUCGUAUGGUGGUAUUCAGGUCACUUGCCCAACUCCAUUUCUCACAGUAACGCGACUGUUUUACUCUUUGUAAUUGUGGGGUGCUUAAAACUCCCUCUGAAAAGAUCUUUAACCUAGGACACCGUUCCACAAUUAAAUCUUCCAAACAAGGAAAGUUGAAGGUGUAAUUCCCUGGACAAAAGCUUGUGAGGCUCUGUAAAUAGCUUAGUUCUAAACAUUUCAAUUUACUCACAACUAUUGUCUGAUGGUAGUCUCCCUCGUUUCCCACUAUUUCUGUCAUUUCGGUGCAGCACUCUACCCUCAUUGUCCUUAAUUGCACGCAAUUCUUAAUUACUGAGGGUGUAACUAAGUUUGUCAUCAUUUCGCAAAAAGACACAUUCAAAGUUGUGAGAUUUUGUAAAGAAGAUGAGGAGGCUCUAAUAUUUAUCAAAUCAUCACAUCCCCUAACUGUGAGUGUUCGGAGAUUAGAAAGAAUAUGGUCAAGCUCCGAACCUUUCCUCCAUAUAUGGUUAAGAUUUAUGGCAUUUUCCAAUUCCAUAUUUCUAAUUGGCGAGAGAGUCCCAGCGUCUCCUUUACAAGGGACUGUGUAUUUGAAAUUAAAAUCACAAAGCUUAAAACUAUCCAGAUUGCAGAAUCUUCGGACGAAAGGAAAUAUAGAAGAUCGAGUGCCCCCUCUCACAACUAAAACUUUAAUAUCUUGAAACAAAGCCGAUGGAAACUGGUCCAUAUCACAAAAAUCUAUUAACUCAAGUUCCUCUAAUUUGGGAAUCACCUUGGAAACCAAUUAAACAUAAACAAGUUAGGCACAAUUUUGAUCUAUAUGCUUAGAUUAAGUCCCAACAAAAUCAAUAUUAAAGCAAACGAAACAAAAUAGAAUGCUUUAAAGUUUAGGGACUAAUUUAAAAUAAAUGUUAUAAUUUGGGAUAUCUAGUAUAAUUAACUCUUAAAAUUUUAACUUUUUAUUGAAUGGUUAUUUUUCCUCUGGAGUGAAUGAAGGGUUGGGAUUUAUUUUGUACCCAUUACUUAAAUGUAGGGUAAAUUACAACAAUACUCACUCAAGUAAUAGAAUAUAUUUAUUUUGAUUACUUGAAAACAAAUAAAAUCUCAAUUUAACCACUAUUGUUAAAGAAGUUUAAUAUUUUAAUCGCAAUGGUGCUAAGUCCCUAAAAGGAUGCUAAAGUAGUAUUUUUCUUAUCCUCGAAACUUAAAUUAUCUAUCAAUUUAGACUCGAUUCUUAAAGAUCAAGAGUAGCCAUCAAUAUUUACCUGUUACGUCUAUUCAAUCUUUCUUUUAAAAAUUUUAAAUAUAUAUAUGUAACAAAAGUUUUUAAAAAUACAUAAAAAAUCAAAAAAUCAAAAAAUUAUAUCAAAUUGUUACGUCUAUUCAAUCUUGCUUUUAAAAAUUUUAAAAACAUAUAUGUAACAAAAGUUUUUAAAAAUACAAAAAAUUAUAUCAAAUUGAGAUGCAUGUGACGGUGAUUUAAAUUAUAAUAUCAACCUGAAAUACAUGUGACAGAGUUUAAAUCAUAAAAAGAAAUAUAGUUGUAAUGAUAUACAUACCUCUUCAACCAACAAAACUGGUUGCUCAUUUCCUUGGAUUAAUCUAAGAUGUUCCGAAGCCAGUAUCUUUAGCAAAGAAGAGCAAUCUGUUUUCAAUUUUUUCAACAUUGGCCAGACUAUUGUAUGUUGCCCUUCAUAGAAACAUUUGAGGUUUUUUAGGGAUGUAACCUCAAGGGAAGACACUUGCGGAAAUUCAAACCUCACAGGCUGCUCCUCCACUCCUUCCCCUUUCGAUACAAUCUUCUCCACUCCACAAUUAGUGAUGCAUAAAUCUUCAAGUUGUGGAAGAUCUUUGGCUAUUGACACUGGAAAUAGAUUUUUCAGACUCCCACAUCCCUCAACUCUUAUUUUCAUCCUUUCCAACCUAGGAAAUGCAGCCUAUACAAUAUAUAAUUCAUGCCCAUACAAAAGUUAGCUCAUAUAAUGCAGGCAAAAUAACAAGGACAAAGCAGCUGAUUUUUUUAGAGUGUAAGAGUAAUGAAAUAAAUCACCUUCUCAUUAAAAAGUGUAUGCAUGCCGGACUGCGUACUAGUUUGACUAAUGAAUUCUUUUAAUUUUGGGCAACCCUCAAUCUCUAGCUUUUUCAACAAUGGGAACUCGAUAUUAUAAUUUCCUGAGCAAAAGAAAAUGAGGUUUGGAAGUCCUACUAUAUGCAGGGAGUUUAACCGAGGGAAACAAAUCACAUCUUUCCUUUCUUCUUCAAUUGUCUCUGUAAGUAUUAUGUCCCUUAAGCCCUGGCAAUCCUUUAUCUCAAAGCAUUCGAGCUGCACCAGACUUCUAGCGAGAGAAGGUGAUAACAGAUGCUCCAACUUACCACAUCCUUCGAUGAUCAAGCUCCUCAAAUUCGUAAUCCAAUGACAUGCCUGGUUGUGCCAUAUUAUUUUGGUGUUAAUUGCAAGCUUUCCAAGUGAUGGAAAACAAAUUGCACAUAUUUACACAAUUAUUUUUAUUCUUUAAAAUCUAAAAAGAGAGGAAAGGGAAAGAUAGAAUGUAACAUAAUUUGGAAAUAUGAUUUUAAACUUUAAAGACAAUUUUAGUUGGAAUUGUUGGUUCCAAUUUCAUUUUCAGAAUUAAAAAAAUUUGUUAGGCGGUCAGUUUGGAUUAGAAAUUAAAUUUCCAUUUGUUUUGAGUUUGAAAUUUAUUUUUGAACCUGAAAACCAUUAUACAAUAUUAUUUAUUUUUAUUAUUAGAAGUAUUACUAACUAAAAGUUGUAUAAGAAAUAACGAAUAAAAGCAAACAGAUACCUGUUUAUUGAAAAGUGAUAAGGGCUCGGAAAUAAUGGAACACCUUUCGUCUUGAGAGCAAAAGCUAAUGAGUUGCGGUAGAUUUUCAAGUGUUAUGGAGCAUAAUUCAGAAACCCCAAUUUCAUUCAUUGUAAUAUACUGUACAUGCAUACCAUUUUCGAUAUGAAGUCUCUUUAAAUGUGGAAGAUCUUUCCCAUUAUUUAACUCCACAAGUACGUUCUUGACACCUUCAAGUCCCUCUAGGUACAAAGCUUCAGUCUUUAUCAGCAACAUUUUCAACCCAUUGUCCAAAUGAAUGUUUGUAUAUAACUUGAGCCUCAAUGUUCUCAAACAUUCAUGAUUUUGGUACCAUACAAACCUAUUAUAAUCACCUACACGAAUAACGUAUUUGUCCAAAGUUUCAACGAAUCGAUGCUUUGGAAUCAUUUGGGCAUCAGGGAUAUGAACAUCUAAAGUAGUUAGACAAGGCAAAUUGUUUAAUUCGUCAAGGCUUGCAUUUUUUUUCUCAUUUUCAGCUACUCCUUCCUUUUCCCAUUCAACAAAGCUUCCACCCAUAUAUAAUUCUUUUAAUUCAGAUAAACUUGAUAAGACAUUUGGUGAGAUGAUUUCGAGUUCUCUACACCGACUCAAAUCUAACAACCUUAAUUGAGUCAAUUGUGCCAUCGCCAUAGGUAGUUCUUUGAUACCUGACUCAGAAAGGUCGAGGAUUUCUAAAUUCUUGAGCUCUCCUAUGAUGGUUAUGUCAUCAACUGCACAUUUUUUUAGACACAACAUGCGAAGGUCUGUGAGGUGAAUAAUUGAUUUAGGUAGGGAUGAAAACUGAAUUCUGAACAAAUCUAAGACUUUGAGGCCUUUGGUUUGUUUGAAAAAAUUGGGAGGAAUUUUAACUGCGCCGGCCAUAUGGAAGAAGGAAAGACCUGAACACUCCAUCUCCUUAGGAAGGUUAGCUAUAAUCUGAGGACAACGUAAGCUGAUCAGACUCCAGCUAUUUAUUUUCUCCUUAUCGGACCACUCCUUUGGAACAUGAUCUCUCAAAACAAGCAUACGGUAGUCCUUCAAUGCAAUAGCUAAAGCAGCAUCCCAAACAACAUCAUGGAUAUCAAAGCGCUCAUCAUUAUAACUAUCAAGCAACAAGGAAGACGCUUUGAGAUUAGCCACAACCGUCAAUACUUUAUUUCUAGCUUCUUCCAUAGUGUAGACACCGUCAAAUAAACCCAAACCUAGAGUAUAUCUUACCAAGUCCUCAACGAGACCAUUAUGGCCUAUUACACUGCAAAGCAAGAAAGUCAGCUUAACUUCCUCGCUUUCUAAAUAAUUAAAACUCCACUCUAUAGCUGAAUAUGCAGCAUUUAUCCCCGUGAAGUUGCUUGACGAAGGCCUCUCCAGUUCUCGUAAAGCAUUCUUCCAUUCAAACAAUCUUUUGUUUCUCAAAGCCCCUGCAACUGUCGCAAUGGCUAUUGGCAAUCCUGCACAUUUUUUGGCUACCUCCAUAGCUAUAGGCUUCAAAUCGCAACUUUCAACACAGUCGCCAGCCAUCUUCUUGAACAGGUCCCAGGCUUCCUUUUCAUUUAAAACCCCGAUGGGAAAAUUUUUCUGAGCAUCCAUCCCAUUUAAUAAAACAUUGAGUUCUCUAGAAGUUAACAGCAACUUGCAUCCCUUGUGUCCAUCUCCCAAAGGAAUCCCAACUUCCUCAAUAUCUAACUUUUCCCAAAUAUCAUCCAACACAACCAGAAUCCUCUUCCCCAUCAAUCUUUCUCGUAGUCGAAAUGCCUUUCCAACCAUACUCUGUUCCUCAAAUUUCAAGCCCAAGAAGUCUGCAAUUUGGUUCUGAAUCUUCUCAAUAUCGAUGGCUUGAGUUACGGUUGCUAUUACAACCGAAUCAAACAACUUGCCCUUGACCUUUCUAGCGAUUUCUUUGACCACCGUUGUUUUUCCAAUCCCGCCCAUACCAUGCACCCCAACAACGCUGACGCUAUCAUCUUUUAGUGCCUCCAUUAUUCCGUUCAAAAUCGACAUUCUUGACUCGAAUUCCUCAUAACCUUUAACUGGUGCAACCACGAUACCUUGCGAAGCUGCACGAUAGGAAACCCUUUCAAACUUGCCAUGUUCAAGUAGCUCGGCAACAGCCUUUGCCUCCUCUUCAGCUUUCAGGCUAAGCUUGUAACGGGUCCUGAAAUUAGGACACAAACCAAUGAAACACUUUUUCUUUGCUUUUUCUUCAUCUUGCAUCACUUUCUCUACUUGUUCAGGGAUCUUCCUGUCCACUGCCGACAUCCAGUUGUUAACAUCACGUUCGAUCUCUUCGCCGUUUCGUUGAGCUGCAUCAACAGAAUGCUGCACUCUGUCCCUUGCAUCUUUCAGCUUCUCAGCUUGGUCCUUGAGGGUCUCAACAUAUUGCUGAUGAUUGGAAAGGUAUUUGACAUGGUUUUCGAUAGGAGAGAUCGUAUACUCUACAGCUUUAGCUACAAUAGAGCCAACGAUGGCACCAACAAUCUCCAUCGAGAGAGCAAACUGAAUAACCACAGCGACAACAAAGACCAAAACUUGAAUUAUCUUAUAUAUAUAGUUUUUAAAAAGAACUCAUUUUCAUAAUCUUAAAUAUAUAAGUAUGAGAUUAAUGUUUUACUUUAUGACAAUUAAAGUAAAGUAAUUUUGUUAAUAGAUAAUCUUUUAUUAAUAUAGACAUAUAUCUAACUUUAUUUUUUUAAUAAUUAUCUUUUUUUGAAGGAGUAGGUUUUUUUUUUGGCUAAGCAUUGAAGGAAUAAUUUGUCUUUUACACUUUGAAUAAAUUUUACAACACAUCUUUUAAAAAAUAGUUUUCUAAUUAUUAUUUAAAUUAUUUUCAACUAAUUCAAAAUUAUACCUAUUUCUUAUAUUUUGAUUAAACAGGAGAUUGUUUGGUGUAAUGUUAUUUAUUGUACAAGCAGUAUUAAGAUAUUUAAUUUUUUAAAAUAUUUUACUAUACUUCUAAAAGACAUUUUAUCAACCUCAUGACUUUACUUAUGGAAUUUAAAAACUUCAAUAAUAAAUUAUGAUAAAUCAUUUAAUACACUGCCAAUAGAAUUUUUAGACUCUACUAGCAGGACCAAGGGAUUGAUAAGUAUUUUAUAAGGGUAUAAUAAAAUAUUUAAAGGAAAGAGAGACAUUUCAAUUUUUUAAGGUUACUUGUGGAAUAAAAAAAGUAUUAAAUCCUCACCCUGUUUAUAUUAAUAUUUUUAAUUUAGUUUUUAAUCUUAAUUCAUAUUUUAAAUAUUAUGUUAUAACAAAAUGAAAAUUUAUUAAUAGUAAGGGGAAUGAUCUACUUACGCAAUGUAAAAAAUUAAAGUAAUUUUACACACUUCCGUAAUUAUUUAUAUUAUUAAUAUUUUAAUGAUACAAUCAUUAUAUUAUAUGGUAUAUUCAUGUAGAUCAUAAAUUUCAAUUUUGAUUUAAAUUUAAAACUUCUAACUAUUUAAUUUGUUGCACAUUUUUUAAUUUAGUUAAUUUUUUAAAAAAUAGAAAAUAAUAAAGUAUAUUAAAUGUUUCAAUUUAAAAAAAUAUAUUUACUCCUUAAAUAGUAAUAAUAUCUUCAAAUUUUAAACUACUUGUGCAACUUGCACUAAAUCAUAUUCAAAAAGUAUUUUGGUAAUUUUUUUAUUAAAAUUAAAUAUAUUAACCGCUACCAACAGUGACUAAUUCUCUCGUUACAGGAAUUUUCUGAAAACUAUCAAAGUAUUUUGUUAAUUUAGUUCAAACCAAUUAUAUAUAAAAUAUAUAUUUAAUGUUUGAAUAUUUAAUUUGUUUUUUAAAUGAUUUUUCAUUUAAUUUUAGUACCCUAUCAAACCAUUUUUCCAACCGUUCACCAUAAAAUAGACUUGAUCAUGAGUCGAAUUACAAAGUCCAUCCAAAACAUAAAGAGUUUAGGUAAUAAUAUAAACCCAAAAAAUAAGCUUCGAACAAAAAAAAGAUUCGCGUUUGAAAUAGGCCGAGGCUCAGACAAGAUUUUUUUAGUUUGGACCUGACCCGAAUUUAACUAUUUUUUUGCUGCUGUUUACUGCUUUUAUGUUGUUGUUUUUUACUGUUAUGUUGUUAUUUUGCUACUGUUUUACUCUUAUAUUACUACUAUUUUGCUACUAUUAUUUAGAUAUUGUAUAGCUCUUAUUUUAUUUUUAAUUUUGCUAUUAUUUUAGAAAUAUUUAUUUGCUAAGUUGCAACUAUAUUAGUGUUAUUUAAGUAUAAAAUUUUUAUUUAACAUAUUUCAAUUUAUUGAGAAACAUUUAUUUUAAUAUUUUUAGAGUAUUUCAUGUAUUAUAUUUUUAAAAUUUAUUUUUAUAUAAAAAAUAAUCUAAAAAAUUUAAUAUGGAUGGAUUUAAAUUUAGUAUUUUUUUUAUCUGGGUUGAACUUAAGUAAAAUUUUAUUCCCAUUUUUUUCGUUGAGCCGAGAACGAACCUGAAAAACAAAUCUAAAAUUUUUAUAUUGACCCAACCAUGAUUAGAUCUACUACAAAUCCUCUUCUACAUGAUAAGUCAGUACUCAACCUCUUAAUAACCAUAUUCCAGUAUGUGGAAGGCACAAGUUGUUGAUAGAUCACAAACAAAAGUGCUUAUGCAGCUUUCCUCAUAGUCACCCCUUCUUUCCCUUUUUUCUACGAACUUUAAAGAGUGUUUUCCACAAUCUUUUUAAUGGAUUUUUACUGAAAAUAUGUUUUCUUCUUAAUUCUGAAUUUUUAUGUAACUUUAAAAAGUAAAGAUUAAAUUAAGGCUAAAAAAUUUAUUUGAUCUUUUUAUAUUUGUCAGGUCAACAACACUAAGUGUAAAUUUGAAGGGAAAGAUGAAGAUUUUAAAUCCAAAAAGUACAGGACUCAAAAUCUUAAAGCUAAAUAGAUUUAAAGCAUAAAAGAAGUCCAUUUUCAGGGUUAAAUCUGCCUGCCUAAGCUUAUUUAUACGGACAAGUAUUUCAAAAGAGUAAGAGCAAAGCAGAUGGCGUACCUUUUGGCUAUGAUCAAUAACUGAUAAUUUUCCCCCUUCUUAACAGAGCAAAGGCAGAAAGUAAUGAUUUGAGAAAGAUGACUUCAUCUUACUUUAAAAGAAAGGAAGUCUCGUGGAAACAGCUGAGUAAUGACUAGCCAACCACCAUAAAAUGUCGUAUACCAAAACAUAUUUUAAUGGGAAAAUAUUCGCUUUUACCAACUAAGCAAAGUGGUAUUUUCCAUUUUUAGUUUUGAGAUGGAAAGAAAAUGAGAUUAAGUUUAAUUAUAGGAUUAGUAAAUGACAAUUACAUCAUUAUUAAUUUCAUGGUUUUCUUAUGACCCCAAUUUAUAUAUAUAUUUUAUGGACAUAUAAAUAUUUCAUAUGUUUGCACUAACUCGGAUGAAUUGGUGCAAAUAUAUACUUGUUUUUGACAGAAAUGUUGGCAAUCAUAAAACAUAUAAAUGAUUUUUUACUCUAAUUAUCUCUAUUUACAACUCUAAACUAAAUAAAAUAAAUUAUAUCUAUUCAAUUGAUUGAUUAAAUAUAAUUUAUAUCUAUAUAAAAAAAUUCUAUAUAAUUUAGAUGUAAAAUAUACUAAAAUAGAAAAUAAACUAGAAAAUAAAAAAGGAGUCGAUAAUAUUAGUAAUAUUAUAUUACUAUAUUAAUAUAGAAUACUACAUAUGGAUCCAUACGUCGUUACAUUCCAUUUAGGAUUAGGCUGGGCAUAAUCGGGCCUCCUUUUUACAUAUCUCUUAUUAUUUAAGACCUUAUUCACCUCUUUUCUUUUUUUCUUUUAUUGAAUUGAGAACUUGUUAGAGGAAUCAUUACUGCAAGACAUAGAGGGAAGGUCAUAGGAGUUUAUAUUGUAAAAUUGAUUUUCGGUGAAAUGAAAAAGACAUGUUCGGUCCCUAAAAUAAGUUAUUAAAUAAAUGAAUUAUUAAGUAUCCAAGUAGUAAAUAAAGCUCUUGAAAGGUUGAGUGAAUGAGUUGAUCCAAUUGCAUGAGUAGUUUCAUGUAAGGUCAUUUUCCAAUUUUCCAAUUUUCCAAUUUUUUUUUUGUUUUUUUGCUUUUUCUUUCUUCAACCAAGUAUUCCUCAUAUAAUAUCUAUUCCUUUUGGAAAUUUUAUCUAAAAAGGAGUGGCUAGAAUCUACGAAAGCACACCACUGCCAACGUAGAAAAAGAAAUGCAAUAAUAAAGGAUGUUUUCAAGGCUUACAUAGUCAUAGGAGCUGACAGUAUCCGGUCCCUAAAAUGAAAAAAAAUUCAUGUAUAAUAUUUAUAAUUUAUAAUAUUUUAAAUUAAUAAAAGUAAAAUUAUACUUUGUUCUUCUUUAAAAUGAUAAAAAUUUUGAUUUAAUUCUUUAAAUAUUAUAAAAACUAUUAAAUUAAUUAAAUUGUACAUUUUUACAUUAAUUCCGAUAUCUCAAAAAUAUUUUUUGACUCCGCCACUGUCAAUAUCAUCUUUGAGAGAUACGCUAUUAAUUAAUUUAUAUGUAUGUCAUUAAUAAUUAUAAAAAAUUGACAUAUAUAAAUAUCUUUAAUAACUUUUAAAAUUAAUUGUUGUAAUUACAUCUUGAUCAUUUUUAAAAUUAAAUACUCAAAUAUUAAUUAAUUUUAUUUUUAUUAAAUUAAAAUAUCAAUUAUUCUUAUUGGUUGCAUUUUAAUUCAAGAAAAACUAAAAAAAAAAAACCUAUUUGGUUUUCAUUCCACGUUUCCGCAAGUCACAAUAAAGGAUUUUUUUCAUUAAUAAUAUAAAAUAAAUAAAUAAAUACAGGAUAGGAUAAAAAGAUUAAUAUUUAUGAGAAUAGUCAAAUGAAAUAGUGAAAUACCGGUGCCGGCUAACCAAUCAACGGCAUCACUUUAUUUAAAAAAAUUUGGGUGCAGCUUGAGCACUCGGCCUUACCAGGCUAAAAUGUGAUGAUCUAAAAAUUCCAGGGACCUUAUCUGUAAAUUUUCCGUUUUAAUUGACAGUCGAAAAAUCUUCAUGGGUGCCGCCUGACAGUAUGACAGCACCAAAUUAAAAAGGGUAAAUUCCACCCUAAACCCCCUAUUUAUUAUUAAAUUUUAUUCUCUUUUAACACCAAAAAGAAAUUGGCCUCUUAUCAAUUAGUCUAAAUUUUUUUUUUACUAAAAAGUAUUUUUUUCAAGUAAGUUGAUUCCAACUCGAAGUAAAUUUUAUUUAUUUUUAAAAAAAAAAUCACAUUAUGUUUGACAUUACAAUUAACUGUAUUUAUAGUAGUUUUCUUUUUCUCUCAUUAUAUUUGGAAACUAUAAAUUUAACUAAUAAUUAUAAUUUAUACAUAAUAAGAUUUUUUCUAAAGCUUUUAUAAUUAUAAUUUUAUACUGUGUACGUAAAUCAAAUGGAUAAUAAAAAUAAAUAUAUAUAUUUAAAAUAAAUAAAAUUUAUUUCUAAAUGGAAACGGUUUACUUACAAAAAUAUUUUUUGGUAAAAAAAAUUUAGACUAAUUUAUAAAAGGCCAAUCUAUUUUUUGGUGUUAAAGAAAAAUACUAAAUAAUAAUAAAUAAGGGGGAUUUAGGGUGCAAUUUAUCCUUUUAGAUCAUCACAUUUUAGUCUGGUGUCGCCGAUUGGUCAGAAAACACCGAUAUUUCACUAUUUCAUUUACCUAUUCUUGUAAAUAUUAUUCCCUUUAACCUAUUCUAGUAUUUAUUUAUUUAUUUAUUUUAUAUUAUUAAUGUAAAAAAACCCCACAAUAAAAUGUUCAUAAUAAUUAAUUCUCAAUAUGUAAUAUUGAUUUUCAAAUAUAAUGUUGACUAUAUUUAAUAAAAAUUUAAAAAUAAAAUAAUGUGAUUGAUUUCAUGUUUGAUAUUAUUUCACUUUUAAAACUUUAAAUUUUGAAGAUAUUAUUUGCUAAUUUAUGGUUAAUAUUAAAAUUUUAUUCCUUCAAUUCUCUAUAAACACAUAAAAAUAUCUCUUAUAUAUCACCAAUUUAAUUUAUAACUUUAAACAACUUCAAAUGUCAAAUUUACUAACAUUUUUUAUUCCAUAUUUUUAAUUUAUCAAUGUAUCUAUUAGAGCGAACCUAAUAAUUAACCCUCCACAUUCUAUAGGCCCAUUAACGGGAUAGAUGUUGGUAACGAGUUUUAAAGUUACUCCAUAUCCAGGACAAUGAUCGAACCAUUAACCACCGAUUAAAGUAGAAAAGGCUCUUGCCAUCUCAAGUGUAUAAUAGUUGACAAAGACGUGAAAAAUUGGUAAUUUUUAGUUUUACGAAAUCAACCUUGUGUACACUUUAUAAUUUAUUCUUUUGCCAUUUUACAUUUAAUAGCUAAUCUAUAUUUUAUUUAACAUAUAUUCCCAACAAAAAUUGUUCAACCUAAUUAUUGUAUACUCAAUAUUUUUACUUUUUUAUUAAGAUAAUGAUAUGCAGGGCGAAGUCAAAAAAAAUUUUGGGACAAAAUUAAAUUGUAUAUUUUUAUGAUAAUAAAAAUACAAGUUUACCAUUUUAAUAGUUUAUAUCUUUAUAAUUUUUAAAAGGAUAAAUCAAUUUUUUAUCAAUUUUAGGGGAGGAAAGUGCAAUUUUACCAUUACUAAUUUAAAAUUUUAUAAAUUAUAAAAGACUUAAAUGGAAAAUAUUCUAUUUUAGAGGACUAGGGCUUCGCCACUAAUCAUGUCUAUUUUUCAUUAAAUUAUUUACCUAAACUUUAAAACAUUUCUGUAAAUUUUUGUGUCUUUCAUUAGAUUGUGUGCAAUAGAAACCACCUCUACUCAAUUUAAUCAGUCCAAUUGGUUUAAUUGAAUAAACUAUUAAAAAUUAAAAAUUAUAUAUUUUAAAAAAUCAACUCGGUCGUUUGUUCAACCGGUUCGUGAAUCAACUAGUCUAAAUACUUAUUUUAAAUUGAGACAAUCUAAACUCAAAAUUAUCCAAAUUCUAAAUACUCAAACUUAAACCGGAUCAAAUAGGUGGUAAUCCUAAUCCGAAGAGAGACCGAUAUGAACCCAUUUGUCACUAGUACAUAGACGAUCCUUUGCUUAGAGAAGGAUAUUAGGGAAUGACAAAGUCUAUUCCCUUUCUGCAUGAAAUUAUGGUCCCAAUGUAAACGUUGUGUUUUAUUAGCAAAUAAAGGGUUAGAAAAAACGAGGUAAGUAUUGAAGAAUAAUACAUCGACUCUCUUUACAAUAAUGUACAUUAUUUGUAAGGCAACUAAAUGAAUACAUAGGGAAAAUGUUACUGAAAACGAAAAAAAAAUCAAUUACUGAAAAAUAAUGUAUAACCUCAUAGGUCAGAAUUUGAUUCUUAUUAUAACCACCAAUGCCAAUUUCCUUAAAAUGAAAAAAAAUUUCAUUUAGGCUCCUUUAUAAAUUAUAAAAUUUUAAAUUAAUAAUUGUAAAAUUAUAUAUAGACUAUUAAAAUGGUAAAAUUACAUUUUUACUAUCGUAAAAAUAUUCAAUUUAAUUUCAACCCUCAAAAUUAAUAUUUUUUUGACUUCACUACUAAUAAUCAACUUAGAUACUACAUUAAGCUGAAUGAGAAUUAUAUAAAAAUUAAAAUCAUUUAUUAAAUGAGGAUGUAGGCAUGUUGUUAAAAAGAUAGCCUCUCAUUGUUUUGCAUUGGAUUGAUUAUUUAUUUGUAUUAAAUUAUAAAGUAAAAGAUUUAAAGAUUAAAAUAUACUCGAAGUUUUUACAUACUUCGUACAUUUGAAACUUAGUUUCUUUAUUUUUACUUUCAAAAUUAAAAUUUAUCAAUACAUAAUCAAAGUCGUUAAUCCCACAUCAGAAAGAAAAAGAAUCCUAAAUAAAUAAUCGAGUGCACUGCAACAUAUCUUUUAGGAAGAAGGUAAUUAUCGAAAUACAUAUAUACAUUUGUGAUGGGUCUUGGGCUAUAGCUAGAUCUAUAAUAGAAUAAUUCAAAAUUAGAAAAUUUCAGAUCAUUUCAUCCAAAUCAGUUUCAAAUUUAAGUUUGAAAUUAUUUGAAGUUUAAAUUUUCUAAUAAGAUCAUAUCGAGUUUAUUUGAUCAAAGAUUUAUGUUCAAGUUGAUAAGGUUUUCAAAUCCAAAAAUCACAGAUCUAAUUGCCUUUGAUUCACAAUUUUUGAAGAUAAAAAAGGAAAAAAAAAAACUCAUAACAGUAUAAGUUGUUUAUAUUAAUUUAAAGGUUGAAUAACAUGGGGCUAUAUAUAUAUCUAUUAGUAUUUAACUUGGAAAAUAAUUUUAAAAUCUAAAAUGAUAUUAAAAAGUAUUGAAAAUAAAGUUGUUGGGAAUGACAAUCACAAAUCUCGAAAUGAUUAGUUUUCAUGAUAUAUAAAAAGCGAAUAUAAACAGUAAAAUGAUUAGUGAUUGAUAGUAAAGGAUAGGUAAGCUUACCGUGAAAAUAGUCGGAUUGAGAUCACGGAAUUCGCUUUCAUUUUCGCUUAUGAAUCUUCAGUUGCCCGAUUACGUACUGAAUGAUUACUUUCAUGGUGGCUUUCCUUCCUUCCUUUCUGUUCCAAAUCUGAAAAAUAAAAGAAUAAUAAAAGGGGAUCACUAAUGGCUGUUCUUUACCCCCAUACAUGCCUAGCCUAGUUAUGUUGCUAUAGGCAUAGCUAGUAUGCAGAAGGAAAAGGGCCGAAAGGGGCACUACAAAUGCGAAAGCAGAGCUAUGUACGGAGGGGGACUGGAUUAACACCUAAUCCAUUUGGUGCCAAACAUCAUCUGAGAGAGCAACAUUUGAAUUGAAACACAAAAUUGUGCUCAAGUGGGUCCUUUAUACUAGUGACCUUAGGUGCCUGCUGCACCUUUCUUGCAUCCAAUUGCACAACCCGUCAAUUCAACCCCAAUAUAUCAACUCUCUCUCUCUCUACCCCUCUCUCUUCAUUGCUCACUUGUGCCUGUAUCUGCAGAUAUAUGUGGCUAUAUCCAUUAACACAUUUGUAUCCAAAUUCAUGAUGAAACUCAGGAUUAAUACGUUACAUAUGUUAAUAAGAACAUAUUUUGCAGUGCUCCUAGCAUAGUCUUGUUGUAAGAUAAGUACCAUGUUUCACUGCUAGGAAGUUUUAUGAAGUAAGUAUUAUCUUGGGAAAAUCUUCAUCAAAAGGAAUCGAACCAUAAAAAUUGUAAUAGGUGUUGGACAAAACACGUUAGCGAACAAAAUAAUUAAUUAUAAAUAAACACAUAUGAAAUAAAAAAUAAAUAGAAUGAUUUAUAAUUAAUUUAUCAAAUACAAAAAUCAAAUAAAAAGUUGAAAUAAAGUAGAAUCGAGAUUUUACGAAAAGUUGAGGCCUGUGAAACACAGUUUCCUUAAGGUAAAUUUGGCCACUCCUACAGUACUUGGAGAAACGUUGGUCGAAUGUCUCCCAGGAUACAACAACAACAAUGAUCAAAGUAGUAGCACCUCUACAACGAUCAAGCAAACAAACUUUUUCUUUUUCUAUCACUGGAAUAUUGUAAAAAUACGGAGAGGCAAAAGAAGAGUUUUGAAAUGAACAGAAUUUCAGUAUAGGAAAUUAUUUGAAUGUGUGUGUAAUCCUCCAGAAUACACAGCAUUUUAUAGGCAUUUAGGAUAGUAAAAAAAUUUAGAAAUAAAUAUAAAAUCUGCCAUUAAGGAAAAGUCAAAUUAGAUUUAAAAAUUAAGGAAAUAAACAUAAAAAUCAAUUUGAUUUAAAAUUUAAAUCAAAUUAGAUACUGUCUAUAUAUAAGCAGAUUAUAUCUGCUGAGGAAAAAUAAAUUCUUGUUGGGCUUGCUUAAAAUAUCAGUAAGCCCAAUUAAGCUUGACCGGUCCAAACAUUUCGCAUUGCCCACGUCGUGCGAGUGCACCCCAAACCUUUCAAGUUUAGACCUAUACUUUCUACACACGAGACAAAGUUACAAACUUAAUCAUUCAAUUAUCUUUUAAGAGGGUUCACAUAUAUAAACCCAUCUCACACUUUUGUAUUUAACCCAUAUGAAUCCAAGCCUUUAUUUUUCCUCAACAAUAUUUCCAAGUAGCUUACUUUGAGCAUCAAUUUCUCAUUCAUCUCAACCAUUUUGAGCAUAUGAUAUAUCGUUGUAAAGGUCUCAUAGAGUAGAAUAUGAAACUAUAAUUUAUGAUUCAACUCUCCACUUUUACCUAUAGAGAAUAUGCCUUAAAGUUCCCAUAAAAAUUCAAUUUUUCGAACAACAGGAGUGUCUGCAUUUGUACUUUCAUAAUGGUAAACAAUCAUCGGUAUUCAUGCAUUGCGGGGGGGCCCGGGGGGGGGGGUUAAAAAAAGUUAAGGUAUGCAUUGUUUUUAGUUCAGACUGUAAAAAUUUUAUUGGCCGCAACAAUUGGUUACUUAUAGUAAUGUUAGGGGGGUCUCUUGGAAAUUCUGUGACCACACAAGGGUACCAUACUGCAAAACUUUGCUACCAUUACCAGUAUCAAAUGUGCAUCCCCCCACUUAAACAGCUCUACCUUCUUUCUUUUCUUAUUUUUUUUUUCCCUUUUGAUUUCUUUCUUGUGGUCCUCACAUUUGGCAAUUAUUGGUUCAAACAAGAUAAGCUCAUCACCAUCGUUCCUUAUUAAAAAACAAGUUUCAGUUUCGUCAGUUUUUAUUUUUUUCCCUUUACUGAUAUUUUUCAAAACCUACACAUUGCCUUGUUGUCAAUGACAAAUAUUUUGUUUGUUUAAUAAUGGUGGAUGGUGGCAUUAGAAUAUUACUGACUCGCAUGCUUGUUUUUCUGCGCUGACCUUAACUUGGUUAAAGUCUUAAUCCACUAACAAUGUGGAUACUACAAAGUUUUUUAGGUGCUUUAAAGAACUAAACUUUUAGUUUAACUAGUGAUCUUCUCAAUAAUAUAUAUAUACAACAUUUAUUUAAGGAGAAGGGUUUUAUACAACAUUUAUUUGUUUGUUUAUAGCAUAACUACAUCUACAUCUGAUGUAAUAUUAAACAGUUUAAAUUAUAAUGAUAUUGACACAAAAUUGAAGUUUGCAUACUUUUCUGAUAUAUAUACUGUGAUGAGCCCUGCAAUAUGGAGUAAACGAUCUUAAAGAUCAAUGUUCAAGCCUUGUUGCCUAAAUUCUUUGCCUAAAUUUUAUAAUUGAUUGAAUAAGUGUUGAUCCACUAUAAACUCAUCUGUUGAAGCAAAAAAAAAAAAAAAAAAAAUUAAAAAACUACAAAAAGACAUGUAUAUGCUGAAAUGACUAAGCCCAUUUUGCCAUCAAAGACAUAAAUCCAGCACCAAGUAAAACUGCAACAUAUGACCAAGCCUGGAGCUUCAUAUUUGUUUGAAGCUUAGGGCCCAGAAAAUCAGCUGCAAGGAGAUCAACCAGUGCCAUGUAGUUCAGCAACCCUGCUGAGCAAGCAUUAAGUAGUCCCACCACCAUAAGUGAAGUUGGACUCGUCUCACUGUAAACCUUGGACAAACCAUUUCCCAGAACUAUUCCAAGUGGCGUUGUGGCUGAAAAAAAGAAUACCAUGAUUGCUUUCAUUUUUAUCUCAUAUUCAGCCUGCACAUAUCAAACAUAAUGUUAAUCAAUAUUGUACACUAAAUGGAUGUUUGAAUGAGAAAAUAGUACAAUGUUGGGGGUUACCUGCAGUAUGCAUCCACCAAGUCCCAUCCCCUCAAACAUUUGAUGGAAGCAAAGGGCAGCAAUGAGUGAUCGAAUGGUGCAUUGAUUGCCAGAGGCUCCCAUUGCAAGACCAAUCACCACUGAAUGAACUACAAUUCCCAAAUCUAAUACCUACAUUUAGGAAAUAUAUAAUGUAAAGACUUGAAAAGCAAAACCAUCGAAUUUGAGGAUUCAAACAUGUAUAUAUACCUGAGCAAUAACUCGAUGCCUUAACAAUUGUGAUGAUACGUCGUCAUUCAUCUCAAGUGAAUGGCUAUGGCCGUGUUCAAAAUUAUCGAUUGGUACAACGUUCGUAUUUUCCAAUCCACCACCAUUGUUAGCAUCCGCCAUUAAAGCUUUACCGCAACGUUUCUUGUAUACACUCAUUGCAAAUGAAUCCACCAUAAGGGUCAACACAGCCGACAGCAUUGCGACGAAGGUUGUGAAAGGGAACUUCCUCCAUGGGUUUUCAGGCAAACACCCGGACAUAAGGUCGUUGAAAGAAUCCGCUAGCACGUGCAUGUACCCAGUCGCUAGAAUAACACCGGAGGAAAAUGCCUUGACAAUGGUGAACAAGUCUCUGCCGGGUUUAAGUGACGGAACCUGACCAGAAAACAAUGGUAGACACACGCCAAUCAUGCUGGAUAGUAAAAUUGCGACAAUGGCGAUGAUUUUUAGCUUCAUGGAUUCUCUGUAGUUAUGGCAUCCAUUAGUCUUGGUCUCUGCUUCACAUUGAGCCAAUACAAGUGGAGUAGAAGAUGAAAAGAUGAUGAAAAGAACAAGGAAGAUUGAAUUUGCAAGGGAUUUUAGAACUGAUUUCAUGGCUGCCAAGAAAGAUUUACAGUUACGUUGGAUUGUGAGGCUUAACCGACUGGUUUAGAGGGAAUGAAUAUAUACAUUUCAUGGCCAAAUAUUACUCGUAUUUUUUUUGCCUCAUUUGUAAUAUUUCAGAUUUGGUGAUAUUAUUGCGAUUAAAAUUUCUAAUAUGUCCUUACUUUCGUUGAUUAAGUGGUAAAUUUAACAAGAAAUGUGAUGGUAUUUUGGUAUUUUAGCCUCGAAAUAAGGAAACCUGUGCAUGGCGUGUGAUAUGUGUGACCCGCCUUAAACUUUCUCGACCUUUGACUUUUCUAAUAAUACUAAGCACACGUCAGGCGUAAGCCUUUCUGCUGAUGUGGAAAUUCUUUUUCCAUGCAACAAUAUUAUUAUAAUCAAUCAUUAAAUGUUGUCUUUAAAAUAUUUUUUUAAAAAAAGUUGUCUUUAAAAGUUGAAACAUAAAAUGAUAUUAUGAAAUAGUACUAGAUUAACAAUAUUGCAUCUUUAUUUUAAAUUAUUCUCCCAACUUUAAAAUAUUUUAAACUAUUUAUCUCAUCCUUUUAUUAUUGACACUAUUAAUUUAAAAUGAUAUUUUUAAAGAAAAGUAAAAUGUUGUCGAUACAACUUUUAAAAAUAAAAAUUAAAAAUAAAGUAGAAGAGAAAAUGAAUGAUAGUUUUUGUAAUACCUUCGAUACCUUGAAAUCAAUAUUUUUACAAUAUUCAUUUUUCUUUAAGUUUUUUAUUUUAAAUUAUGUCUCAUAAGAUUUGACGUCUCAUUUAAUGAUUUUAGCAGCAAAAGAACAUUAUUGAUAUAAUAUUGAUAAUUUGGAAAUGUAAUUUAAAAUAUUUUGAGUUUGAGGACUAUUUUAGAAGAAGGGCCAUAGUUUAGAGAUAUUUGGAGCAAUUAACUCUAAUAAUAAUGACAUGACAAAGUUAAAAAAGGUUAAGUUAGAAUUUUGGAGAUAUAUUAUUGGAAGAAAAGUCAAAAUUCAUAGACUAUAAAUAUUAUAAAAAUGAUAAACUAGAUUGCAGGUCACUCAACUAGCUUAAAUGACUGCAGACUAGAGGUGCUCAUGGGCAGGGCCCAGAAAAAAAUGUUGGCCCAGCCCGAAAUAUGGGCCUAAAAUUUUGCCCAGGCCCAGCUCGAGAAAAAAUUUAUAAGCCCGAGCCCGGCCUGGCCUAGCCUAUUUUUUAAAUAAAUACCAAAAAAUUAUUUUAAAAAUUAAAAAAACUAAAAAAAGUAUUUAAAAAAUAUUUUAAAAUAAAAAAGUAUUUUAAAAAUAUUUUAAAAUUAAAAAAUUAAAAAAAGUAUUUUAAAAAUAUUUUAAAAUUAAAAAAAUUAAAAAAUAAAUAUAUUUAAAAACUCCACUAACAAUGUACCAAAUAAUUUUCUAAUAAUAUUCAAAAAUCAAAAUUUCAAAAAAAAAUCAUAAAAAUUUAAAAAAAUAUAUGAAAUACACGGCAAUUGUUAUAUGUAUUUCAAAAUUUAGCAUUUCCGUUAAAUAAUAAUUUCACUCUUUUUAAAAUGUUGAUAAUCAAAUUCAACUCCUUUUAAAGAGUUUAAAGCCAAAUUUAACUAAAUAAAAAUAAAAAUCAAAUUAAUAGAAUAUGUAAAUAUUAAAGACUAAUUUUGUAUUAUGCAAAUAAUAAAUGUAAGUCUCUUUAUUUUCAUGCCCCUCUUUUUCUAGCUCCUACUCCUUAGUACUUUUGUGCCUUAAUAAUUCAACUUUCUUUGGUGGCAUAGGGGUAUGGAGGCAAAAAUAAUAAUUGUGUGACAUUGUCAAUUUUCUUCACUUCACAUGGAGGUGACCAAAAUGUUAAUCCAAAUUGCAGAGCUAUACCAUUUUGUACAUAAAAGACUUGCUAGCUUUGAAUGGGUAAAAAAUAAUGUGAGAGUAACUUUAAAUAAUUAUAUAAAACAUACUUUUUUUUUAUUUCAAAGAUUUUCUUUUUUGAGAUUUUCUUACCCAUGAAAUUAAAAAAAUUAAAAAAUAUCUUUUUUAUAUUGAACAAAUUGGUCACUCUAAAAGAAAUAGAGUAAUUUAAUCCUUAUCAAUUUUGAACAAUUAAUCAAGCGCUAAUAAUUUCUGUUAAUUAUACAUAAUUUUGAUUAGUAUAAAAACAAAUUUAAUCCUUGAUGAUUAUAUAUUUCGCGUAAAUAUUGAUAGAAUGUGUAAUUAUUAUGGGUUAAAUAUGUUAGAUCAUGAUCAAAUUGAUGAAAUGUGUAAAUGUUGUGAGUUAAAUUUGUUAAAUCAAUAACAAAUUUAUAGAAUGUGUAAACUUUGAGGGCUUAAUUUAUUAUUAUACCAAGAAAAUUUUGUAUAAUUGAUGAAAAACAUUAACGUUGUGAUUAUUUGUCCUUAAUUUAUCACUUUCAAAAAUGAAAGUAAUUGAAUAACUCUGAUAUUUUUAGAAAUACCAAUUUUUUCAAUAGCAAAAUUGAAAAAGAUUAGAGACAUGUUUUAAUAUAUUUUCUUAGUUGAAAUCAAUUGUUUUUUUGUUUUUUUUUCAACAAUGAGCAACAUAGACAACAAAUAAUGAAAUACAAAUCCCAAAUAAGAAUUAUAAAUUGGAUAUAAAAGAUAUAAAUAAAAAUUAAGACUAGACUCAGCCACGAAUGAGAAAACUACCUUUAAGGGAAAGCUGUCGCAGGAGAUGGCUUGGAACAUUUGCUAGAGCAUAUUUUGGAACGAUUUCAAACUGUUCCGAGGAGGUUGGAGGGUCUUGGGCUCUUCACCUUUCGUAACAAAUAUAAAUCUGCCAUUAUCGAAGUGCAUUAAUCCUUUUGUUUCUUUUGCUAGCGAUUUGGGGAGAGGCUCCUACAAGGCCAUCAACUCUUAUCGCAACAAAUUGAUUAGUGUAUCAGAUUCUCAUCAAUUAAAGGGUGUUGCUUGGAGCAAAGCAUCAAAACACCUUAAGAACCAAUCCAUAACCAAAUGGACAGUUACACUAAUAAACCAUAAACUCCAUGGAUUGGAAGACUUAGUUAAUUAUGGAUGAAAGCCGGCUUGGAAAUUCAUACUUGAGACCCGCCAACCUUGCAACGUAUAAGCAAGACAGUCAACAGUAAAAUCAGAGGAUCAACAACCAAAUGGCAACGACCAGUAAUGCCUACAACUGAAAAUUUAUAACUUGAUCAGAAUCCACGUAACAUUAGGCCCUGUUCUUCCAUCAGGCAAAUACCAACAACCCAUUGAUUCAAUUUCAGCCGUCUUUUCAGAAUCAGCCGUAUCAUUAAUAGAUAGCUGCCUAAUUUGAUCCCUCAUUAGGGAAUAAUAUAUAUAUUAUAUUUGUGAAGAUACUUGAUAGCUUUAAGCUGACAUUGAUAUGGUAACCCUCAAAAGUUGGUAAAUCCUUAAAACAGGGUUCUACUCAACCUUACUAGUAAAAGUUUACAUGUUUGUAGCCCAAUGCCGAGCAUGAUGCACUUGAAGUUCAAUUUUGAGGGUAUAAUGUGAAAUGGAACAGUUCAAAUAGUAGUUUUACAAAAACUGAAAUAACCUUUCACAUUUUACCAAAAGUUGCAGCUUCCUACUUCAGUAGAGCAACUCAACCUACAAUGAAAAGGGCGUCUCUGUGGUCAUUUUAUAAAGCAUUAGUUAAGCCAUGAUGAAAAUAGAAGAGUCAAUUACCAUUUGUUUUGAAUUCAAACGAAAUUGAGCUUUUCGCAUUAGCACCCAAACUUAUUUCCUUAUUCCAGCUUGGGCAACUGAUCAGUAACCUCCGUCACCUCAGAAUUUUGCACAUUCUGUGCAUGAUCAUAACAAACCAAGAAUUGUUCAAUUAACUAUGUAUGUAUGUAUGUAUGUAUGUAAAAACCCAUGAAUUUAAAUCCUUUAAAUGAUUUGUACCAUUUCAUCGAACAUAUGUUUUAUGGUAGUGUUAAGGUCGCCUUCCCACUGCAGUUCACCUUCCUCAUCUCUUGUUAAGUGCAUUUGUUCCAGCCUUGGUGUGCUUAAAUCUCCUUGGCAGAAAUUCCUCAUUUUGGGACACUUUGUCACCUUCACCAUUAGCAAGACUGGGAAUUCCAACGAGAGAUGGGCCAAGGAAAAGCUUGCUAGACGUGGCAGACAGCUUAGUUGCAAAUACUUCAGUUUGGGAAAUACAAUACCGCCUUGUAUUUCUUCAGCCUCACACGCUAUGAUUUCCUCCAUCAUCUCACAAUCAUCUAUGCUCAAUCUUUCCAGUAGCGUCAGACUCUUAGCUGUUAAGCAUGCGAUUAAAUUGAUGAACCCAUGGCAUCUUGAAACUUCCAGUGUUGUUAGAUUUUUGAAAGACAGCAAAGAUGGUUCAAAAGUCUUUAACGUCAACUCUGGAAGUUGAGACAAACGUAAUUCCUUUAGCUGAUAGAAUGCUGAUGUAUGCCUUUCCUGGUCGCUGAGUCCUUCAGAUUGUACUAUUUGACAAAUGGAAGCAUUGUCUAUAACAAGCUUAUGAAGCAUUGGUAGUGACCGAAUGAAGGAAUACGGAAGAGUAGUGGAUGUCUCAGGAAAGAACUGGAGGUUAAGAUGCUUAAGGUUUUGGAAGCACUGCAAUGAGAGUUGUCCAUCACAUAUCCCCUUCACCAUAUCAUUCGUCUUCAGUGUUAGUUUUUCUAAUACAGGGAAAGUGUCCUGGAUGGCAACGAAUAUAUUUAACAUCGAUCAAAGAGUUUUCAAUUCGUAAGAACUAGACUACAAAAUGAAUAUAAUUUCCAUUUUCUUUCUCAUAAAUUUAAAAGGCAUUUUAUAAGUAAUCUCCAGUAAUGAACAUGGAAUAUGAAACUGCUAGUGAGCUUACCUCGUUGACGCAAAACAAGGGUUGUUGGUUUGAGAUUCCAACCUGACUCACAGGACAUUGUCGAGUAAAUAUCUGUACUUUGGGGCAUUCAAUAAUGCUCAUUUGUUUCAAUGAAGGCCACUGGGUGGUAUGCAUCCUAGAGUAGAAACUUUUCAAUCUUGGCACCUUAUCCAAUCCAAGUUUUAUUAGUUUGGGAAAUACAAACUUGGUCGUCACUGUUUCAGCCACAAUAGAUUGAGCAGCUGAUGUUGACUGUGACUCAUCAGCAAUGAGUCCUUGCAGCUCAAUAAUUUCUUCUAACGAAUCACAAUUCUGAAUCCACAAGUUCUUCAAACUAGGGAAAACAACCUAAUAAAUCAUUUCAUUAGGUUAAUAACUGAAAUAUGUAUGAAAAAGAAAGAACAUCAAAUGAAUAAAAUCAAUCGAAGUAACAUAAAUUAAAAGGAGGAUCCUUGAAGAAAUUACCUUUUCAUUGAGGAGAGAUGAGUUAUGAACCUCCAAGUUACUUGCCCGUACAUGUUGGCCAAUUUGAGGUUUAUCUCCGGGUACACAUUUAGAGAUGAAUGUUUUUAGCAAUGGACAAUUUCUUAGUGAUAAAGAUUCCAAACAGCGAAAUUCAAAGUAAUUUUCAAAGCACAAACUUGUGAGUUUGGGAAGGUCCUCAACCAAUCCAUCCGUGAAUAUUACUUGUUCCAUCAUAUUACAGUCCGAAAUGCGAAGGGAUCGGAGUUGCACAAGAUCUUUUGCUAAGAAAGACGGGAACAGGUAUUUCAAAUUGUGACACCUCUUCACCUUCAAGAAAUUUAGGUAUCCCAUAGAUGGGGAGGAUGAGUGGUGCCAUAUCUUAUGAAUGUUGAUGGAGGACAAAUCCAGACUGUUCAAACUAGGAAUGACAACCUGUUGACAUAAAUAUCAUUAUAAGAUAGUAUCACUCUUCCUUCUUUACUUUGAAAGACAAUCAAAACGAGUAGAUGAGUAUGAAGAUUUAUAAACUGAUCUAAAGGUUAAUAUUCACACAUCAACUAGACAGUUAAAAGUAACCAAAAUUUUUUGGUUAAUUAUGAAAAUGAUCCAACUUAAAAAUCAUGUACGUAAAUGACUUGAUUUCUAUAGUGCUUACUGCAUCGGCCCCCAUCAUCAGUCAAUGAUUGCUUUUUAAAAAAAAUUGUAGUGGUGUUGCCUAAUAAAUUGAUGGCACCAGACUGAAUGUGGUUAUAUAAAAUGUGCAAGGAUCCUUUAAAGCGGUUAACGUUUUUAGAUUGAUUGAAAAAGGGGUGUCAGUUGGUAUCUGAACUAAAUUAAAUGUUUUUCAACAUUUGACCUAUUUGCAUGUUACAUUUGUCCUCUUUUGAAAUUAGAUUUAAAUAGCACUUAAAAAAUAUAAGAAUAACAAAAUUAAACCCUUUUUUUUAAAAAAAAUACUUAAAAAAUUAUAUAAAAUUCUAAUUCAAAUUACCCAAAUAUAUUCCUUAAAAAAUUUCCUUAAGUUUAUCUAAAUUUAAAUAUGCUAGGGAAUAAAUUGAAAAUGCUUGAAUUUAGAUAAAGUUUUGGGUAAUUUAAAUAAGAAUUUUAUAUAAUUUUUUAAGUUUAUUUUUUUAAAAAUAAAAUAAAAUAAAUGAGAAUGAUUUAUUUUUGUUAUUCUUAUAUUUCUUAAGGGUUAUUUAAAUUUAAUUUCAAAGGGGGAUAGACCUAACAUGCAAAUAGACCAAAAGAUGAAAAUCAUUUAAUUUGGUGCCACAUAUUCACGGGAAGACCCCUUUUUCCGCUAAUUAAAAAAGGGUAAUUACUUCGUUAAGUCCAUGAACAUUUUAUAUAAUCACACUUUAGUUUGAUAUCGCCAAUUUUUCGAACAACACUACUAAAAAACUAUUAUUUUUUAAAUAAAAUACAAUCAUUGAUCGAUGAUGGUAGGUCGGUGCCGCCAUUGUGUCUGGCGGCACUGGCGGCACCGACAAACACUAUAGAAAUCGAAUAAUUUAUGUACAUAAUUUUUAAAUUGAAUCAUUUUCAUAAUUAAUCAAAAAUUUGAGUUACUUUUAUAAAAACCCGACAGGUAAAUUUAAGUAAUUAUAUUGAAUUUUUUUUCUUUCAAUGAUUUUUUCUAUAUAUGAAAUUAAAAAAAAGAAUUAAAUCUUUAAAUAAAACCCAUCCACUCUCUCACUUCAAUUCUCCUCUAUAUAUUUGGUUCUUUCUUCUUCAAACUCCUCACCUUUUGUUUUCAUGCUUCUUCUUCUUUGAUCUCAAAUAUGAAAACUAAUAUUUUAUUACCUUUAAUAUAAAUUUCAUUGAAAUAUUUUUAACGUAAAUAAUAAGAAGAUGAAAACUGACUCAAUUUGGAUUUAUAAUUAAUUAAAAAUUUAAAAUACAUUAAAUAAAAUAUAUUACAUUUAUUAAAAAAUAUGGUAAAAUUUUAAGGCAUUCAUGUGUAAAAAAAUUAAGCCUUUCACAUAAGAUUAUCUCAAUUGGUCAUAAAGCCAUUAGUUUUAUAUAUCAUAAUAUGUAAGAUUUUAUUAUUUAAGUUGUUGUCUUUUUUGUUCACAAUAUGAUUUCAGGAUCACAACUAAUUAAUUCAAGGUAAUUGUUUUUUUUUUUAAACAUGCAUCACAAUAAAUUAUAAUGCAAAAAUAUUAUUUAAAUAAAGUUUUAUAGUGCAUAUCAUUUAUAAAAUUUAUUCAAGAUGGGAAUAUUUUAUUUUAAAACAUAGGUUAUUUAAUUAUAUAAAUUCAGAUUCACCAAUCUAAAAGGUGAUUACAAUCGAAUCAUGCCUUAAAUCGGGUUUAAAUUAGACUUUACCGAGGAGGUAAUUAAGGGAUGAGGGCUCAUUUCAAGCCCUCCGUCAUCUAUAAAUGGAUAAGUCGGAUAUAGUGUCUACACUCUACUUAAAUACGACCUCAACACCCCUACACCACCAUUUCUAAUUGCUCUUUGCACCGUCUACAAUGUGAACCACCUUUAUUUAAGUGACUUUUCACACUCAUAUAGUGUAAACAACUACAUUGUAUAGUUCUACAUUUAGUAUUGUUAUAAUAGAGUGAAAAGAUAACAUCUUCCUCGACUACUUCGAAGUAGUUUCCCUUUUGAACAAAUUGAGAGUAACUACUAUAUUAAGCCACCUUCGUCAUGAAUAGCCUAGUGGAAGAGUGAUACAAGUUCACAAUAACCACUAUAUCGGCAAUGUCAGAAGCUACCAAAGAUGCAUUACCUUAAGCAAUCACUAAUAUCUACAUCAUAGCCUCAUCACUGUGAGGUUAUGUCGGCAACAAACUCCAAUCAACCAUGACAAUGCCAAAAGCUCCCAAAAGAUCCUUUUGCAUUGAUGAUGCACUAGAGUAAAUUUCAUAUAGCACAACAUCCUCCUCAUCAUUUUGAAAACCAAAACCAGCAUACCGGAAGUGAACAACAAUUAAAAGAAACUCAAACUAAAAACAGUAUCACAAUUUUCAGAUAAAAAAAAGUAAAUUAUUGACACCAACAUUGCUUACAAAGAAAGUAUAAUGAAUUUUUAUUUAUGUACAUACUUUUCCAUUCAAUAGUGUUUUCUUUCGUUGAAAUUCGAUGGUAAUAAUUAAUUUUCUCGUCAUGGGUACUCUUCAAAGAAAUAAAUGACUACCCAUAAGGAAAAAUAGUUAAAACGAGAGUAAAGAAAAAUAAAAACCAAAAGCGAAAAGAGGAGAAAAUUAUACUAUCGGGAUAUUGAAAUAUAACAAUUUCUUCAAUAAAUUAAUUUAAGUAAUUCGAUGGUUUUAGGAAUUAGUGGAGAUUGGCAUUGGAAACAAAAUAUUAUUUUUUUACUUUUAAAAAUCUAAAAAUAAAAAAAAGGGGGAUAUUUUGUACAAGUGAAUGAUAUUUCAAGGUCUUCCACAAUUAUCUCCUUCUUAAUUCUUAUACACCCACAAAUUAAAAAAAAGGGAGAUUAGUUUUCUUUUUUCUAUUAUUAUUUUAUUAUUUAUUGUCUAUUACUAUUUAAUUUAAAACUUCUCUUAAAUUCUUAUUUUUAUUAUUAUUUCACUUUAAGUUUUCCUUUCAAUUCUUAUUUUUUAUAUUUAUUUAUACUUUAAACUCCAGUUUUUUUUAAAUAUUAUCUUAUUUAUUAAUAUAUGGAUUUUAUUAUAUUCAAUUUUGACAAGGUGUAGCACUAGUAUGUAUAUAUAGAACAGACACACUCAUGUUGAUCAAAUCAAAAGAAAAUGUGAAAUAAGUUGUGCAGAUAAAUAUUGAAUACCAAACUUACCUUAUUGCUGAAAAGAGUUGCAGUGUUAUCAUAGAUGCCUCCUUCGCCAACCAAGUUUUCACUUGCAUCACCACACUCUCUUGAAACUGAGGAAGAAAAUGCAAUCAUUUUUGGACACUCAGCUAUCUUGAUAGCACUCAGCCGUGGAAAUUCAAGAGCUUGACUUCCCCAAUGGAAAUUUAUCAAGUUGGAACACGACUCAAUUGUUAUGGAGUAGAGCGCAAGAAAUGUAAAUUUAUGUGUCAUUGCUUCCUCCUCCUCCCUAACUACUUGUUCCAUUGAACUGCAUUCUUUCACUUCUAUACUUCCUAGUGGAUUGAGGCUCAAAAGCAUAGACGGAGUAAAUAUGUACUUCAAGCUGCUACAUUUAUAAAACUGCAGGCUGCUAAGGUUUUUGAAGCCCAAAACUUCUUGAGGGUUUCUGGUCCAUAUUUCUAUCGACUCCGGAGAUGUGUCAGAGAUGUUGAAAUCACGUGGGCCAUGGAGUCCACCCUAAAAAUUAAUCUGAUAUUAUUCCACUAGAUAGCAAUCAUAAAUAGAAAAUGCAGACAAUAACAAAAUAACGAUUUAACACUCUUCAAUGGUUAUUGAAGUAGAGGACACGAGGAAUCUAGCUAGCAUUAUGAACUUAUUAACUUUGUACCUUUUCUGUGUAGAGCUGUUGUAUGGUGGUAUUAAGGUCACUUGUCCAACUCCAUUUCUCACCGUAACGCGACUGUUUUAUUCUCUGUAAUUGUGGGGUGCUUAAAACUCCCUCAGAAAAGAUCUUUAACCAAGGACAAUCUUCCACAACUAAUUCUUCCAAACAAGGAAACUCGAAGUUGUAAUACCGUGGACAAAAGCUUGUGAGGCUCUUCAAAUUGCAUAGUUGUAAACAUUUCAAUUUACUAACAACUAUUGUCUGAUGACAGUCUCCCUCGUUUCCCACUAUUUCUGUCAUUUUAGUGCAGUCUUCUACCUUUAUUGUCGUUAAUUGCACAAGAUUCUUAAGUACUGAGGGUGUAACUAAGUUUGUCAUCAUUUUACAAAAUGACACAUUCAAAAUUGUGAGAUUUUGUAAAGAUGAUGAGAAGACUCUAAUAUUUAUCCAAUCAUCACAAUGCUGAACUGUGAGUGUUUGAAGAUUAGAAAGAAUAUGGUCAAGCUCCGAAUCUUUCCUCCAAAUAUGAUUAAGAUUUGUGGCAGAAAACAAUUUCAGAUUUCUAAUUGGUGGGAGAGUCCCGGCGUCUCCUUUACAAGGGACUACAUGUUUGAAAUCAAAAUAAGAAAACUCAAGUCUUUCCAGAUUGUAGAAUCUUCGGACGAAAGGAAAUAAAGAAAAUGGAGAGCCACCACUCAGUGCAAAAACUUUAAUGUGUUGAAACAAGUCUGGUGGAAAUUGGUCCAUAUCACCAAAAUUUCGUAACUCAAGUUCCUCUAAUUUGGGAAUGACCUUGGAAACCAAUUAAAUAUAAACAAGUUAGGCUCAAUGUUGAUGUAUAUGCUUUAAAAAAACAAAAAAAAAAAAAAAAUUUACAAUUUUAGUGUUUGAUUUUGAUGAUUAAAUCCCAACAAAAUCAAUAUUAAAUCAAACGAAUCCAGAAUAGAUGAAUUUUUUGUUUUAAGAAAACACAAUACCUUGAGAAUUAAAACUGAUAAAAAUUACAGAACAUGAAAGCCGAAAGAAGAGUAGCAAAUCUAGAUUAAAAUAGAUAAACAACCAUUGUUAUAUAUAUAUAUAUAUAUUUUUUUUUUCUAUGAUAAAAAAUAUAAGCAGAACAGUGGAGAUAAAACACCAACGUUUUAAAAUAUUACACUGAUUUAAUUUGAUGGUUAAAUUAACGAAUUUAAUAACAGAAAGACGUAAUUGAUAUAACCUCAAUAGUUUUAACCCUCAAUAUUUAUACAUUUUAUCAAAUUGAACUGCAUUCACUCAAUAUUUACCUAUUAUGUUUAUUCACACUUGUUUUUAAAAAAAUUGAAAAAAUAAUUAUAAAUGUAACAAAAAAAUUUAAAAUAUAUAUAUAUAUUGAAAAUUCAAAAAUACGAAAAAAUAUCCAAAUCAAACAAAAUAUAAUAAUUAGAAAUGCAUUAUCGUGGCAUAUUUCAACUUGAGAUGCUUGUGGCAGUGGUUUAAAUCAUAAAAAGAAAUAUAGUUGUUAUGAUAUACAUACCUCUUCUCCCAACAAAACUGGCUGCUCAUUUCCUUGGAUUAAUCUAAGAUGUUCCGAUGCCACUAUCUUUAGCAAAGCAGAACUAUCUGUUCUCAAUUUUUUCAACAUCGGCCAGACUAUUGUAUGUUGCCCUUCAUAGAAACAUUUGAGCUUUCCUACCCCUCUAACCUCAAGGUAAGACACUUGCGGAAACUCAAACCUCACAGGCUGCUCCUCCACUCCAUCCCCUUUCGAUACAAUCUCCUCAACUCCACAAUUAGUGAUGCGUAAAUCUUCAAGUUGUGGAAGAUCUUUGGCUAUUGAUACUGGAAAUAGAUUUUUCAAACUCCCACAUUCCCAAACACUUAUUUUUAGUAGAUUUUUCAAGGAACCUGGUGCUAGGUCAUUAUAAAAUAUCAUCUUCACAUUACUCAAGCCAAAGAUAGUUAUGUCUUCCAAGCUAGGAACUGCAACCUAUUCAUAUAUACAUAUAUAAUCCAUGCCCAUAAUAAGAAUAAUGAAGGCAGAAAAAAAAAACAAGGACAAAUCAACAGAUUUAUGCAAGAGUGUAAGACAAAUGAAAUAAAUCACCUUCUCACUGAAGAGAGCGUGCAUGCCGGACUGAUUACUAUUCUGACUAAUGAAUUCUAUUAACUCGGGGCAACGCCCAAUCUUUAGCACUUUCAACAAUGGGAACUCAAUAUUGUGGUUUCCUGAGUUGAAGAAGAUGAGGUUUGGAAGACCCACUAUUUGCAGGGAGUUUAAUCGAGGGAAACAAAUCACAUCUUUCCUUUCUUCUUCAAUUUCCUCUGUAAGUAUUAUGUCCCUUAAGCACUUGCAAUCCUCCACUCCAUCCCCUUUCGAUACAAUCUCCUCAACUCAACAAUCAGUGAUGCUUAAAUGUUCAAGUUGUGGAAGAUCUUUGGCUAUUGAUACUGGAAAUAGAUUUUUCAAAUUCUCACAUCGCCGAACAUUUAUUUUUCGUAGAUUUUUAAAGGAACCUGGUGCUAGGUCAUUAUAAAAUAUCAUCUUCACAUUACUCAAGUUAAUCUCCAUGUCUUCCAAGCUAGGAACUGCAACCUGUUCAUAUAUAUAUAUAAUCCAUGCCCAUAAUAAGGUUAGCCCAAAUAAUGAAGGCAGAAAAAAAAAAACAAGGACAAAUCAACAGAUUUAUGCAAGAGUGUAAGACUACUGAAAUAAAUCACCUUCUCACUGAAGAGAGCGUGCAUGCCGGACUGAUUACUAUUCUGACUAAUGAAUUCUAUUAACUUGGGGCAACGCUCAAUCUUUAGCACUUUCAACAAUGGGAACUCAAUAUUGUGGUUUCCUGAGUUGAAGAAGAUGAGGUUUGGAAGACCCACUAUAUGCAGGGAGUUUAAUCGAGCGAAACAAAUCACAUCUCUCCUUUCUUCUUCAAUUUCCUCUGUAAGUAUUAUGUCCCUUAAGCAAUAGCAAUCCUCUAUCUCAAAGCAUUGGAGCUGCACCAGACUUCUAGCGAGAGAGGGUGAUAACAGAUGCUCCAACUUGCCGCAUCCUUUGAUGAUCAAGCUCCUCAAAUUCGUAACCCAAUGACAUGUCUGGUUGUGCCAUAUUAUUUUGGUGUUAAUGGAACACAAUUACAAGCUUUCCAAGUGAGGGAAAAUAAAUUGCACAUACUUUCACACAAUUCUUUUUCGAUAGGGAAAGAUCGUAUGUAACAUAAUUUGAAAAUAUGAUUUUCGAUUUUAAAGAUAAUUUUAGUUCAAUUUGUGGGCUCAAAUUUUAUUUCAGAAUUAAAAAAAAAAUUCUUGGGUUUUGUUGCGGAAAGGAUCGAUUCGUGAACUCCGAUAUGACUACAAGUAAAUUGACCGAAACGAAAAAUAAAGUGAACACAAGGAUUUACGUGGUUCGGCUUUAAUGCCUACGUCCACGGGCAGAGGCGAAAAGAAAUUUCACUAUAACAAGAUGAAGAUUACAAGUGUUUUACACUCAAGACACAACCCGAGAACCUCACAACUCUCAACCCCUAUAGAAAACCCGAAAGCUAAAAUCCUAGCUUUCAAAGAACAAGCUUUGCUCUCUCUUGGUUUGGGAUGAUCAAUAUGGCUAAUGAACCUCUCUAUUUAUAAGAGAGUUCAAGGACAUAAUUGUCCAAAACUUUGGCAAAGAUUUGUGGUUGAAAAUGGACACCAACAACCAUCCACUAAUCCACUACCACCAACAACCCACUACCAACAACAACAAUCCACUACCAAUUUUAAGCCAUUUCUUAACAAAUCUCCACCUUGGCUUGAAAUUUACCAAGCUGAACAUCAUAGUGAAUUCCUCGAACUGGAUCACCUCUUCCAAACGCCUCUCUGGCGCUAAUCAAUCCCGAAUACCUAUCAAGUCCAAGCAAUGCUUGAACUUAUAUGCAGGGAUCACCUUAGUUAACAUAUCUGCAGGAUUCUUCUCGGUAGCAACCUUGCUGAUAACAAUGUCACCUUGCGUAACAUGUUCCCGAACAAAAUGAUAUCUGACAUCAAUGUGUUUGGUCCGUUCAUGAAACAUCUGAUUUUUAGUCAGAUGUAUGGCACUCUGGCUAUCGCAAAAUACAACAGUGAAAUCCUGUUGUAAACCCAAACUGCUUACUAGACCUUUCAUCCACAAUGCUUCUUUCACUGCUUCUGCUAACGCCAUAUAUUCCGCCUCAGUCGUAGAUAAGGCUACGGUAGACUGUAACACAGCUUUCCAACUAAUGGCUCCUCCAGAAUAAGUGAAAACAUAACCCGUCAGAGAUCUUCUUUUGUCCAGAUCUCCAGCAUAAUCAGAGUCCACAUAGCCCGUGACACUGCUAGUGCAGUCACUCUGAUCAUAUACCAAGCAUAAAUCUGCAGAACCUCUCAAGUACCUGAGAAUCCAUUUCACGGCCUGCCAGUGUUCCUUGCCAGGACAACUCAUGUAUCUGCUGACCACACUAACUGCAUGUGAAAUGUCUGGACGAGUGCAAACCAUUGCAUACAUCACGCUUCCAACUGCACUCGAGUAUGGAAUGUGAGACAUUUGCUGCUUUUCUUCAUCAGAUUGUGGUGACAACUCUGCAGAGAGUUUGAAAUGUGGUGCCAACGGAGUACUCACAGUUUUCGCUUUAUCCAUGCCGAAGCGUUGAAGAACCUUUUCAAUGUAGUUCUUCUGCGACACACGAAGCUUGCCCGCCUUGCGAUCUCUGUGAAUAUCCAUGCCCAAAAUUUUCUUGGCAGCACCCAGAUCCUUCAUCUCGAACUCACCACUCAACUGCGACUUUAACUUGUUGAUUUCCGACAUGUUUUUGGAAGCAAUUAACAUGUCAUCAACAUACAGCAACAAAUAAAUGUGCGAACCAUCUGAGAGCUUCCGAUGAUAGACACAAGCAUCAUAGUCACAUCUUGUGUAACCAUGCUGAAUCAUGAAGCUAUCAAACCGCUUGUACCACUGCCUUGGGGAUUGUUUCAAUCCAUAUAAAGACUUCUUUAAUAGACAGACAUGGUCUUCUUUACCAGGAACUGUAAAACCCUCUGGUUGACGCAUGUAGAUUGUUUCCUCGAGCUCACCAUGCAAGAACGCCGUUUUUACGUCAAGCUGCUCAAGUUCUAGAUCAGACUUGGCCACCAUGGCAAGUAAUACACGAAUGGAAGAAUGCUUUACGACUGGGGAGAAAACUUCAUUGUAGUCAAUCCCCUCUUUCUGAGUGAAGCCUUUAGCAACCAAUCGUGCCUUGAAUCUAGUUGCUUCAACCCCUAGGAUGCCUUCCUUUUUCUUGAAGACCCAUUUGCAACCAACUAUCUUUUGGUUACUUGGCGGCUUAACCAACUCCCAAGUAUGGUUCUUGUGAAGAGAUUCUAUCUCCUCACUCAUAGCAAUUGCCCACUGUGCCGACUCAUCACACGUGACAGCCUCAUUAUAACUGGAAGGUUCUAUACCAAUGGACUCCGCCACACUGAGCGCGAAAGACACCAGAUUAGCGUAACGCGGAUUUGGUUUGAUUUGUCUCUUCGUUCUUCCAGUGGCAAUGCUAUAUGGUUUUUCUUGAGGUGACUCAUCUUCAUCGGAAUCUUGCACCUCAACUUGAUCAUCCUGGACUGAAGUACCUUCCGUAGGAAUUGGAGCGUCCACCUGACACUCCACCUGCUUCUCAACACCGUGAUCUCCCAUUCUAUCUGACUCCUCCUUUUCCCGGGAAUUUGUGGUGGAUCGAAGCAUGGAUGACUCAUCAAAAGUCACAUCUCUGCUGAUGAUGAACUUGGACGAAACCGGAUCAGGACACCACAACCUGUAUCCUUUCACCCCUUGGCCGUAUCCAAGAAAUAUGCAUUUCUUCGCCCUCGGUUUGAGUUUUCCCUCAUUUACAUGAGCAUACGCAGGGCAGCCAAACACUCUUAAACCAGAGUAAUCAGCAGGAGAACCAGACCAUACUUCCUCAGGAGUCUUCAGCUCAAUAGCUGUUGACGGAGAUCUGUUAACCAAAUAACAAGCAGUAUUAACAGCUUCAGCCCAAAAUUCUUCACCGAGCCCAGCAUUUGAUCGCAUGCAACGAGCUCGCUCCAAGAGAGUUCUAUUCAUGCGUUCUGCAACUCCAUUUUGUUGUGGUGUUCGACGAACAGUGCGGUGUCUCACUAUUCCUUCAUUUUUGCAGAACUCAUUGAAUUCACCUGAGCAAAACUCCAAGCCAUUAUCCGUCCGGAAUCGCUUGAUCUUCUUUCCUGUUUGAUUUUCGAUCAAAGCUUUAAAUUGCUUGAAGUUGAUGAGAACCUCAUACUUGCUCUUCAGAAAAUACACCCAAACCUUUCUCGAGUAAUCAUCGAUAAAGGUAAGCAGAUAUCUGUAACCACCUUUAGAAAUUGUCGGAGAAGGCCCCCAAAGGUCAGAAUGGAAGUAAUCCACUGUGCCUUUUGUCUUGUGAAUCCCAGUGCUGAACUUUACCCGAGUCUGUUUACCGAAGACGCAGUGCUCACAGAAAUUCAACUUUCCUGUACACUGCCCAGACAAUAAUCCUCGUUUGCUUAGCACCGAUAAGCCUCUCUCGCUCAUAUGCCCGAGCCGCAUAUGCCAUAACUUCGUGGUGUCAGAAUCUAGAUCAUCUGAUGAUGACACUCCCGCAACACCUGUAACCGAGGAACCAUCGAGGAAGUAAAGGCCCCGCUCCAAAUUACCACGUAUCACAGUCAAAGCACCCGAGAAUACCUUGAGAACUCCACCUUCAGCAGAGUACCGAAAGCCUUUCUUGUCCAACGUACUCAAAGAGAUCAAAUUUUUCUUCAUUUCUGGAAUGUGCCGAACAUCAGUUAGAGUUCUAACAAUACCGUCAAACAUCUUUAUACGAACUGUGCCAAUCCCCAUGACUUGACAUGCGUGGUCAUUUCCCAUUAGUACUGAACCAGAAUGCUUCUCGUAUGUUGAGAAUGCAUCUUUCGAAGUACUUAUAUGAAAUGUAGCUCCCGUAUCAAGAAUCCAUCUCCCACCAGCGUAAGAGUCGGAUACUGCAAGAACGAUCUCGGCAUCACUUGAAGAAUCUGCAUCAGCUACAUUCGCACGAUCAUUUUGUUGCUCCUGUGAUUCUGAUUUCUCCUUCCUUUUCGGACAAUCUACCUUCAUGUGCCCGUACUUCUUACAGUAGUAGCACUGUAUUCUCUUCUUGGACUGCGAUCUAGGAUGGCUUUUACUUGAACUUCCACCCUUUGCCUUGGAUCUUCCUCGAGCAACCAAGCCUUCGCCUUCAUUGUUUUCGACCACCUUACCAGUGAUUUUCUUCCUCAACUCACUGGAACUUAAGGCAUUUUUCACCUCCUCUAGAGUCAGGUCAUCACGACCGUACAUCAUUGUAUCAACAAAAUUCUCAUACGAGGGAGGCAAAGAACACAAAACAAUUAUUGCUUGGUCCUCAUCAUCGAUUUUGUUAUCGAUAUUAUUCAAAUCCAUGAUAAUGGAAUUGAAUUUAUCCAGGUGCUGGGAAACAGGUGUACCUUCCUCCAUCUUCAGGGCAUAGAGUCUUUGCUUGAGGUAGAGCCGGUUCGUCAAUGACUUCGUCAUGUACUUGCUCUCUAACCGGAGCCACAAACCGGACGCGGUUUUCUCAUCCGCUACUUCUCGUAGCACUUCAUCUCCUAGACAUAGCAGAAUAGCACUAUGUGCUCUUUCUAGCAUGUCAUCCUUUUGCUCUUCCGAAAGCGUGCUUGGUAAUUUAUCUUUACCAGACAAUGCUUUUAGCAAUCCUUGUUGAACCAGCACUGCCCGCAUCUUGAUGCGCCAUAAACUGAAACUAUUUUUCCCGGUAAAUUUCUCGACAUCAUACUUAGUCGAUGAAACACUUGUAGCCAUAAUUUGGAACCUUUGAAUGAAUGAUAAUAUUUUCUUCCUGAUGUGAAAGAUCAGACAAAGCUGCAGUCACAGGGCAAUUCAGAAAAUAUUAUCACUCCUUCAACUACGCUCUGAUACCAAUUUGUUGCGGAAAGGAUCGAUUCGUGAACUCCGAUAUGACUACAAGUAAAUUGACCGAAACGAAAAAUAAAGUGAACACAAGGAUUUACGUGGUUCGGCUUUAAUGCCUACGUCCACGGGCAGAGGCGAAAAGAAAUUUCACUAUAACAAGAUGAAGAUUACAAGUGUUUUACACUCAAGACACAACCCGAGAACCUCACAACUCUCAACCCCUAUAGAAAACCCGAAAGCUAAAAUCCUAGCUUUCAAAGAACAAGCUUUGCUCUCUCUUGGUUUGGGAUGAUCAAUAUGGCUAAUGAACCUCUCUAUUUAUAAGAGAGUUCAAGGACAUAAUUGUCCAAAACUUUGGCAAAGAUUUGUGGUUGAAAAUGGACACCAACAACCAUCCACUAAUCCACUACCACCAACAACCCACUACCAACAACAACAAUCCACUACCAAUUUUAAGCCAUUUCUUAACAGGUUUAAAUUUAGAUUAUUGAAUUGACUUUGUACUUUCAAUCGGUUUGAAUUAAAAAUUAAAUUUUCAUUUGUUUUGGAUUUGAAAUUUCUUUUUGAGCUCCGGAAAAAUCAUUACACAAUAUUAUUUAUUUCUAUUAUUAGAAAUAUUAAUGGGCAUAUAAAUAAAAAUUGUAUAAGGAAAUAUAAGUAAAGCCAAACAAAUACCUGUUUAUUGAAAAGUAGUAAGGGCUCAGUGGAACACCUUUCGUCUGGAGAGCAAAAGCUAACGAGUUGCUGUAGAUUUUCAAAUUUGAUGAAGCAUAAUUCAAAAAAUUUAAUUUUGUUCGUUUUAAUAUAUUGGACAUGCCUACCAUUUUCGACAUGAAGGCUCUUUAAAUUUAGAAGAUCUUUUCCAUUAUUUAACUCCAUAAGUACAUUCUUGACGCCUUCAAGUCCCUCUAGGCACAAAUCUUCUGUCUUUAUCAACAACUUUUUCAUCCCAUUGUCCAAAUCAAUGUUUGUAUAUAACUUGAGCUUCAAUGCUUUUGGAGAUUCAUAAUUAUCGCAACAAUCAGAUAUUCCAUAAUUACCUACGAAAAUCCUGAAUCUGUCCAAUGUUUCAACAAACCGGUGUUUUGGUAUCAUUUGGACAUCAAGAAUAUGAACAUAUAAAGUAGUUAGACAAGGCAAAUUGUUUAAUUCAUCAAGGCUUGCAUUUUUCCUCUCAUUUUCAACUACUCCUCCCUUUUCCCAUUCAACAAAGCUCCCACUCAUAUAUAAUUCUUCUAAUUUAGACAAACCUGAUAAGACAUUCGGUGGGAUGAUUUUGAGUUCUCUACACCAGCUCAAAUCUAGCAACCUUAAUUGAGACAAUUGUGCCAUCUCCUUAGGUAGUUCUUUGAUACCUGACCCAGAAAGGUCGAGUACUUCUAAACUCUUGAGCUCUCCAAGGAUGGUUAUGUCAUCAACUGCACAUUGUUUUAGACGCAACAUGCGAAGGUCUGCAAGGUGAAUAAUUGAUUCAGGGAGGGAUGAAAACUGCAUUCCGACCAAAUCUAAGGCUUUGAGGCCUUUGGUUUGUUUGAAGAAAUUGAGAGGAAUUUUAACCGCGCCAUCAUAGGCCAUAUGGAGAAAGGAAAGUCCUGAACACUCCAUCUCCUUAGGAAGGUUAGCUAUAAUCUGAGGACAACGUAAGCUGAUCACAUUCCACGUCUUCAUUUUCUCCUUAUCGGACCACUCCUUCGGAGCAUGAUCUCUCAAAACAAGCAUACGGUAGUCCUUCAAUGCGAUAGCUAUAGCAGCAUCCCAAACAACAUCAUGGAUAUCAAAGAGCUGAUCAUUAUAACUAUCAAGCAACAAGGCAGACGCUUUGAGAUUAGCCACAACCGUCAAUACUUUAUUUCUAGCUUCUUCCACAGUGUAGACACCAUCAAAUAAACCCAAACCUAGAGUAUAUCUUACCAAGUCCUCAACGAGACCAUUAUGGCCUAUUACACUGCAAAGCAAGAAAGUCAGCUUAACUUCCUCGCUUUCUAAAUAAUUAAAACUCCACUCUAUAGCUGAAUAUGCAGCAUUUAUCCCCGUGAAGUUGCUUGACGAAGGCCUCUCCAGUUCUCGUAAAGCAUUCUUCCAUUCAAACAAUCUUUUGUUUCUCAAAGCCCCUGCAACUGUCGCAAUGGCUAUUGGCAAUCCUGCACAUUUUUUGGCUACCUCCAUAGCUAUAGGCUUCAAAUCGCAACUUUCAACACAGUCGCCAGCCAUCUUCUUGAACAGGUCCCAGGCUUCCUUUUCAUUUAAAACCCCGAUGGGAAAAUUUUUCUGAGCAUCCAUCCCAUUUAAUAAAACAUUGAGUUCUCUAGAAGUUAACAGCAACUUGCAUCCCUUGUGUCCAUCUCCCAAAGGAAUCCCAACUUCCUCAAUAUCUAACUUUUCCCAAAUAUCAUCCAACACAACCAGAAUCCUCUUCCCCAUCAAUCUUUCUCGUAGUCGAAAUGCCUUUCCAACCAUACUCUGUUCCUCAAAUUUCAAGCCCAAGAAGUCUGCAAUUUGGUUCUGAAUCUUCUCAAUAUCGAUGGCUUGAGUUACGGUUGCUAUUACAACCGAAUCAAACAACUUGCCCUUGACCUUUCUAGCGAUUUCUUUGACCACCGUUGUUUUUCCAAUCCCGCCCAUACCAUGCACCCCAACAACGCUGACGCUAUCAUCUUUUAGUGCCUCCAUUAUUCCGUUCAAAAUCGACAUUCUUGACUCGAAUUCCUCAUAACCUUUAACUGGUGCAACCACGAUACCUUGCGAAGCUGCACGAUAGGAAACCCUUUCAAACUUGCCAUGUUCAAGUAGCUCGGCAACAGCCUUUGCCUCCUCUUCAGCUUUCAGGCUAAGCUUGUAACGGGUCCUGAAAUUAGGACACAAACCAAUGAAACACUUUUUCUUUGCUUUUUCUUCAUCUUGCAUCACUUUCUCUACUUGUUCAGGGAUCUUCCUGUCCACUGCCGACAUCCAGUUGUUAACAUCACGUUCGAUCUCUUCGCCGUUUCGUUGAGCUGCAUCAACAGAAUGCUGCACUCUGUCCCUUGCAUCUUUCAGCUUCUCAGCUUGGUCCUUGAGGGUCUCAACAUAUUGCUGAUGAUUGGAAAGGUAUUUGACAUGGUUUUCGAUAGGAGAGAUCGUAUACUCUACAGCUUUAGCUACAAUAGAGCCAACGAUGGCACCAACAAUCUCCAUCGAGAGAGCAAACUGAAUAACCACAGCGACAACAAAGACCAAAACUUGAAUUAUCUUAUAUAUAUAGUUUUUAAAAAGAACUCAUUUUCAUAAUCUUAAAUAUAUAAGUAUGAGAUUAAUGUUUUACUUUAUGACAAUUAAAGUAAAGUAAUUUUGUUAAUAGAUAAUCUUUUAUUAAUAUAGACAUAUAUCUAACUUUAUUUUUUUAAUAAUUAUCUUUUUUUGAAGGAGUAGGUUUUUUUUUUGGCUAAGCAUUGAAGGAAUAAUUUGUCUUUUACACUUUGAAUAAAUUUUACAACACAUCUUUUAAAAAAUAGUUUUCUAAUUAUUAUUUAAAUUAUUUUCAACUAAUUCAAAAUUAUACCUAUUUCUUAUAUUUUGAUUAAACAGGAGAUUGUUUGGUGUAAUGUUAUUUAUUGUACAAGCAGUAUUAAGAUAUUUAAUUUUUUAAAAUAUUUUACUAUACUUCUAAAAGACAUUUUAUCAACCUCAUGACUUUACUUAUGGAAUUUAAAAACUUCAAUAAUAAAUUAUGAUAAAUCAUUUAAUACACUGCCAAUAGAAUUUUUAGACUCUACUAGCAGGACCAAGGGAUUGAUAAGUAUUUUAUAAGGGUAUAAUAAAAUAUUUAAAGGAAAGAGAGACAUGUCAAUUUUUUAAGGUUACUUGUGGAAUAAAAAAAGUAUUAAAUCCUCACCCUGUUUAUAUUAAUAUUUUUAAUUUAGUUUUUAAUCUUAAUUCAUAUUUUAAAUAUUAUGUUAUAACAAAAUGAAAAUUUAUUAAUAGUAAGGGGAAUGAUCUACUUACGCAAUGUAAAAAAUUAAAGUAAUUUUACACACUUCCGUAAUUAUUUAUAUUAUUAAUAUUUUAAUGAUACAAUCAUUAUAUUAUAUGGUAUAUUCAUGUAGAUCAUAAAUUUCAAUUUUGAUUUAAAUUUAAAACUUCUAACUAUUUAAUUUGUUGCACAUUUUUUAAUUUAGUUAAUUUUUUAAAAAAUAGAAAAUAAUAAAGUAUAUUAAAUGUUUCAAUUUAAAAAAAUAUAUUUACUCCUUAAAUAGUAAUAAUAUCUUCAAAUUUUAAACUACUUGUGCAACUUGCACUAAAUCAUAUUCAAAAAGUAUUUUGGUAAUUUUUUUAUUAAAAUUAAAUAUAUUAACCGCUACCAACAGUGACUAAUUCUCUCGUUACAGGAAUUUUCUGAAAACUAUCAAAGUAUUUUGUUAAUUUAGUUCAAACCAAUUAUAUAUAAAAUAUAUAUUUAAUGUUUGAAUAUUUAAUUUGUUUUUUAAAUGAUUUUUCAUUUAAUUUUAGUACCCUAUCAAACCAUCUUUCCAACCAUAUAUAGCGUUCAUUAUAAAGUAGACUUUGUUCAUGAGUCGAAUUACAAAGUCCAUUCAAAACAUAAAGAGUUUAGGUCAUAAUAUAAACCCAAAAAAUAAGCUUCAAAAAAAAUAAGAUUCGCGUUUUAAAUGGGCCGAGCCUCAGACAAGAUUUUUUUUUAGUUUGGACCUAACCCGAAUUUAAUUAUUUUUUUGCUGCUGUUUACUGCUUUUAUGUUGUUGUUUUUUGUUGUUAUGUUGUUAUUUUGCUACUGUUUCACUAUUAUAUUACUAAUAUUUUGCUACUAUUAUUUAGAUAUUGUAUAACUCUUAUUUUAUUUUUAAUUUUACUAUUAUUUUAGAAACGUUUGUUUGCUAAGUUAUAACUAUGUUAGUGUUAUUUAAAUAUAAAGAAUUUUUUAAAUAUAUUUUCAAUUUAUUGAGAAAUAUUUAUUUUAAUGUGUUUAAAGUAUUUGAUGUAUUAUAUUUUUUAAAUUUAUUUUUAUAUAAAAAAUAUAAAAAAUUUAAUACGGGUUCAGAUUUAGUAUUUUUUAUCUGAGCUGAACUUAAAUAAAAAUUUUAGGCCCAUUUGUUUAGUUGAGCCGAGUCCGGACCCGAAAAACAAAUUUAAAAUUUUUACAUUGACCCAACCUAUAAUCAGUUCUAGUACAAAUCCUUCUUCUACGAGAUAAAGCAGUACUCAACCUCUUAAUAACGAUAUUGCAGUAUGUGGAAGCCACAAGUUGUUGAUAGAUCACAAACAAAAGUGCUUACGCAGCAUUCCUAAUAGUCACCCCUUCUUAUCCCUUUUUUCUACCAACUUUAAAGAGUGUUUUCCACAAUUUUUUUAAUGGAUUUUUACUGAAAAUAUGUUUUCUUUUUAAUUCUGAAUUUUUAUGUAAUUUUAAAAAGUAAAGAUCAAAUCAAGGCUAAGAAAUUUAUUUGAUCUUUUUAUAUUUGUCAGGUCAACAACACUAAGUGUAAAUUUGAAUGGAAAGAUGAAGAUUUUAAAAUCGAAAAAGUACAGGACUCAAAAUCUUAAAGCUAAAAAGAUUUAAAGCAUAAAAGAAGUCCAUUUUCAUGGCUUAAACUGCCUGCCUAAGCUUGUUUAUACCGACAAGUAUUUCAAAAGAGUAAGAGCAAAGCAGAUGGCGUACCUUUUGGCUAUGAUCAAUAACUGAUAAUUUUCCCCCUUCUUAACAGAGCAAAGGCAGAAAGUAAUGAUUUGAGAAAGAUGACUUCAUCUUACUUUAAAAGAAAGGAAGUCUGGUGGAAACAGCUGAGUAAUGAGUAGCCAACUACCAUAAAAUGUCGUAUACCAAAACAUAUUUUAAUGGGAAAAUAUUCGCUUUUACCAACUAAGCAAAGUGGUAUUUUCCUUUUUUAGUUUUGAGAUGGAAAGAAAAUGAGAUUUAAGUUUAAUUAUAGGAUUAGUAAAUGACAAUUACAUCAUUAUUAAUUUCAUGGUUUUCUUAACACCCCAAUUUAUAUAUAUUUUAUGGACAUAUAUAUAUUUAAUAUGUUUGCACUAACUCUGAUGAAUUGGUGCAAAUAUAUACUUUUUUUUGACAGAAAUGUUGGCAAUCAUAAAACAUAUAAUUGAUUUUUUACUCUAAUUAUCUCUAUUUACAACUCUAAACUAAAUAAAAUAAAUUUAAUCUAUUCAAUUGAUUGAUUAAAUAUAAUUUAUAUCUAUAUAAAAAAAAUUCUAUAUAAUUUAGAUGUAAAAUAUACUAAAAUAGAAAAUAAACUAGAAAAUAAAAAAGGAGUCGAUAAUAUUAGUAAUAUUAUAUUACUAUAUUAAUAUAGAAUAUUACAUAUGAAUCUCUACAUCGUUACAUUCCACUUAGGAUUAGGUUGGGCAUAAUUGGGCCUCCUUUUUACAUAUCUCUUAUUAUUUAAGACCUUAUUCACCUCUUUUCUUUUUUUUCUUUUAUUGAAUUGAGAAAUUGUUAGAGGAAUCAUUACUGCAAGGCAUAGAGGGGGGGUCAUAGGAGUUUAUACUGUAAAAUUGAUUUUCUACGAAAUGAAAAAGACAUGUUCGGUCCAUAAAAUAAGUUAUUAAAUAAAUGAAUUAUUAAGUAUCCAAGUAGUAAAUAAAGCUCUUGAAAGGUUGAGUGAAUGAGUUGAUCCAAUUGCAUGAGUAGUUUCAUGUAAGGUCAUUUUCCAAUUUUUUUGUUUUUUUGCUUUUUCUUUCUUCGACCAACUAUUCCUCAUAUAAUAUCUAUUCUUUUUGGAAAUUUUAUCUAAAAAGGAGUGACUAGAAUCAACGAAAAUUUUAUCUAAAAAGGAGUGGCUAGAAUCAACGAAAGCACACCACUGCCAAAGUAGAAAAAGACAUGCAAUAAUGAAGGAUGUUUUCAAGGCUUACAUAGUCAUAGAGGCUGACAGUAUCCGGUCCCUAAAAUAAAAAAAUGGGCAAUUUACUAAUAAAAGCUUAAUUUUUUUUAUAAAUUUACCGAAAUGGGCCCGGUAUUUUAUUAUUUAUCGGAAUGGGUCAUUUUCAUGCAAAUCGUGUCCACGUCAGCGCGAUGUCAAGGGACGUGCCAGCAAAGCGCGGCCACGUCAGUGCGCUUUGCUGACGUGACAACAAAUCUCGUCCACGAUGGGGCGAUUUGUUGCCACGUCAGCAAAGUGCUCUGACGUGGCCGUGACUUGCCCCUUGGUAAAAAAUUUGACCGUUGCUGCCCCCCCAACAGUCCAAAAAAAACUAUAAAUACCCCCACCCCUUUUUUUUUCACAAACUAAUCCUCUCUCAAAUUUCCUCUCAAUUUCCUUCCAAAUUUCUCUCAAAUCUAUAUUUAAUAUAAUAUAAAUUAUUUUAGAUGAAAUAAAUUAAAAUAUAUGCUACAUAAAUAUUAAUAUAAAUGUAAUUUUUAUUUUUAUUUUUAAGUCCAAGUGAAUUUGGGUGAAAAAUAUUAAAAAAAUAUGCUUCAUUUUUAUGUGUAAAGAUUGCACCCGAACUACAAAUUAUGUAUGUUAACAUUAUGUGAAUAUUUAUUGAGAUACAUUCAUUAUUUAAAACCAAAUGACGAUGAUAUAUCAUUUGAAAUUUUCAAGCAAAAGCGAAAGUUCAUUAUUUAAAAUAUUAUAUUAAAUUAUAACUAGAAAUUUUAUUACACUCGUAUGUACAGAAAUAAAUAUAUUUUUGGUUUUGUCAUCAAUCCUAAGUUGGUGUCGAGUUAAUUUGUGAUAUCAUCUCAAUCAACGACGUUAUUAAUAUAUACAAUUUAUGGAUGUAAGAAAGUGUGCAUGAUAAAAUAAAAAUGUAUAAAAAUAUUAAAAUAAAAUUUUGGUUAAGUGAUAAAUUUAAAGCUUUGCUAAUAUAUUUUUAUUGUUUUUGUAUUCAGCAUAAUCACUUGUGUGAACUCAAGAGCCUUUAUAUACAAACUCAUGCAACGGCUUCUACCAGCCAUGCAAUAGCAUGCACACGUAACAAACUUAACAACCGUAACCAUCUAACUGCUCAAAUGGAUUAAGCUUCUAACUACUCAAUACCAGAAUUGAGACUCUCUUGAAUACAUUGGAACAACAAACACCCAAAGACCAUUUCUGAGAGUAUCAAACUGCUUUGGCGUAACUGGUUUGGUAAACGGGCAAUUUACCAAUAAAAGCUUAAUUUUUUUAUAAAUUUAUCGAAAUGGGCCCAGUAUUUUAUUAUUUACCGGAAUAGGCCAUUUUCCGGCAAAUCGCAUCCACAUCAGCGCGAUGUCAGGGGACGUGCUAGGAAAUCGCGGCCACGUCAGCGCGCUUUGCUGACGUGGCAACAAAUCACGUUCACGAGGGGGUAAUUUGUUGCCACGUUAGCAAAGCGCGCUGAUGUGGCCGCAAUUUCCUGGCACGUCCCCUGACAUCGUGCUGACGUGGAUGCAAUUUGCCAGAAAAUGGCCCAUUCCGGUAAAUAAUAAAAUACCGGGCCCAUUUCGGUAAAUUUAUAAAAAAAUAAGUUUUUAUUGGUAAAUUGCCCGAAAAAAUGUUCAUGUAUAAUAUUUAUAAUUUAUAACAUUUUAAAUUAAUAAAAGUAAAAUUAUACUUUGUUCUUCUUUAAAAUGAUAAAAAAAUUUGAUUUAAUCCUUUAAAUAUUAUAAAACUAUUAAAUUAAUUAAAUUGUACAUUUUUACAUUAAUUUCGAUCUCUCAAAAACAUUUUCUGACUCUGCCACUGUCAAUAUCAUCUUUGAGAGACACGCUAUUAAUUAAUUUAUAUGUAUGUCAUUAAUAAUUAUAAAAAAUUGACAUAUAUAAAUAUCUUUAAUAAAUUUUAAAAUUAAUUUUUGUAAUUACAUCUUGAUCAUUUUUAAAAUUAAAUACUCAAACAUUAAUUAAUUUUAUUUUUAUUAAAUUAAAAAUAUCAAUUAUUCUUAUUGGUUGCAUUUUAAUUCAAGAAAAACUAAAAAAAAAAACCCUAUUUGGUUUUCAUUCCACGUUUUCGCAAGUCACAAUAAAGGAUUUUUUACGUUAAUAAUAUAAAAUAAAUAAAUAAAUAAAUACAGGAUAGGAUAAGAGAUUAAUAUUUAUGAGAAUAGUCAAAUGAAAUAGCAAAAUAUUGGCGCCGCCUAACCAAUUGACGGCAUCACUUUAUUUAAAAAAAUUUGGGCGCAGCUUGUGCACUCGGCCGCACCAGGCUAAAAUGUGAUGAUCUAAAAAUUACAGGGACUUUAUAUGUAAAUUUUCCAUUUUAAUUGACAGUCGAAAAAUUUUCAUGGGUGACAGCACCAAAUUUUAAAAGGGUAAAUUGCACCCUAAACCCCCUAUUUAUUAUUAAAUUUUAUUCUCUUUUAACACCAAAAAUAAAUUGGCCUCUUAUCAAUUAGUCUAAUUUUUUUUUUACCAAAAAGUAUUUUUUUCAAGUAAGUCGAUUCCAACUCGAAAUAAAUUUUAUUUAUUUUUCAAAAAAAAAUAACAUUAUGUUUGACAUUACAAUUAACUGUAUUUAUAGUAGUUUUCUUUUUCUCUCAUUAUAUUUGGAAACUAUAAAUUUAACUAAUAAUUAUAAUUUAUACAUAAUUAGAUUUUUCUAAAGCUUUUAUAAUUAUAAUUUUAUACUAUGUACGUAAACCAAAUAGAUAAUAAAAUUAUAAAUAUUUUUUAAAAAUAAAUAAAAUUUAUUUCCAAAUGGAAACGGUUUACUUACAAAAAUACUUUUUGGUAAAAAAAAAUUUUAGACUAAUUUAUAAAAGGCCAAUCUAUUUUUUGGUGUUAAAGGAAAAUAAUAAAUAAGGGAGACUUAGGGUGCAAUUUAUCCUUUUAGAUCAUCACAUUUUAGUCUGGUGUAACCGAUUGGUCAAGCUGCACCUGAACAAAAUUUUAAUAAAGCGGUGCCGCCGAUUGGUCAGACGACACUGAUAUUUCACUAUUUCAUUUACCUAUUCUUGUAAAUAUUAUUCCCUUUAUCCUAUUCAAGUAUUUAUUUUUUAUUUAUUUAUUUUAUAUUAUUAAUGUAAAAAAACCCCACAAUAAAGUGUUCAUAAUAAUUAGUUCUCAAUGUGUAAUAUUGAUUUUCAAAUAUAAUAUUUACUAUAUUUAAUAAAAAUUAAAAAAUAAAAUAAUGUAAUUGAUUGCAUGUUUGAUAUUAUUUCACUUUUAUAACUUUAAAUUUUGAAGAUAUUAUUUGCUAAUUUAUGGUUAAUAUUAAAAUUAUAUUCCUUCAAUUCUCUAUAAACACAAAUAAAAAUAUCUCUUAUAUAUUACCAAUUUAAUUUAUAACUUUAAACAAUUUCAAAUGUCAAAUUUACUAAAAAAUUUUAUUCCAUUUUUUUAAUUUCUCAAUGUAUCUAUUAGAGCAAGCCCAAUAACUAACCCUCCACAUUCUAUAGGCCCAUUAACGGGGUGGAUGCUGGUCACGAGUUUUAAAGUUACUCCAUACCCAGGACAAUGAUCGAACCAUUAACCACCAAUUAAAGUAGAAAAGGUUGUUGCCAUCUCAAGUGUAAAAUAGUUGACAAAGAUGUGAAAAAUUGGUAAGUUUUAGUUUUACGAAACCAAUCUUAUGUGUACACUUUAUAAUUUAUUCUUUUGCCAUUUUACAUUUAAUAGCUAAUCUAUAUUUUAUUUAACAUAUAUUCCCAACAAAAAUUGUUCGACCUAAUUAUUGUAUACUCAAUAUUUUUAGCUUUUCUAUUAAGAUAAUGAUAUCUAGGGCAAAGUUAGAAAAUUUUUUGGGACGGAAUUAAAUUAUAUAUUUUUACGAUAAUGAAAAUAUAAUUUUACCAUUUUAAUAGUUUAUAUCUUUAUAAUUUUUAAAAGGUUAAAUCAAUUUUUUAUUAAUUUUUGGGGAGGAAAGUGUAAUUUUACCAUUACUAAUUUAAAAUUUUAUAAGUUAUAAAAGACUUAAAUGGAAAAUAUUCUAUUUUAGAGGGAACGGGGCUCCGCCACUAAUCAUGUCUAUUUUUCAUUAAAUUAUUUACCUAAACUUUAAAUCAUUUCUAUAAAUUUUUGUACUUUUUACCUUGUAGGAGUCUUUCAUUAGAUUGUGUGCAAUAGAAACCACCUCUACUCAAUUUAAUCAAUCCAAUUGGUUUAAUUGAAUAAACUAUUAAAAAUUAAAAAUAAUAUAUUUUAAAAAAUCAACUCGGUCAUUUGUUCAACCGGUUCGUGGAUCAACUAGUCUAAAUACUUAUUUUAAAUUGAGACAAUCUAAACUUGAAAUUAUCCAAAUUCUAAAUACUCAAACUUAAACCGGUUCAAAUAAGUGGUAAUCCUAAUCCAAAGAGAGACCGAUAUGAACCCAUUUGUCACUAGUACAUAGACGAUCCUUUGCUUAGAGAAGGAUAUUAGGGAAUGGCAAAGUCUUUUCCCUUUCUGCAUGAAAUUUUGGUCCCAAUAUGUAAACGUUGUGUUUUAUUAGCAAAUAAAGGGUAAGAAAAAGCGAGGUAAGUAUUGAAGAAUAAUACAUCGACUCUCUUUACAAUAAUGUACAUUAUUUGUAAGGCAACUAAAUGAAUACAUAGGGAAAAUGUUACCCAAAACGAAAAAAGAAAAAAAUCUAUUAUUGAAAAAUAAUGUAUAACCUCAUAGGUCAGAAUUUGAUUCUUAUUAUAAUUAACAAUGUCAGUUUCCUUAAAAUGAAAAAAUUUUCAUUUAGGCUCCUUUAUAAUUUAUAAAAUUUUAAAUUAAUAAUUGUAAAAUUAUAUGUAGACUAUUAAAAUGGUAAAAUUACAUUUUCACUAACAUAAAAAUAAUCAAUUUAAUUUCAACCCUCAAAAUAUUUUUUUUGACUUCACUACUAAUAAUCAACUUAGAUACUACAUUAAGCUGAAUGAGAAUUAUAUAAAAAUUAAAAUUAUUUAUUAAAUGAGGAUGUAGGCAUGUUGUUAAAAAGAUUAGCCUCUCAUUGUUUUGCACUGGAUUGGUUAUUUAUUUGUAUUAUAUUAUAAAGUAAAAAAAUUAAAGAUUAAAAUAUUCUCGAAGUUCUUACACACUUCGUACAUUUGAAACUUAGUUUCUCUAUUUUUACUUUCAAAAUUAAAAUUUAUCAAUACAUAAUCAAAGUCAUUAAUCCCACAUCAGAAAGAAAAAGAAUCCUAAAUAAAUAAUUUUUUAGGAAGAAGGUAAUUAUCCAAAUACAUAUAUAGAUUUGUGAUGGGUCUUGGGCUAUAGCUAGAUCUAUAAUAGAAUAAUUCAAAAUUAGAAAUUUUCAGAUCAUUUCAUCCAAAUCAGUUUCAAAUUUAAGUUUGAAAUUAUUUGAAGUUUAAAUUUUCUAAUAAGAUUUAUAUUCAAGUUGAUAAGGUUUUCAAAUCCAAAAAUCACAGAUCUAAUUGCCUUUGAUUCACAAUUUUUGAAGAUAAAAAUGGGGAAAAAAAACUUAUAACAGUAUAAGUUGUUUAUAUUAAUUUAAAGGUUGAAUAACAUGGGGCUAUAUAUAUAUCUAUUAGUAUUUAACUUGGAAAAUAAUUUUAAAAUCUAAAAUGAUAUUAAAAAGUAUUCAAAACAAAGUUGUUGGGAAUGACAACCACAAAUCUCGAAAUGAUUAGUUUUCAUGAUAUGUAAAAAGCGAAUAUAAACAGUAAAAUGAUUAGUGAUUGACAGUAAAGGAUAGGUAAGCUUACCAUGAAAAUAGCCGGAUCGAGAUCACGGAAUUCGCUUUUGUUUACGCUUAUGAAUCUUCAGUUGCCCGAUUACGUACUGAAUGAUUUCUUUCGUGGUGGCUUUCCUUCCUUCCUUUCUGUUCCAAAUCUGAAAAGUAAAAGAAGAAUAAAAGAGGAUCACUAAUGGCUGUUCUUUACCCCCAUACAUGCCUAGCCUAGUUAUGUUGCUAUAGGUAUAGCUAGUAUGCAGAAGGAAAAGGGCCGAAAGGGGCACUACAAAUUCGAAAGCAGUGCUAUGUACGGAGGGGGACUGGAUUAGCACCUAAUCCAUUUGGUGCCAAACAUCAUCUGAGAGAGCAGCAUUUGAAUAGAAACACAAAAUUGUGCUCAAGUGGGUCCUUUAUACUAGUCACCUUAGGUGCCUGCUGCACCUUUCUUGCAUCCAAUUGCACAACCCGUAAAUUCAACCCCAAUAUAUCAACUCUCUCUCUACCCCUCUCUCUUCAUUGCUCACUUGUGCCUGUAUCUGCAGAUAUGUGGCUAUAUCCAUUAACACAUUUGUAUCCAAAUUCAUGAUGAAACUAAGGAUUAAUACGUUACAUAUGUUAAUAAGAACAUAUUUUGCAGUGCUCCUAGCAAAGUCUUGUUGUAAGAUAAGUACCAUGUUUCACUGCUAGGAAGUUUUAUGAAGUAAGUAUUAUCUUGGGUAAAUCUUCAUCAAAAGGAAUCGAACCAUAAAAAUUGUAAUAGGUGUUGGAUAAAAUACGUUAGCGAACAAAAUAAUUAAUUAUAAAUAAACACAUAUGAAAUAAAAUAUAAAUAGAAUGAUUUAUAAUUAAUUUAUCAAAUACAAAAAUCAAAUAAAAAGUUGAAAUAAAGUAGAAUCAAGAUUUCACGAAAAGUCGGGGCCUGUGAAACACAGUUUCCUUGAGGCAAAUUCGGUCGCUCCGACAGUACUUGGAGAAAUGUUGGUCGAAUGUUUCCCAGGAUACAACAGCAACAAUGAUCAGAGUAGUAGCACCUCUACAACGAUCGAACAAACAAACUUUUUCUUUUUCUAUCACUGGAAUAUUGUAAAAAUACGGAGAGGCAAAAGAAGAGUUUUGAAAUGAACAGAAUUUCAGUAUAGGAAAUUAUUUGAAUGUGUGUGCAAUCCUCUAGAAUACACAGCAUUUUAUAGGCAUUUAGGAUAGUAAAAAAAUUUGGAAAUAAACAUAAAUAUGCCAUUAAGGAAAAGUCAAAUUAGAUUUAAAAAUUAAGGAAAUAAACAUAAAAAUCAAUUUGAUUUAAAAAAUAAAUCAAAUUAGAUACUGUCUAUAGAUAAGCAGAUUAUGUCUGCUGAGGAAAAAUAAAUUCGUGUUGGGUUUGCUUAAAAUAUCCGUAAGCCCAAUUAAGCUUGACCGGUCCAAACAUUUCGCGUUGCCCACAUCGUGCGGGUGUGCCCCAACCCUUUUAGGUUUAGACCUAUACUUUCUACGCACAAGACAAAGUUACAAACUUAAUCAUUCAAUUAUCUUUUUAAGAGGGUUCACAUAUAUAAAUCCAUCUCACACUUUGGUAUUUAACCAAUAUGGAUCCAAUCAUUUAUUUUUAGCUUACUUUGAGCAUCAAUUUCUCAUUCAUUUCAACCAUUUUGAGCAUAUGAUAUAUUGUUGUAAACGUCUCAUGGAGUAGAAUAUGAAACCAUAAUUUAUGAUUCAACUCUCCACUUUUACCUAUAGAGAAUAUGCUUUAAAGUUCCCAUAAAAAUGCAAUUUUUCCAACAACAGGAGUGUCUGCAUUUGUACUUUCAUAAUGGUAAACAAUCAUCGGUAUUCAUGCAUUGCGAGGGGCCGGGGGGGUUAAAAAAGUUAAGGUAUGCAUUGUUUUUUGUACAGACUGUAAAAAUUUUAUUGGCCGCAACAAUUGGUUACUUAUAGUAAUGUUAGGGGGGUCUCUUGGAAAUUCUGUGACCACACAAGGGUACCAUACUGCAAAACAUUGCUACCAUUACCAGUACCAAAUGUGCAUCCCCCCACUUAAACAGCCCUACCUUCUUCUUCUUCUUUUUUUUUUUUUUUUUUUUUUUUUUUGCCUUUUGAUUUCUUUCUUGUGGUCCUCACAUUUGGCAAUUAUUGGUUCAAACAAGAUAAGCUCAUCACCAUCGUUCCUUAUUAAAAAACAAGUUUCAGUUUCAUCAGUUUUUAUUUUUUUCCCUUUACUGAUAUUUUCAAAACCUACACACAUUGCCUUGUUGCCAAUGACAAAUAUUUUGUUUGUUUAAUAAUGGUGGAUGGUGGCAUUAGAAUAUUACUGACUCGCAUGCUUGUUUUUCUGCACUGACCUUAACUUGGUUAAAGUCUUAAUCCACUAACAAUGUGGAUACUACAAAGUUUUUUAGGUGCUUUAAAGAACUAAACUUUUAGUUUAACUAGUGAUCUUCUCAAUAAUAUAUAUACAACAUUUAUUUGAGGAGAAGGGUUUUAUACAACAUUUAUUUGUUUAUUUAUAGCAUAACUCUGUCCUUAUAGCUUGCACCAAAGAGACUUUGUGGCCAUAAGCAUUGGCUUAAAGACAUCUACAUCUGAUGUAAUAUUAAACAGUUUAAAUUAUAAUGAUAUUGACACAAAAUUGAAGUUUGCAUACUUUUCUGAUAUAUAUACUUUGUGAUGAGCCCUGCAAUAUGGAGUAAACGAUCUUAAAGAUCAAUGUUCAAGCCUUGUUGCCUAAAUUCUUUGCCUAAAUUUUAUAAUUGAUUGAAUAAGUGUUGAUUCACUAUAAACUCAUCUGUUGAAGCAAAAAAAAAAAAAAAAGAUUAAAAAACUACAAAAAGACAUGUAUAUGUUGAAAUGACUAAGCCCAUUUUGCCAUCAAAGACAUAAAUCCAGCACCAAGUAAAACUGCAACAUAUGACCAAGCCUGGAGCUUCAUAUUUGUUUGAAGCUUAGGGCCCAGAAAAUCAGCUGCAAGGAGAUCAACCAGUGCCAUGUAAUUCAGCAACCCUGCUGAGCAAGCAUUAAGUAGUCCCACCACCAUAAGUGAAGUUGGACUCGUCUCACUGUAAACCUUGGACAAACCAAUUCCCAGAACUAUUCCAAGUGCCGUUGUGGCUGAAAAGAAGAAUACCAUGAUUGCUUUCAUUUUUAUCUCAUAUUCAGCCUGCACAUAUCAAACAUAAUGUUAAUCAAUAUUGUACACUAAAUGGAUGUUUGAAUGAGAAAAUAGUGCAAUGUUGGGGGUUACCUGCAGUAUGCAUCCACCAAGUCCCAUCCCCUCAAACAUUUGAUGGAAGCAAAGGGCAGCAAUGAGUGAUCGAAUGGUGCAUUGAUUGCCAGAGGCUCCCAUUGCAAGACCAAUCACCACUGAAUGAACUACAAUUCCCAACUCUAAUACCUACAUUUAGGAAAUAUAUAAUGUAAAGACUUGAAAAGCAAAACCAUCGAAUUUGAGGAUUCAAACAUGUAUAUAUACCUGAGCAAUAACUCGAUGCCUUAACAAUUGUGAUGAUACGUCGUCAUUCAUCUCAAGUGAAUGGCUAUGGCCGUGUUCAAAGUUAUCGAUUGGUACAACGUUCGUAUUUUCCAAUCCACCACCAUUGUUAGCAUCCGCCAUUAAAGCUUUACCGCAACGUUUCUUGUAUACACUCAUUGCAAAUGAAUCCACCAUAAGGGUCAACACAGCCGACAGCAUUGCGACGAAGGUUGUGAAAGGGAACUUCCUCCAUGGGUUUUCAGGCAAACACCCGGACAUAAGGUCGUUGAAAGAAUCCGCUAGCACGUGCAUGUACCCAGUCGCUAGAAUAACACCGGAGGAAAAUGCCUUGACAAUGGUGAACAAGUCUCUGCCGGGUUUAAGUGACGGAACCUGACCAGAAAACAAUGGUAGACACACGCCAAUCAUGCUGGAUAGUAAAAUUGCGACAAUGGCGAUGAUUUUUAGCUUCAUGGAUUCUCUGUAGUUAUGGCAUCCAUUAGUCUUGGUCUCUGCUUCACAUUGAGCCAAUACAAGUGGAGUAGAAGAUGAAAAGAUGAUGAAAAGAACAAGGAAGAUUGAAUUUGCAAGGGAUUUUAGAACUGAUUUCAUGGCUGCCAAGAAAGAUUUACUGUUACGUUGGAUUGUGAGGCUUAACCGACUGGUUUAGAGGGAAUGAAUAUAUACAUUUCAUGGCCAAAUAUUACUCGUAUUUUUUUUGCCUCAUUUGUAAUAUUUCAGAUUUGGUGAUAUUAUUGCGAUUAAAAUUUCUAAUAUGUCCUUACUUUCGUUGAUUAAGUGGUAAAUUUAACAAGAAAUGUGAUGGUAUUUUGGUAUUUUAGCCUCGAAAUAAGGAAACCUGUGCAUGGCGUGUGAUAUGUGUGACCCGCCUUAAACUUUCUCGACCUUUGACUUUUCUAAUAAUACUAAGCACACGUCAGGCGUAAGCCUUUCUGCUGAUGUGGAAAUUCUUUUUCCAUGCAACAAUAUUAUUAUAAUCAAUCAUUAAAUGUUGUCUUUAAAAUAUUUUUUUAAAAAAAAGUUGUCUUUAAAAGUUGAAACAUAAAAUGAUAUUAUGAAAUAGUACUAGAUUAACAAUAUUGCAUCUUUAUUUUAAAUUAUUCUCCCAACUUUAAAAUAUUUUAAACUAUUUAUCUCAUCCUUUUAUUAUUGACACUAUUAAUUUAAAAUGAUAUUUUUAAAGAAAAGUAAAAUGUUGUCGAUACAACUUUUAAAAAUAAAAAUUAAAAAUAAAGUAGAAGAGAAAAUGAAUGAUAAUUUUUGUAAUACCUUCGAUACCUUGAAAUCAAUAUUUUUACAAUAUUCAUUUUUCUUUAAGUUUUUUAUUUUAAAUUAUGUCUCAUAAGAUUUGACGUCUCAUUUAAUGAUUUUAGCAGCAAAAGAACAUUAUUGAUAUAAUAUUGAUAAUUUGGAAAUGUAAUUUAAAAUAUUUUGAGUUUGAGGACUAUUUUAGAAGAAGGGCCAUAGUUUAGAGAUAUUUGGAGCAAUUAACUCUAAUAAUAAUGACAUGACAAAGUUAAAAAAGGUUAAGUUAGAAUUUUGGAGAUAUAUUAUUGGAAGAAAAGUCAAAAUUCAUAGACUAUAAAUAUUUAAAAAAAAUGAUAAACUAGAUUGCAGGUCACUCAACUAGCUUAAAUGACUGCAUACCUUCCGCUCACAUUAUAUUCGUUCAUUUCCAUCAAUGCGGUGCUAACAGCCUCGUACACGACAUCACCGUAUUCAUUUCUCAACUCCUUCAGCUUCUCGUCGUCUUCGUCUACUAUUUCCUACACUACCGAGUAGCCAUCCCCUUAAUAUAUCUAAGUUUGAGUAAUAAACUGGCUCGAUUCUGACAUACAUGUUUAGCACGUUUAGUACAAAAUGGAUUUUCGAUAACCGGAUAACAGAAUAGUUGGUGUAUGCACCAUGCCUGCAAGUUGCCUCGGAUAUUGAUCAUCUUAAACGGGUGCCAUUUCGGAUCCUGCACGUUUUGUUGCCAUAAUGAACAUAAUUUAGCACAUGUUUCUUGCCAAUCUUUGUUCGGGAACUUCCCAGAGCUAGCAACUUCAAAAGCUUUUUGAUCGAUCUCUCCCAUUCUUUUUACUACAAGAGUUGUUCGGCUUGUCAAUACAUCAUUUAGACCCUGCAUAUCAAGAACCAGAGAAGUCUUCGGUUUAACACUUUCAUACCUGAUUCCGAAGAGGUAUUUCUUGCACCUAAAGAAAUAAAACAUCCAAGAAAACAAAGGAUUCUUUUCGAGCAUCUUGCAGUUCUCGAUUAAUUAAGAUUUGUUUCACCGUAAGACAACUGUAUCGGCUUUCCAUAUCUUUCAACGCCUCUGAUGUUUCCUCCAAUUGUUCCUUUAGAGCAGCAAUCUGAUCGCUCGUAGUUUUCUCGAGUUCAACAAGAUCUCGACAAGGCACAUUCUCUUUCGGCUGUAUCAGAUACAAUCCACAUUGUUAAAUGUCCACUCGGCAAAUCAUAACCAUAAAAUAAAUAGGUAACAAAAUGUAUACAAAAAAUGUUUAAUUUACAAAAAAAUUAACCUGGGAUGAAAAUGGCUUAACGUUGCCGUUUGUCUUCUUUUUCUUCUUCUUCUUGCUGUAAACUUAGGGGGGAAAACUGGCGGCGUUAGAGAAUCAUCAAGAUAUAUGAAGGAUAACACUUGUUUUCCCGAGAAAUUUUUUCCAUAUUUUGCUUUUAUUUCCCUUUGGUCGAUUUAGUUUCCAUAUUCAACUUCCCUUCAUUAAAUAAGAUCUCAAAAAGUUAGUAUUUUUAUUCAUUAUUGCCAUUUUAUCUUUAUCAAAUCUGAAAUUUUUGAAUAUAUAUAAACAAUAAUUAGUCAAAUUUGGCAUUAAUAUAUUACCAGUAAUGCUGGUAAAAUUUUAGAACAUUCGGCACCAAUAUAUUACCAAUCUGAGUAAUGCACCAUUUAACAGCGCUUACGUUCUUAACUUCAUAUAUAUAUAUAUUUGUAUGUAUGUAUGUAUGUAUGUAUGUAUGUAUGUAUGUAUGUAUGUAUGGUUGAAGCUGAUUAAUGGGAAUUCAGCUUGCAUCCCAAUAUAAUGUACACAAAAUUGCCUUACUUCAUAAUAUUGUUAGUACAUAGAUUAACAUAGCAAUGGAACUCAUAAUAUGACACCCAGAUUUUAUAGAUUAACACAUCAUAAAGCUAUUCAACUAACAGUGCAUGUAGUCUGUAAUGCGAAUCAUAUAAGCAUUAGCCUCGUAUGGCCAAAGUGUUCCCAUAUAUUAUGUUCUUAUCUGGUUCUGAACACAUUAAGCUUAUCCGAGCCUAAAUUGAUCCGGUUCCCGUAAUAAAAGCUAAGUUUGGGGUUCAAAUCCUGACAUUUAUAUAGAUCAAUCAAUGGGUACCAAACGAUUCAAUUAACACAUAGUAUUCUGCUCACUACAUACACAUAUAUAAUCUAAAGUACCUUCAGCAAACGCAAGGCGCAACGCAGCAUUCUUGCCCUUCAACUGUCUCACGGUUACAUUAUAUUGAAGCUCCCAACCCCACAGAUUACUGUCCUUGGAGUUAAUUUUUGCUAUGAGGCCAUUGAUGAGUCCUCGAAGAGUUGCGGUCAUCUCGUUAUAUUCACGUUCCAUUUGGGACAACUGUUCUUUUCUGCAAUUAAUAUCGUAUAUGAGACUGCAAACAAGCCUGCGAUCAUUCUUCAGCUCCUUGUCGUAGUUGGUGUUCUCCAUUUCAAUGGAAGAUUUAAGUGCCUGCAAAUAUCAUUAUCAAAUCACAUAAAUGGAUUAAGAUAGAGGUAUCCUAAAAAGUUGAACAAUAACACUAAGAAGCAAAGCCAAGUUCAUGUAGUGAGAUUAAAACCCCAAAUGUUGGAAUCAUAAUAUUAGUUACUAAAAUCAAAGAAAUCCAUUCACUAUAACUACAAAUAGGAUGAAGAACCAAAAUUAUUCUCUGUUUUUCCAUUUUCUACUUUUUCAUUAUUGGCAUUAUUGAAGAAUUUUUCAACAAUAAGCUUCACCACUUUGCUGGUGCCUUCGGAAAUGGAAAUUGGUUUCAUUUCCAUAUUGCCAAGCAUUUUCCCACAAAUUCCCGUACUAAAAAAGGAAACAUGAAAUUUGAUCACAAAAACUCAAUGAAUCACUUGCCAAGCAAAAAAAGGAUUCAAGGAUAUGAAGCACCCUUAGCAAAAUUCAGGAUAUCAUUUGAUUUACAUAAAACACAUUGCAAAUUUUAAAACCCUGUUUGAAUUUUUUUCAAAGAGAAACAUGUCUAAGUGUGCAGGUCAAUUUCUGGGCCUUCUUAUUUAAUUUUAUUGGAAGAAAUUGUUUAAUUGAAUUUCUUUUAAAUCUUAAGAUAGUAGUAGAAGGACCAAAAGCAAAGUUGGACCUUCAUCCUUCAAUUCUGGCCAAUAUAUCAGAAAAUUACCACUGUUGACCAGCAAAUAUAUAAGCAACAAUUUAUUCCCAGAAAACUUGAGGUAUUCACGGUUCAACAGAGUAGAACUGGCGAAAACCCAGUAAAAAGGAAAAAAAAAAAAACUCUAAUGCAAUCUUAAGUGCGCGGAACCCAUGAACAUGAAAACUAAACCCAGGGGGAAAAAAGCAACAAAGCUGAAAAAAUGGCAAAAAAAAAAAUCAAAUUCACAGUUCAAGAGAGUAAAACAGACCGAACCCACUAAAAGAAAGAAAGAAAACUCUAAUUGCAAUCUUAAGUGCACAAAAACCCAUGAAUAUGAACGCCACGCCCAGGAAAAAAAAAAGAAACAGAGCUGUAAAAAUGUGGGAAAAAAAAAGGGAAAAAAAUUUGGACCAUUUCUCGAUUUGUGCGUGUCAUCCUUGAGCAGGGGCCAUGCUAAUCUUCUCUGUAUCGUUCCAAUUUUAUCGGCUGUCCCCGAAGGGACAACCAUGCGGUUCUUCUUUCGGUUAUAUAAACGCUCCUGUGUUAUAGUUAUUUAGCGAUAUGGGAUAUUUUCUAACCAGGGCCCUGAAGUAUGCUACCACGUCCUGACCAUGCCAGCCUGAAUUGAGGCCUGAUGUCUUUGGAGUGGCACAUGAUAAAAACGUGGCUAACACACGUGGCAAGCUCAGUGUUUAUCACUUAUCCCAACUUGAUUAUUAGAAUUUAGAGAAAAAUAUAUAUAUAAACCAAUGUUACUUUCAUAUUUGACUUCACAUUACAAUCGAGUUACUAUUAAGUUUGAUUUGCCAUAGUUGUAGGUUAAAUUUUAAAAUAUUUGGGUUUGCCUUGGAAUCAAUGUAUAUUACCAAUCAAUAAUGUUGCUCUAUAAAACGUAAAUCCCAAUAUUGAUAUUAUAUUGGAACAUACUUCACGAAUAUGUUUGUAUGUAUCGAUGGGAAUAUUUCAACAGCAUUCCUUUAUAAUUCAUAGGACAUAUAAGCAAUUCAUGCAAUUCAUAGUGUUUUUUCAUUUUAGAAAAUGAACAUUUUAAAAAAGGUAUUGUAGAACGAAUGAAUAGAACGAUCAUGGAAAAGGUUCGAUGUAUGUUGUCAAAUGUCAACUUACCAAAGUUAUUUUGGGCCAAAGCAGUGUCAACUACAUGUUUUUGAUCAAUCGGUCUCUAUCCGUUAUCAUUGAGAAAAAGACUCCAUAAGAGGUAUGGUCUGGUAAUCCUACUGACGAUUCUGAUUUAAAGAUUUUUUGGCAUAUUGCGUAUGCUCAUGUUGAUAAUGAAAAAUUAGAAUUGUGUACCAUUAAAUGUGUUUUUAUUGGUUAUAAAGCUGGUGUAAAAGUGUAUAAGUUAUGGUAUCCUGAAAAUAGAAAGGUUGUGAUUAACAGAGAUGUUGUUUUUGAUGAAACUGUUAUGCUACCUAACAUAUCUCUUAAAGACUCUUCCAAUAAAGAAAAUCAAAAGCAGGUGGAGCAUCAAAGUAAUCUAGAAUCUACAACAGAGUCGACUCCUCAAGCUAGUACAAAAAUUCAAAAUAGAGUUGUUUUUUCACCACAAUAUUCUAUUGCCAAAAACAGAACUAGAAGAGAAAUUAAACUUCCAAAGAAGUAUGACGAGGCUGAUCUAGUUGCUUAUGCUUUAAAUGUGGCUGAAGAUAUAAAUGCAAACCAAGAGCCAUCUAAUUAUUCUGAUGCGGUUAAUUGUGAAGACUUAGAAAAGUAGACGUUUGCUAUGCAAGAGGAGAUGGAAUCACUCCACAAAAACAAAAUAUCGGAUCUUGUGAAACUUUCUAAACGUAAAAAGGUUGUUUGUUGUAAAUGGGUAGAGGUGUCCAUGGGCAGGUCUGGGUCGAGUUCGGGUCAGGCCCAAAAAAAUUUUCAGCCCGCUUCCUAGGCCCGAGCCCAGCCCGGCCAGGUCCAUUUUUUAAUUAAAAUUAAAAUUAUAUUUUUAUUAAAAUUAAAACUAAUUGUUAUUAAAAUUGUAUCAAAUUAUAUAUUUUUUUGUACCAGUCAACAUUUUGUAAAAUCUAACAUUUUAUUAGUAAAAUUAUUAAUUGUUAAUUGUAUUAAUUGUUACUAAAAUUAUCAAAUUAUAUUAAAUUAUUAAUUAUUAAUUGUUACUAACAUUUUUUUAGUAAAAUUAUUAAUUGUUAAUUGUAUUAAUUGUUAGUAAAAUUAUCAAAUUAUAUCAAAUUAUUAAUUGUUAAUUGUAUUAAUUGUUGUAACAAAAUCUAACAUUUUGUAACUUAAAACUUAAAAUAAAACUAAAACUAGUAUAUUUUAAAAAUAAAAAAUAUAUAUUUAAUAUAUUUUUGGGCCGGGCCGGGCCCAGGCCAAAAAAUUUUGCCCGAGGCCCGGCCCGUUUUCUAAACGGGCCUCGUUUUUACCCAAUCCCAUAUUUCGGGCCUACAUUUUUACCCAAACCCUCCCAUAUUUUUAAAAUAUUUUAAAAAUAUUAUUUCAAUCAAGAGAUUGAACCUAAACUCCCAUGCGUCAACACAAAUACUAAUGCCUCAAUAACUUUUAGUAAUUAAUUUGUAAUUCAAACUUAUAUAGAUAAAUAGAUGAAUGAUAUAUAUUAUUUUAUAAUUGUAAUUUUGAAUUGCUAAUUUUCUCUUGAAAUGUUCCGAGCUCAAAACUAUUUAAAUUUCCCAAAAUAUUCGAGUCUAAACUGACUUGAACUCAACAUAAUCUAAACUUGAAAUAAUUCAAAUUCAAAUCCAAAAAUUUUACUUAAAAUAAUAUAAGUAUAAUGAUAAAUUCAGCACUUAAUAUUUACAUCUUUUGUCAAUUUGAUCAUUAUUAUUUCUUAAUUUAAAUUUGACCAUUAACCUUUAAAAAAAAGUCAAAUUGUGUUUUUUUUAAAUGUUGACUAAAACAUUAAUUUUUAACAAAGUUGGCAUGACUAAAACAUUAAUAAAUUGUGAUAGUCCACAUGUACUUUAUGUUGACAUAGCAUUAUUUAUCUUAUAUGACAUGCCAAUAAAUUAAAAAUAUUAAAAAAAUUCCCACAAAAAGAGUUCAUAAAAAAUCAAAUAAAAACAAACAUGAACUACGAGUGGAGUGUUAUACAGAUUGCCAUGUCUUGAAAUUUAACAUUUUGGUUAAUAUUUUUAUUAAAAAAUAAUAAUUCAACUCUUUUUUAAACGUUGAUGAUCAAAUUCAAUUUUUUUUAAAAGAAUUUAAAAUUAAAUUAAACUAAAAAAUCCUAAAAGAUGUAAAUAUUUUAUGCCAGUAAUAUAUGUAUCUCUCUUUAUUUUCAUGCUCCUCUUUUGGUAGCUUCUACCCCUUGGUACUUUUGUGCCUUAAUAAUUUAACUUUCUUUGGAGGCACAAGGGCAUGGCAGAAAAAAAUGAUUUGAUUGUGUGAUGUUGUCAAUUUUCCUUCACAUCACAUGGCGGGGACCAAAAUGUUAACCCAAAUUGAAGAGCUAUACUAUUUUUCACAUAAAAGACUUUUUAACUUUGAAUGGGAAAAAUAAUAAUGUGAGAGUGACUUUAAAUAAUUAUAUAUAACUUGCUUUUUUUUUUAUUUCAAUGAUUUUAAAUUUCCUUACCUAUUAAAUUAAGAAAAGUAAAAUUAUCUUUAUGAUUUUUCUCAAUUUUGAUAUUAAGUAAAUCAGUCUUUUUAAAAAAUUAGAACAAUUUAAUUCUUGUCAAUUUUAAAAGUGAGUAACUACGGAUAAUUAAUUAUAGCGUUAAUGUUUUCUAUCAAUUAUACAUAAUUUUGAUUGGUAUAAUAAUAAAUUUAGCCAUUAAUGCUUAUAUAUUCUGCGUAACUGUUGACAAAAUGUGUAAACAUUGCGGACUAAAUUUGUUAAAUCAGGACCAACUUGAUGGAAUGUGAAAAUGUUAUGAGUUAUAUUUGUUAUAUUAAGGUCAAAUUGACAAAAUGUGUAAACUUUGAAGGUUAUAUUUUUUAUUAUACCAAGAAAAAAUUGUAGAACUGAUGAAAAACAUAAACAUUGUGGUUAAUUAUACUUAGUUGCUCAAUUUCAAAAUCAACAAUGAUCAAAUUUCUCCAAAUUUUUUUAGAAAGGGGCCAAUUUGCUCAACAUCAAAAUUAAGAGGGAUCAAAGAAAUGUUUUUACCAAAAAAGAAACAUUUAAUCUUUAAAUGAAGCCCAUCCUCUCUCUCACUUAAUUUUUCCUUUAUAUAUUUGGCUCUUUCUUCGAACCUCUAGCCUUUGUUUUUCUUGUUCUUCUCCUUUGAUCUCAAAUGACCUUUGUGAAGAUCUAAGCUUGGUCCCUUGUGUGUUUUCUUUUUUUGCAAUAAUGUGCAGCAUGGAGAAGAGUAUAUACUUAUAUAUAUAUAUAUAUAUAUAUAAAUAGAGAGAGAGAGAGAGAGAGAGAGAGAGUACUCCUCUUGUUCUUCUCUUUUCAUUUUGAGCAGCAUUUGCAGCACCCCUACCGGCAUCAACUUCGCUUGUAAUUUUCGUAAGCUUUUUCUUCAGUGGCCUUUGUUAGCCUAUAGCUCUAAUCUGAGUUGUAGACCACCAAUCCUUAAUGAGUUCACGAUCCAUGGUAUAUGGACACAUAAUGCUAAGAACAAACCAAUGCUCCCUUAUGAUUCAAACAAUCCCUGCACCUAUCCACCGGUGUAUGGAUUACAUGAAUCAUAACGAGACAUUGAUUUGUUAUUAGCAUUAUGAGCCCACAAUCCGUGGAUUGUGAAUUCGUUAUCAGUUGGUUUUCUACAAUUUAAAUUAGAGCGGCAAGUUGAUGAAGGUCAUUGAAGUGACAGUUUAUAGAAGUUUACAAGGGAAGUUGAUGCCAGAGAGGUACUGCAACACGGUUUAAUUAAUUGUAGGAAGCCAUCUGAUGUGAUAACUUUCUCAUUCUCGGCUCUUGUACACUAAAUCUAAAAUUGUGCACUUAAUAUUUGAUUGCUUGUUUAUCAUAUUCUAAAAUUUUAAUGGUGGAUCAUAUAAAAUAAGUUUGAUUGCUUAGACUUUCGAUUCCUUGUUUUAAGUUUCUUGCAUUAAUGUUUUUGAUCCUACAAAGAAUAUAUCGUUGGCUAAAAUGUUUUUUUUUUCUUAAAUUCUUUUUUCAAAUUUAAUAUUUUAGUAAAAAUAUCAAUUUAUGUACGAAUUUAAUAAAAAAAUACAUCUAUCUUAAGAAAAAAGAAAGGGUAAUUUAUAUUCUAGCAGAAACACCUCUCAUUCAAUCCGAUAACAAAUUUGAGUAAGAGAUACUACAUUUAACACUAAACUCAUCACUUCAAUUUAUUCUUAUUUCAUUGAGGUACUUUAUAACACGAAACAUUAUCUUUCGUACAUAAUUCACAUUAUUACUAAUAAGCUUAAGUGCAUGCCAAAUUAAGGUCCAGAAUUUAUAUAUCAAAGAACUUGAACUUGAAGCUUGCGGAGUGAAGUGGUCCAAAUUUAAGCAGAAAUCUUUCAACCUUUAUUGUUUUUUCUUUCAUAUAAUCAUACACUUCCUUGCAUUUUCACUUAAUUUAUGGCUUAUCAUACCAUAAAACUUUUCAUUUACAUAUCACAUGUUACUCAUAUCUUUUACAGAUCAUGAUCAUAAUUAGAAUAUCGAUAAUAGAACUCCUAGAGGCUUAGGCCAAAAUAGAACUCUCGACCUUUUAACAAAACUCUAAUAAUAGAUUUCCGAUAACCUACCUGUAGACAAUAUUUUGAAGAACAAAAUCAUCAACAUAUUGUAAACUGAACUCUUGUAUCGAUUGUAACCCCUGUUUCACCAAUCCUAAGAGUAAAUUUUUUUCUAUCUUAAACUCAUGUGAAAAAUUAAAAAUUAGAAAUUUCAGACAAAUUUUACAGAGCACACAAAGAAUAAAAGUUCAUAAUAAAAUGCAUAAAUCUAAAAAUUAAAAUUAAAUCAAAUAAGUCACUAACUUUUGUAUCUUGUCUUCUUUUUAAGAAAAUUUUAAUAUUCAAUAUCAAAUUUCUCAAUUUGCAACCCAUUCAUUUGAGUAACUAUUUUUUAUUUUUAAAUCUUAAUUAAAAAUGUGAGUAUUUGGUAUGCUGAUAAUAUAUUAUUUUUAUUUCACAAGUAAUUUUAAAAAAUUGACAUAUAUCUUUUUUUAAAAAUAUUUAUUUUUAAUAUUUUAUUUACCUCUGUAAGACACUUGUCAACCCAUUGAUUUUGUUGGUGGAGUUUAAAAACUCCACUAACAAUGUACCAAAUAAUUUUCUAAUAAUAUUCAAAAAUCAAAAUUUCAAAAAAAAAUCAUAAAAAUUAAAAAGAUAUUAAAACUUGAGGUAUUCUCGGUUCAACAGAGUAGAACUGGCCAAAACCCAGUAAAAAGGGAAAAAAAAAAAACUCUAAUGCAAUCUUAAGUGCGCGGAACCCAUGAACAUGAAAACUAAACCCAGGGGGAAAAAAGCAAAAAAGCUGAAAAAAUGGCAAAAAAAAAAAAAUCAAAUUCACAGUUCAAGAGAGUAAAACAGACCGAGCCCAGUAAAAGAAAGAAAGAAAACUCUAAUUGCAAUCUUAAGUGCACAAAAACCCACGAAUAUAAACACCAAACCCAGGAAAAAAAAAAAGAAACAGAGCUGUAAAAAUGUGGGAAAAAAAAAAGGGAAAAAAAUUUGGACCAUUUCUCGAUUUGUGCGUGUCAUCCUUGCCCAGGGGCCAUGCUAAUCUUCUCUGUAUCGUUCCAAUUUUAUCGGAUGUCCCCGAAGGGAAGCCAUCUGGUGCUUCUUUCGCUUAUAUAAACGCUCCUGUGUUAUAGUUCUUUAGCGAUAUGGGAUAUUUUCUAACCAGGGCCCUGAAGUUUGCUGCCACGUCCUGACCAUGCCAGCCUGAAUAGAGGCCUGAUGUCUUUGGAGUGGUACAUGAUAAAAACGUGGUUAACACACGUGGCAAGCUCAGUGUUUAUCACUUAUCCCAACUUGAUUAUUAGAACUUAGAGAAAAAAAAUAUAUAUAAACCAAUGUUACUUUCAUAUUUGACUUCAUAUUAUAAUCGGAUUACUAUUAAGUUUUAUUUGCCAUAGUUGUAGGUUAAAUUUUAAAAUAUUUGGGUUUGCCUUGGAAUCAAUGUAUAUUACCAAUCAAUAAUGUUGCUCUAUAAAACGUAAAUCCCAAUAUUGAUAUUAUAUUAGAACAUACUUCACGAAUAUGUAUGUAUGUAUCGAUAGGAAUAUUUCAACAGCAUUCCUUUAUAAUUCAUAGGACAUUUAAUUCAUGCAAUUCAUAGUGUUUUUCAUUUUAGAAAAUGAACAUUUUAAAAAAUGUAUUGUAGAACGAAUGAACGAUCAUGGAGAAGGUUCGAUGUAUGUUGUCAAAUGUCAACUUUCCAAAGUUAUUUUAGGCCAAAGCAGUGUCAAAUGUCAAAUGUCAAUCGGUCUCUAUCCGUUGCCAUUGAGAAAAAGACUCCAUAAGAGGUAUGGUCUGGUAAUUCUGCUGACGAUUCUGAUUUAAAGAUUUUUGGGUGUAUUGCGUAUGCUCAUGUUGAUAAUGGAAAAUUAGAAUUGUAUACCAUUAAAUGUGUUUUUCUUGGUUAUAAAGCUGGUGUGAAAGUGUAUAAGCUAUGGUAUCCUGAAAAUAGAAAAGUUGUGAUUAACAGAGAUGUUGUUUUUGAUGAAACUGUUAUGCUACCUAACAUAUCUCUUAAAGACUCUUCCAAUAAAGAAAAUCAAAAGCAGGUGGAGCAUCAGAUUAAUCUAGAAUCUACAACAGAGUCGACUUCUCAAGCCAGUACAAAAAUUUAAAAUAGAGUUGUUUCUUCAUCACAAUAUUCUAUUGCCAAAAACAGAAUUAGAAGAGAAAUUAAACCUCCAAAGAAGUAUGACAAGGCUGAUCUAGUUGCUUAUGCUUUAAAUGUGGCUGAAGAUAUAGAUGCAAACCAAGAGCCAUCUAAUUAUUCUGAUGCGGUUAACUGUGAAGACUCAGAAAAGUAGAUGUUUGCUAUGCAAGAGGAGAUGGGAUCACUCCACAAAAACAAAAUAUCAGAUCUUGUGAAACUUUCUAAACGAAAAAAGGUUGUUCGUUGUACAUGGGUAGAGGUGUCCAUGGGCAGGUCCGGGCCGAGUUCGGGCCGGGUCCAAAAAAAUUUUCAGCCCGCUUCCUAGGCCUGAGCCCGGCCUGGCCCGGUCCGUUUUUUAAUUAAAAUUAAAACUAAUUGUUAUUAAAAUUAAUUGUUAUUAAAAUUGUAUCAAAUUAUAUAUAUUUUUGUACCAGUCAAUAUUUUGUAAAAUCUAACAUUUUGUUAGUAAAAUUAUUAAUUAUUAAUUGUUAAUUGUAUUAAUUGUGUUUAAAGUCUCUUUAUUUUCAUGCCCCUCUUUUUCUAGCUCCUACUCCUUAGUACUUUUGUGCCUUGAUAAUUCAACUUUCUUUGGUGGCAUAGGGGUACGGAGGGAAAAAUAAUAAUUGUGUGACAUUGUCAAUUUUCUUUCACUUCACAUGGAGCUGAUCAACAUGUUAAUCCAAAUUGCAGAGUUACACCAUUUGUACAUAAAAGACUUGCUAGCUUUGAAUGGGUAAAAAAUAAUGUGAGAGUAACUUUAAAUAAUUAUAUAAAACAUACUAUUUUUUUUAUUUCAAAGAUUUUCUUUUUUGAGAUUUUCUUACCUAUGAAAUUAAAAAAAAAUAAAAAAUAUCUUUUUGAUAUUGAACAAAUUGGUCACUCUAAAAGAAAUAGAGUAAUUUAAUCCUUACCAAUUUUGAAAAUAACCACGAACAAUUAAUCAAGCGCUAGUAGUUUCUGUUAAUUAUACAUAAUUUUGAUUAGUAUAAAAAUAAAUUUAAUCCUUGAUGAUUAUAUAUUUUGUGUAAAUGUUGAUAGAAUGUGUAAUUAUUACGGGUUAAAUAUGUUAAAUCAUGAUCAAAUUGACAAAAUGUGUAAAUAUUGUGGGUUAAAUUAGUUAAAUCAAUAACAAAUUGAUAGAAUGUGUCAACUUUGAGGGCUAAAUUUAUCAUUAUACCAAAAAAAUUAUGUAUAAUUGAUGAAAAACAUUAACGUUGUAAUUAAUUGUCCUUAAUUUAUCACUUUCAAAAAUAAAAAUGAUUGAAUAACUCUGAUAUUUUUAGAAAUACCAGUUUUUUCAAUAUCGAAAUUGAAACAGAUUACAGACACAUGUUUUAAUAUAUUUACCAAAAUCGGGGUAAUUCUGAAAUCAAUUGCCAUUCUUCAUUUUAAUAUAUUUCAUUAUUAGUUGCUUAUGUUCUUUUUUUUUUCUUUUUUAUGGUUUAUGCAUGCAUUGUGUUUGGUUCUUCUUUUUGCAACAAUGAGCAACAUAGACAACAAAUAAUGAAAUAUUAAGUGCAUAACACAAAUCCCAAAUAUGAAUUAUAAAACGGAUAUAAAAGAUACAAAUAAAAAUUAAUACUAGACUCAGCCACGAAUGCUUUAAGGGAAAGCUGUCGCAUGAGAUGGCUUGGGCUCUUGACCUUUUGUAACAAAUAUAAAUCUGCCAUUAUCGAAGUGCAUUAAUCCUUUUGUUUCAUUUGCUAGCGAUUUGGGGAGAGGCUCCUACAAGGCCAUAAACUCUUAUCGCAACAAAUUUUUACAAGCUUUAUUUUCAAUGGCCUUCAUUAGUUUAUAUGAUCAAUCCCCAUUAAAACGACAAUUUUUUAUGGAAAUAUUAAACCCUUUUGUUGAUCUAUGGAUGUGAUCUUGUACGUCUCUAUUUAAUUUGCUUUCUUUCAUUAAAGAUACAAAAAUCUUCAUAAACCCAAACAUAAAAUAUCAGAGUAAUCCUCUUUUUUUUUUCCUCAACGAAUAAAAUUCCUUAGAAAUUAAAGGGUGUUGCUCGGAGCAACCACUGUAACAUACAAAGCAUCAAAACACCUUAAGAACCAAUCCAUAACCAAAUGGACAGUUACACUAAUAAACCAUAAACUCCAUGGAUUGGAACACCUAGUUAAUUAUGGAUGAUAGCCGUCUUGGAAAUUCAUACUUGAGACCCGCCAACCUUGCAACAUAUAAGCAAGACAGUCAACCGUAAAAUCAAAGGAUCAACAACCAAAUGACAACAAUCAGUAAUGCCCACAACUGAAAAUUUAAAACUUGAUCAGAAUCCACGCAACAUUAGGCCCUGUUCUUCCAUCAGGCAAAUACCAACAACCCAUUGAUUCAAUUUCGGCCGUCUUUUCAGAAUCAGCCGUAUCAUUAGUAGAUAGCUGCCUACUUUUAUCCCUCGUUAAGGAAUAAUAUAUAUAUAUUAUAUUUGUAAAGAUGCUUGAUAGCUUUAAGCUGACAUUGAUAUGGUAACCAUCAAAAGUUGGCAAAUACUUAAAACAGGGGUCAACCUUACUAGUAAAAGUUUACAUGUUUGUAGCCCAAUGCCAUGCAUGAUGCACAUGAAGUUCAAUUUUGAGGGUAUAAUGUGAAAUGGAACAGUUCAAAUAGUAGUUUUACAAAAACUGAAAUAACCUUUCACAUUUUACCAAAAGUUGCAGCCUCGUACUUCAGUAGAGCAACUCAACCUACAAUGAAAAUGGCGUCUCUAUGGUCACUUUAUAAAGCAUUAGUUAAGCCAUGAUGAAAAUAGAAGAGUCAAUUACCAUCUGUUUUGAAUUCAAACGAAAUUGAGCUUUUCGCAUAAGCACCCAUACAUAUUUCCUUAUUCCAGCUUGGGCAACUGAUCAGUAACCUCCGUCACCUCAGAAUUUUGCACAUUCUGUGCAUGAUCAUAACAAACCAAGAAUUGUUUAAUUAACUAUGUAUGUAUGUAUGUAAAAACACAUGAAUUUAAAUCCCUUAAAUGAUUUGUACCAUUUCAUCGAACAUAUGUUUUAUGGUAGUGUUAAGGUCGCCUUCUGUUGAAGCCGUGGCCUGCAUUGCAACAGAGAACCAACAGCAGCAAGCAGAUUGAAGACCAGCAGCAGCAAAUUGUAUAAUUUGAGCUGCCACACUGUUUUGAAGUAAUGUAAUGAAGCUGGUUCUGAUGAAGGAUCACAUUUUAAAUGUUUUAUUCCUAUGUAACUUUGACCAAAUCUUUUGUAAUAUGAUGGCUAAGUUAGUAGGAUAGAUUGACUGAUUCAUUUUGAUGUAAUAGCUGUUAUAUCAGCUUUCUUUUGUAAGCAAACUUUAUUUUUAAUAUGGAUUAAGUAAGGGCAGUUAAGUUAGUAGGUAACUGUCAACAUUUUGUAACCCUCAUAUAUUCAAAUUUGAAUGAAAGAAAUUAUGUCAUUCGGUUACAAUUUUCUUGUGUUCAUCAUUUAGUUUUUCUUUUCUUUACUUCUAUUUUCUGCCUUGUCUCUGUUCUUUGCUUAAAAACACAACAAAUGGUAUCGAGAGCUUUCAGUCUUUGAGGGCCUUGGUUGUGCACUGUCACUAAGCAAAUUUUGUUUGAAACAAAAGAAGUAAAGGUUGUUUUUGCUUGCUGAAAAUGAGUUUUACACCACCUCCUCCACCGAUCUUUGCUGGAGAAAAUUACAACAUUUGGGCAGUGAAAAUGAGAACAUAUCUGCAGGCACAUGACCUGUGGAAUGUUGUUCUCAAUGACACUGAGCCACCACCACUAAGAGCCAACCCGACCAUAGCUCAAAUCAGGCAGCAUAGUGAAGACUGUGCUAAGAAGUAUAAGGCCAUGUCGUGUCUUCAAAGUGGAGUCUCUGAUGUUAUUUUCACAAGAAUAAUGGCUUGUGACACUCCAAAGCAAGCCUAGGACAAACUCAAGGAGGAGUUUCAAGGGUCUGACAAGACCAGGCAGCAGCAGCUGAUUAACAUGAGAAGAGAUUUUGAAAAUCUCAAGAUGAAGGACUCAGAAACCAUCAAGCAGUAUGCUGACAGAAUCAUGGCUACUGUCAACAAUAUAAGGCUACUUGGGGAAGAAUUCAGUGACCAAAGAGUGGUCGAGAAAGUCAUAACGACCUUGCCAAAGAAGUAUGAGUCAAAAAUUUCCUCUCUGGAAGAUUCAAGGGACUUAUCAACGAUCCCUUUGACUGAGCUUAUAAAUGCCCUUUAUGCUCAAGAGCAGAGAAGAGCAAAUAGGCAGGAGGACCACUAUGAAGGAGCUUUUCAGGCUAGAAGCAGAGAAAGCCCAAGUGCAAACUUAAAUGCCAAAGGCAAGAAGCCUUGGAUUGAGAAGAAGAAGAAAGAACCUGUCAAAAGGAAGUUUCCACCUUGUGUCCAUUGCAAGAAGACUACUCAUCUUGAGAAAUACUACUGGUACAGACCAGACAUUCAAUGCAGAGCCUGCAAACAAUUUGGCCACAUUGAAAAGGUCUGUAAGAGCAAGUCAAAACCACAACCACAACUUCAAAACCAAGCUCAAGCUGCAGAAGAGGUUGAAGCACCAGAAGAGCAUGUUUUUUCAGCAUCAUGCUUCACAAGCUCGAGCAAAGUCAGUAAAAUAUGGUUGAUUGACAGUGGAUGUACCCACCAUAUGGCUUCUGAGAAGAAUAUAUUCAAGGAACUUGACACCACCUUCAAGUCCAAAGUCAGAAUUAGCAAUGGUGAGCUACUAGAAGCAAAAGGGAAAGGCAAGGCCUUGAUAAGCACCAAGUCAGGUAUUAAAACCAUUUCAGAGGUUCUCUAUGUACCUGGCAUUGACCAAAAUUUGCUCAGUGUUGGCCAAUUAUUGGAGAAAGGCUACUCUCUGAUUUUUGAAGGCAAUAACUGUUUGAUUAAAAAUGCUGCUGGUGAAGUGUUAACUAUGGUGGCUAUGCAAGACAGGACUUUCAUUGUAGAUGUGAAUCAGCUUCAGGUUAAGGCAUAUGCAUCUCAGUCUGAUGAGACAGACUUGUGGCACAGGAGGAUGGGGCAUGUGAACUACAAUUCUUUGAGUAUGAUGUAUAAAAUGGAUUUGGCUAGUGACAUGUCCAAAAUCGAGCCAAAAGAUGUUGUAUGUGAGGUCUGUCAGCUAGGCAAACAGACCAGAUUACCCUUUCCAGUCAACAAGGCAUGGAGAGCACAAGGGAAGCUUCAGCUUGUUCAUACAGACAUUUGUGGACCAAUGAAGACUACCUCCUUAAAUGGCAGCAGGUACUUUGUACUCUUCAUUGAUGAUUAUUCAAGGUUUUGUUGGGUGAAUUUUUUGAAGCAUAAGUCAGAUGUUUAUGAUUAUUUUUGCAAAUUUAAAGCCUUGGUUGAAAACCAAGCAAAUUGCAAACUGAAAUGUUUGAGGUCUGACAAUGGUUCUGAGUAUGUAUCUCAGAAGUUUCAAAAAUUAUGUGAUGAUGCUGGAAUUCAACACCAAUUGACUACUGUGUACACACCACAGCAAAAUGGUGUCUGUGAAAGAAAAAACAGAACAGUCCUUGAUAUGGCUAGGUGUUUGUUAUUUGAGGCAAAAAUGCCUAAUGCUUUUUGGGCUAAAGCUGUGAAUACAGCUGUUUACUUGUUGAAUAGGCUGCCAACUAAUGCAGUCAAGGGUAAGACACCCUUUGAAGCUUGGUUUGGACAGAAACCAUCUGUCUCACAUUUGAAGGUAUUUGGAUGUCUAUGUUAUGUGUUGGUACCUGAAAAGAAAAGAACCAAGUUGGACAGGAAGUCUAUGCCAGGGGUGUUUGUUGGCUACAACAAUGUGAAAAAAGGAUACAGAGUCUUUGAUCCACUGACCAAGAAGGUUGUAGUGAGUAGAGAUGUGAAAUUCAGUGAAACAAGUAGCUGGAAAUGGGAUGGAAUUGAAGCAAAUUUGCCUGAGGGAGAACAGACUGAUGUUGAUUUGCAGCAAGCUGAAAAUGAAGAAGUAACUGAAAAUAGUUAUGAUGAUGAACCUGUUCGAGGCACCAGGACGUUAGCAAACAUCUAUGAGAGAUGUGCAGUAACCAUAGUAGAGCCUUCAUAUUUUGAAGAAGCUGCAAAAGAAAAGUGCUGGCAAGAUGCUAUGGAAGCUGAAUUUAGAAUGAUUCAAAAAAAUGAUACUUGGGAGCUUGUAAAUAGACCUGAAAACAGAAAAAUUAUAGGUGUAAAGUGGGUCUACAGAAUUAAGAACAAUGCAGAUGGCUCACUUAAUAGACAUAAAGCCAGACUGGUUGUUAAAGGUUACAAUCAGCAACAAGGGGUUGAUUUUUCUGAAACCUUUACACCUGUUACAAUGUUGGAUACUAUCAGAUUGCUGCUUGCUUUGGCAGCUCAAAAGCACUGGAAGGUGCAUCAUUUAGAUGUUAAGUCAGCCUUCCUAAAUGGCUUUCUUAAUGAAGAAAUAUUCAUUGAACAACCUGAGGGUUUUGAGAUCACUGGUGAAGAACAGAAGGUUUACAAAUUGAAAAAGUCCUUAUAUGGCCUAAAGCAGGCUCCAAGAGCCUGGUAUGAGAGGAUUGAUGGCUAUUUAGCAAGGCUCGGGUUCACAAAGAGUGUUAGUGAGCCUACACUCUAUGUUAAGAAGAAUCAGGAGGAAACCUUGUUAAUUGUUUCCUUGUAUGUUGAUGAUCUGCUGGUUAUUGGCUGCAAAGAUGAACUUAUUGAAUAUUUCAAAAGGCAGAUGCAACAUGUCUUUGAGAUGACUGACCUUGGUCUAAUGACCUAUUUUCUUGGUAUGGAAAUCAGACAAAGAAGUGAUGGUAUUUUCAUAAGUCAGCAAACAUUUGCUUCCAAGGUGCUUGAAAAAUUUUGCAUGUUGAAAUGUAAAUCAGUAACUACACCUGCUGCAUUGGGGGAGAAGUUGUCGAGUAUCAGUGAACAUGAUCGAGUAGAUGAGAAAGCUUACAGAAGCUUAAUUGGUUGUUUGCUUUAUUUAACAGCAACUAGACCAGACAUUGUCUAUGCUGUUAGUCUACUCUCUAGAUUUAUGCACUGCUGCAAUGAGGCACAUUUGAAAGCAGCAAAAAGAGUGUUAAGGUAUGUCAAAGGAACCAUCGAUGCUGGAGUGAAGUUUUGGAGGGCAAAUGAGCUUAAACUUGUAGGCUAUUCUGAUAGCGAUUGGGCAGGGUCAGUUGACGACAUGAGGAGCACUUCAGGUUAUUUUUUUACCUUAGGCUCAAGUGUUUUCAGCUGGAGUUCAAAGAAGUAACAAACUGUUGCACAAUCUACAGCAGAAGCUGAGUAUAUCUCAGCUGCAGCAGCAGUGAAUCAAGCCAUUUGGCUUAGGAAGAUUUUGGAUGAUUUUAAUGAAAAUCAAGCUCAGCCUACUGAGAUUAGGGUGGAUAAUCAAUCAGCUGUUGCCAUAGCCAAGAAUCCAGUCUUCCAUGGUAAGACUAAACACUUCAAAAUCAAAUUUCAUUUUAUUAGAGAAGCUGAGCAAUCGAGGGAGGUUAGCUUAGUUCAUUGCAGCUCAGAAAUUCAGUUAGCUGACAUUUUAACUAAACCAUUGGGAGCCAGUCGUUUUAAUGCUUUGAAGGAAAGAAUUGGUGUUUGUUGCAUACAGUCCAAGGAGGAGUGUUGAAGCCGUGGCCUGCAUUGCAACAGAGAACCAACAGCAGCAAGCAGAUUGAAGACCAGUAGCAGCAAAUUGUAUAAUUUGAGCUGCCACACUGUUUUGAAGUAAUGUAAUGAAGCUGGUUCUGAUGAAGGAUCACAUUUUAAAUGUUUUAUUCCUAUGUAACUUUGACCAAAUCUUUUGUAAUAUGAUGGCUAAGUUAGUAGGAUAGAUUGACUGAUUCAUUUUGAUGUAAUAGCUGUUAUAUCAGCUUUCUUUUGUAAGCAAACUUUAUUUUUAAUAUGGAUUAAGUAAGGGCAGUUAAGUUAGUAGGUAACUGUCAACAUUUUGUAACCCUCAUAUAUUCAAAUUUGAAUGAAAGAAAUUAUGUCAUUCGGUUACAAUUUUUUUGUGUUCAUCAUUUAGUUUUUCUUUUCUUUACUUCUAUUUUCUGCCUUGUCUCUAUUCUUUGCUUAAAAACACAACACCUUCCCACUGCAGUUCACAUUCCUCAUCUCUUGUUAAGUGCAUUUGUUCCAGCCUUGGUGUGCUUAAAUCUCCUUGGCAGAAAUUCCUCAUUUGGGGGCACUUUGUCACCAUCACCAUUAGCAAGACUGGGCAUUCCAACGAGUGAUGGGCCAAGGAAAAGCUUGCAAGACAUGGCAGACAACUUAGUUGCAAAUACUUCAGUUUGGGAAAUACAAUGUCGCCUUGUAUUUCUUCAGCCUCACACGCUAUGAUUUCCCCUAUCAUCUCACAAUCAUCUAUGCUCAAUCUUUCCAAUAGCGUCAGGCACUUAGCUGUUGAGCAUGCGAUUAAAUUGAUGAACCCAUGGCAUCUUGAAACUUCCAGUGUUGUUAGAUUUUUGAAAGACAGCAAAGAUGGUUCAAAAGCCUUUAACGUCAACUCUGGAAGUUGAGACAAACUUAAUUCCUUUAGCUGAUAGAAUGCUGAUGUAUGCCUUUCCUGGUCGCUGAGUCCUCAGAUUGUACUAUUUGACAAAUGGAAGCAUUGUCUAUAACAAGCUUAUGAAGUAUUGGUAGUGACCGAAUGAAGGAAUACGGAAGAGUAGUAGAUGUCUCAGGAAAGAAUUGGAGGUUAAGAUGCUUAAGGUUUUGGAAACACUGCAAUGAGAGUUGUCCAUCACAUAUCCCCUUCCCCAUAUCAUUCGUCUUCAGUGUUAGUUAUUCUAAUACAGGGAAAGUGUCCUGGAUGGCAACGAAUAUAUUAAACAUUGAUCAAAGAGUUUUCAAUUAGUAAGAACUAGACUUCAAAAUGAAUAUAAUUUCCAUUUUCUUUCUCAUAAAUUUAAAAGGAAGGUGAGAAUAUUAGUUAUUUCAGAAGGCAUUUUAUAGGUAAUCUCAAGAAAUGAACAUGGAGUAUGAAACUGUUAGUGAGCUCACCUCAUUGACGCAGAACAAGGGUUGUUGGUUUGAGAUUCCAACCUGACACUCAGGACAUUGAAGAGUAAAUAUCUGAACUUUGGGGCAUUCAAUAAUGUCCAUUUGUUUCAAUGAAGGCCACUUGGUGGUAUGCAUCCUAGAGUAGAAACUUUUCAAUCUCGGUACCUUAACCAAUCCGAGGUUUAUUAGUUUGGGAAAUACAAACUUGGUCGUCUCUGUUUCAGCCAUAAAUGAUUGAGCAGCUGAUGUUGACUGUGACUCAUCAGCAAUGAGUCAUUGCAGCUCAAUAAUUUGUUCUAAUGAAUCACAAUUGUGAAUCCGCAACUUCUCCAAACUAGGGAAAACAACCUGCUAAAUCAUUUCAUUAGGUUAAUAACUGAAAUAUGCAUGGAAAAGAAGAACUUCAAAUGAAUAAGAUCAAUCGAAGUAACAUAAAUUAAAAGGAGAACCGGUAAAGAAAUGACCUUUUCAUUGAGGAGAGAUGAGUUAUUAACCUCCAAGUUACUUGCUUGUACAUGUUGGCCAAUUUCAGGUUCAUCUUCGGAUACACAUUUAGUGAUGAAUGUUUUUAGCAAUGGAAAAUUUGCUAGUUGUAAAUCUGUCAAACGUUGGAAUUCAAAGUAUUUUCAAAGCAAAAACUUGUGAGUUUGGGAAGGUGUUUUAGCCACAGCAAUUCUAGUUUAGAGAAAAACACCUGAUUCCUCCCUUGAUGUUCUUCAACCAAUCUAUCCGUGAAUAUUACUUGUUCCAUCAUAUUACAGUCCCAAAUUUUAAGGCGUCAGAGUUUCACAAGAUCUUUUACCAUGAAAGAAGUAUUGGGAGCAUCAUCUUUUACGACACAAUCUUGAUGUUAUGCACAUUGAGAAAAAUGUCUGCGAGAACAUUGUGGGUACAAUUUUAAAAGUCGACGGAAAAUCAAAAGACAAUCUUCAGAGUCGACUUGAUUUAGUCCAAAUGGGAAUUCGGCCUGAUCUUCAUCCCAAUCCACUUCCGAAUGGGAAAUAUCGGUUGCCGCCUUCUAUUUUCUCAAUGUCCAAGAUGGAGAAAAAACUGUUUUGCAUGGUGUUGAAGAAUAUAAAGGUUCCGGAUGCGUAUGCAUCAAAUAUAUCUCGAUGUGUUAGUGUUAAAGAGCGAAGAUUAUAUUCGCUAAAAUCACAUGACUAUCACAUCUUGAUGCAAGAUUUAAUGCCAGUUGCUCUACGAUGUUGUAUGUCCAAGAAGGUGACGUCUUGUAUGAUUGAACUAUCCAACAUAAUGAAAGCCAUCUGUGGCAAAGUUUUGGAUGUUCAAGAACUUCAGAAGGUACAGGAUCGAGCCGCUUUAACUUUAUGCAACAUGGAGAUAAUCUUCCCACCUUCCUUCUUCACCAUUAUGGUUCACUUGAUAAUUCAUCUCCCGCACGAAGCAAUUCUUGGCAGACCUGUUUUCUAUCGAUGGAUGUAUCCCAUAGAAAGGUGUUAAAGAAGUAUUUUUUUCAAUUUUUCUUCAUUCACCUCUAUGCCUUUAGUUACAACUUUUGAUAAUGUUGUAUAUUGUGUUUAGGUUCCUAUCCAAAUUAAAAUCUUACUGCCGCAACAAGCGAUAUCCAGAAUGAUCGAUUGCUGAAGGCUACUUGGCAGAGGAAUGUAAGACCUUCUGCUCAAGAUAUUUGGAAGAUGUCGAAACAAGGUUGAACAGACCAAAUAGGAAUGCUGGACUCACGGACUAUAACUUAGCCGAUACUUAUUUGUUCCAAAGUUUUGGAGAACCAAUCGGCAAAGUUGAAAUUGUAGAAUUAGAUCAUUUAUCGUGGGUACAAGUACAUCGAUAUGUUCUGUUUCACCACGAAUCAUUGGAACCUUUACGGAAGUAAGUUAUACAAAUUUUAAAAAUAUUUAUCGAACUAAAAAUUGUUUAUCUUCUAACAAAGAUCACAUUUUAUUUAACAUAGUGAGUACAAACAAAUAUUGAGAUCUCGUUCGCGCUCCCGAAGAACACAACAUCGAGAUAUCAAUAAGUUGUUUAGAGAAUCUUUUUAUGAAUGGUUGUGCCAAACGAUAUGCAGUUCGAGCUUUCGCUUACAAAUUAUAAUGAUUUCUCAUAACAUUUUUAAUUAGUCAGUUUACUUUCCAUUCAAUAGGUUUGGAGUGGGAAGAGCGUAAACGACGAAGUUAAAUGGCUCUCCCAAGGUCCAAAUCGAGUGGUUAAAAGAUAUAGUGUGUUCCUCAUCAACGGAUUCAGAUUUCAUACAAAAUAUCGGGAGAGGUUGAGGAGAACGCAAAAUUGUGGAAUAGUUGUUAAUUCUGCAAUUACAAGUUAUGCUAGCGCUAGGGACAAUAAUCCUGUCGAGGGAAAUGUGGAAUAUUUCGGACAGCUUACUGACAUUAUUGAGUUGGAUUACUACGGCAAAUGGAAAGUUGUCUUAUUUCGAGGUGAUUGGGCCGAUGUUAAUACAGCUCGUGGAAUCAAGCAAGAUCAAUUUGGUUUUACAAUGGUGAACUUUGACCGAUUGAUUCACACAGGACAACAACUGAUAGAUGAGCCGUAUGUAUUCUCAAGUCAAGUCAAACAAGUUUUUUACUCAAAAGAUCCAACUGAUGAGGGUUGGUACGUUGUACUCCGUAACAUCCCUAGAGACUUGUUUGACAUGGGCAGUGGAAGUAGAGAUAACAUCGACGAUAGAUCAGAAACUUUGUCAUUUCCAGAACAAAACUUAAAUGAUAAUAUCCCUAGUACUAGUGCACAAUUUCAAUGGGUUCGUCAGGAUACGGAUGAAGAUAUUUACGAAUAAUGAUGUAGUAAGAUUUUACGAAUGUUUAAUUAUAUGUAAUAUCAUCAUUUAUAUCUUGGUCUCAUUAUAUCAUAUCAACUGUUUUAUAUGUGCUGUUAUUGUUGUAAUUAGUUAUUAAGUUUUCAACUAUUUUAUGUGUAUUGCAGAUAAAAUGCCCAGAAGAAAAAUUCUAAGGGGAAGCAUUGUUCAAAAUGAUCCAAACUCGACAGAAACAAAUAGUACUGAACAACAGACAGCAAUUGGAUCUUCGAAUGUUCCGAUUACAGAUGAGGAUCCUACAGAAGUUCAAAGUAAUUUUACAUUUAAUUUACAAGCGUGUUAACUUAUAGUUGAUUUAUCUUUCAAAUUCUUAUAUUAUAAUAUACCAUUUGUAGCUGAAAAUGGAGGGACGCGCAGAGGUCGAGGACGUACGCUACUUAAAGAGUUAUACGAGUUAGAUCCAGUCGAGCGUGUCAAGGUAUGCAGAAACAGUUUUGGUCAGCCUGUUGGAUCAGAAGCUUGACUUUUAGUAGGAUACAUGGGCAUUUUAGCACGAAAUGUGAAUAUGUUGCCUAUCAACUACGAGUCAUGGCGUGAAAUGCCCGAUAGCAACAAAAAUCAAGCCCUCGAUAAUAUUAAGGUAACAAAAUGUUAAUGUCAUCUGUAAUGCUUGGGAAAUACUUUCUUUUAUAUUUACUUUAUUAACUUGUGUUUUUUGUAGGCGAGGUUUGCUUUAGAGGUCUCCGAUGCUUAUGUAAAGAUGGCAUUGGGAAAAAGAUGGAGAGACAAUAAAAGUACGUUGAAGAAAAAUUAUUAUAAGACAAAAACAACCCUCGAUGAGAAAUUGCAAAAUGUCCCGCCGGGUAUGUUGAGGUACCAAUGGGAAGAUGCGGUUAGAUUUUGGCAAUCGAAGAAAGGCGAGGUACGACGUACUUCCAAACUAUUGUAAUUAUUUUGGUUUAUACUAUUUACUAUUUACGUUCUAAAAAUUUUAUAACGUAGGAUUGUGAACGAGUUGGAAAAAGUAGCCGGCAGCAACAAAAAUUCACUCACACAGCCGGGUCAAGAAGUUUUGCAUGUGUAGCUGAGGCGGAGGUAUUUCUAAUUUUUUAAUAUUCUCAAAUAUGUAUAACUUUCUAUUAAAUAAUAUUGUUACUACUAUAUUGUAGGAACGGGCGUCUGGUCAAAAAGUUGGACGCCUUCAACUUUUUGAAAUUACACAUAAGAAGAAAGAUGGAUCUGCUAUGACUCUUGAAGCUGGUGAAAUUAUGGUACGUUUGCUUAAUACGAUUUGACUUGUUUUAGUUAUUUAUAGUGUUUCUUUACUAAUGGUUUAAUUUAUUGCUUUUAAUGCGACUAUUGUUAUAUUGCAUUUGUUUUUUUUUAAUAUAUAUUGUGUUCCUAACUAUGUGAUUUAUUUAUUAGGAAAAACUAAAGGAUAAAAAGAUGGAGUACGAAGCGAUUGCGUCUACUGAUAGUUCUAUUCAUCUUGAAGACAUUGACAACCGGAUUAUUACUGAAGUUUUGGGUCCAGAAAAGUAUGGUCGGGUUCGAUUUCAAGGAUCUUUUAUCAGCCCAACCCAAUAUUUUGGAACCAGCUCGCACCAAUACAUGGCUUCGGGGAGUCAAUCUCAAGCUGAAGUUCAGAGGUUAAAAGACCAGAUGGCUCAGAUGCAAGCGACCACAUUUGAGGUUCAAAAGAAAUAUGAAGAACUUCAGCAACAACUUAAAACAGAGGCGGCAGCGAGGGAAGCAGAGGCUGCAGCGAGAGAAGCAGAGGAUCAAAAGAAAUAUGAAGAACUACAACAACGACUUCAAGCAGAUGCGGCAUCGAGAGAAGCAGAGCAGAGCAGAAAGUAUGACGAACUUCAACAGCAACUUCAGAUGAUGAUGAAGAUGUUUCAGCAGUCGCAACUUCCGCCUCCAUAAUGUAUGUUUCAUAAAUAUUUUAAUCAUUUUAACAUUUAACGUUUUUGUAAAGAAAAGUAUGAAUUCAUUUUUAUAUAUUGAUAUUAAUAUUAUUUUAGUCAUUUAAUUUGAAAUAUUAUAUAAAUUUAUUGUUUUUGGUUAGUUUAGAUUUGGUUGCUUUUAUUUUGUUGUUGCAGGAGGGCAGAAAAAAACAAAAAAAAUUUAUUUUAAAAAAAUCCCAAAAUUAGUGGCGUUUUUAAAAAAAGCGCCGCUAAAAGUUAUAUCAUAUAGUGGCGUUUCUGAAAUAAGUGCCGCUAAAGCACACUACUUUUAGUGGCGUUUGUAGAUAAAGCGCCGCUAAAGAAUUUUACUUUUAGCGGCGUUUAUUCCCAAGUGCAGCUAAAGAUCAUGUAAUUUAGUGGCGUUUUCUAUAAGCGCCGCUAAAGAUCAUGGUCUUUAGCGGCGUUUGUUGCACAAGCGCCGCUAAAGAUCAUGAUCUUUAUUGGCUUUUUUUCUAAGCGCCGCUAAAGAACAUGAUCUUUAGUGGCAUUUUUUUCCUAAGCGCCGCUAAAGAACAUGAUAUUUAGUGGCGUUUUUUCUAAGCGCCGAUAAAGAACAUGACCUUUAGCGGCGUUUUUUCUGUAAGCGCCGCAAAAAGUUAGCGGCGAUAUCCUUAGCGGCAUUUUUUGUGGCGCAUCCACAAGCGCCGCAAAUUCCUUUAGUGGCGUUUAAAAGCGCCGCUAAAAACCUGUUCUGGUGUAGUGAAUGUGUAAUUAUUACGGGUUAAAUCAUGAUUAAAUUGACGAAAUGUGCAAAUAUUGUGGGUUAAAUUUUUUAAAUUAAUGACAAUUUGAUAGAAUGUUUAAACUUUGAAGGCUAAAUUUAUCAUUAUACCAAGAAAAUUAUGUAUAAUUGAUGAAAAAUAUUAACGUUGUGAUUAAUUGUCCUUAAUUUAUCACUUUCAAAAAUAGAAAUAAUUCAAUAACUCAGAUAUUUUUAAAAAUACCAACUUUUUCAAUAUCGAAAUUGAAAACAAUUAGAGCCACAUGUUUUAAUAUAUUUACCGAAAUUGGGGUAAUUCUGAAAUCAAUUGCCAUUCUUCAUUUUAAUAUAUUUCAUAAUUAGUUGCUUAUGUUUUUUUUUAUGGUUUAUGCACGCACUGUGUUUUUUUUUUUUUUUUGCAACAAUGAGUAACAUAGACAAUAAAUAAUGAAAUAUUAAGCGCAUAAUACAAAUCUCAAAUAUGAAUUAUAAAAUGGAUAUAAAAUAUACAAAUAAAAAUAUCAGAUUAAUCCUCAUAUUUUUUUCCCUCAACAAAUAAAAUUCAUUAGAAAUUAAAGGGUGUUGCUUGGAGCAAAGCAUCAAAACACCUUAAGAACCAAUCCAUAACCAAAUGGACAGUUACACUAAUAAACCAUAAACUCUAUGGAUUGGAACACUUGGUUAAUUAUGGAUGAAGGCCAGCUUGGAAAUUCAUACUUGAGACCUGCCAACCUUGCAACGUAUAAGCGAGACAGUCAACCGUAAAAUCAGAGGAUCAACAACCAAAUGGCAACAAUCAGUAAAGCCUACAACUGAAAUUUUAAAACUUGAUCAGAAUCCACUUAACAUUAGGCCCUGUUCUUCCAUCAGGCAAAUACCAACAACCCAUUGAUUCAAUUUCGGCCGUCUUUUCAGAAUCAGCCGUAUCAUUAGUAGAUAAUUGCCUACUUUUAUCCCUCAUUAAGGAAUAAUAUAUAUAUUAUAUUUGUAAAGAUACUUGAUAGCUUUAUGCUGACAUUGAUAUGGUGGCAAAUCCUUAAAACAGGGGUCAACCUUACUAGUAAAAGUUUACAUGUUUGUAGCCCAAUGCCAUGCAUGAUGCACUUGAAAUUCAAUUUUGAGGGUAUAAUGUGAAAUGGAACAGUUCAAAUAGUAGUUUUACAAAAACUGAAAUAACCUUUCACAUUUUACCAAAAGUUGCAGCCUCGUACUUCAGUAGAGCAACUCAACCUACAAUGAAAAGGGCGUCUCUAUGGUCACUUUAUAAAGCAUUAGUUUAAGCCAUGAUGAAAAUAGAAGAGUCAAUUACCAUUUGUUUUGAAUUCAAACGAAAUUGAGCUUUUCGCAUACGCACCCAAACUUAUUUCCUUAUUCCAGCUUGGGCGACCGAUCAGUAACCUCCGUCACCUCAGAAUUUUGCACAUUCUGUGCAUGAUCAUAACAAACCAAGAAUUGUUCAAUUAACUAUGUAUGUAUGUAUGUAAAAACACAUGAAUUUAAAUCCUUUAAAUGAUUUGUACCAUUUCAUCGAACAUAUGUUUUAUGGUAGUGUUAAGGUCGCCUUUCCACUGCAGUUCACCUUCCUCAUCUCUUGUUAAGUGCAUUUGUUCCAGCCUUGGUGUGCUUAAAUCUCCUUGGCAGAAAUUCCUCAUUUGGGGGCACUUUGUCACCAUCACCAUUAGCAAGACUGGGAAUUCCAACGAGUGAUGGGCCAAGGAAAAGCUUGCUAGACAUGGCAGACAACUUAGCUGCAAAUACUUCAGUUUGGGAAAUACAAUGCCGCCUUGUAUUUCUUCAGGCUCACACGCUAUGAUUUCCUCUAUCAUCUCACAAUCAUCUAUGCUCAAUCUUUCCAGUAGCCUCAGGCACUUAGCUGUUGAGCAUGCGACUAAAUUGAUGAACCCAUGGCAUCUUGAAACUUCCAGUGUUGUUAGAUUUUUGAAAGACAGCAAAGAUGGUUCAAAAGUCUUUAACGUCAACUCUGGAAGUUGAGACAAACUUAAUUCCUUUAGCUGAUAGAUUGCUGAUGUAUGCCUUUCCUGGUCGCUGAGUCCUUCAGAUUGUACUAUUUGACAAAUGGAAGCAUUGUCUAUAACAAGCUUAUGAAGGAUUGGUAGAGACCGAAUGAAGGAAUACGGAAGAGUAGUGGAUGUCUUGGGAAAGAAUUGGAGGUUAAGAUGCUUAAGGUUUUGGAAACACUGUAAUGAGAGUUGUCCAUCACAUAUCCCCUUCACCAUAUCAUUCGUCUUCAGUGUUAGUUCUUCUAAUACAGGGAAAGUGUCCUGGAUGGCAACGAAUAUAUUAAACAUCGAUCAAAGAGUUUUCAAUUAGUAAGAACUAGACUACAGAAUGAAUAUAAUUUCCAUUUUCUUUCUCAUAAAUUUAAAAGGAAGGUGAGAAUAUUAGUUAUUUCAAAAGGCAUUUUAUAGGGUAAUCUCAAGUAAUGAACAUGGAGUAUGAAACUGUUAGUGAGCUCACCUCGUUGACGCAAAACAAGGGUUGUUGGUUUGAGAUUCCAACCUGACUCUCAGGACAUUUUGGAGUAAAUAUCUGUACUUUGGGACAUUCAAUAAUGUCCAUUUGUUUCAGUGAAGGCCACUGGGUGGUAUGCAUCCUAGAGUAGAAACUUUUCAAUCUCGGCACCUUAUCCAAUCCGAGGUUUAUUAGUUUGGGAAAUACAAACUUGGUCGUCUCUGUUUCAGCCAUAAUAGAUUGAGCAGCUGAUGUUGAAUGUGACUCAUCAGCAAUGACUCCUUGCAGCUCAAUAAUUUGUUCUAACGAAUCACAAUUCUGAAUCCGCAACUUCUCCAAACUAGGGAAAACAACCUGCUAAAUCAUUUCAUUAGGUUAAUAACUGAAAUAUGCAUGGAAAAGAAAGAACUUCAAACGAGUAAGAUCAAUCGAAGCAACAUAAAUUAAAAGGAGAACCCGUAAAGAAAUGACCUUUUCAUUGAGGAGAGAUGGGUUAUGAACCUCCAAGUUACUCGCUUGUACAUGUUGGCCAAUUUCAGGUUCAUCUUCAGAUACACAUUUAGUGAUGAAUGUUUUUAGCAAUAGACAAUUUGUUAGUUCUAAAUCUGUCAAACAUUGGAAUUCAAAGUAAUUUUCAAAGCAGAAACUUGUGAGUUUGGGAAGGUCUUUUAGCCACAGCAAUUCUAGUUCAGAGAAAGACAUCUGAUUCCUCCCUUGAUGUUCUUCAACCAAUCCAUCCGUGAGUAUUACUUGUUCCAUCAUAUUACAGUCCAAAAUUUCAAGGCGUCGGAGUUGCACAAGAUCUUUUACCAAGAAAGACGGGAACAGGUAUUUCAAAUUGUGACACCUGUUCACUUGCAAGGUUUUUAGGCAUCCGACAGAUGGGGAGGAUGGGUGGUGCCAUAUCUUUUGACUGUUAAUGGAGGACAAUUCCAGAUUCUCCAAACGAGGAAUGACAACCUGUUGACAUAAAUUUCAUUAGAAGAUAAUAUCACUCUUCCUUCUUUACUUGUAAAUAUAAUCAAAACAAGUAGAUGAGUAUAAAGAUUUAUAAACUGAUAAGUUAAGGUUAAUAUUCAAAUAUCAACUCACUCUACAGUUAAAGUGAUAAAUACAGCUAGGAGACGUGAACCCUUUUUAUUAGAUGAAAUGUUCAGCAGCAUAAAUCUAACCUAAAGCAAAAUUUGUUUUUUUUUUUAAACCUCGAGCUUUCAUAUUUGCUAUAAUGAUUGUUGAAUGAUUAUUAUUAAAGCAAUUCGACAGGGGAAUAUGCUUGUUUUUAAUAAAGUUGGACUCACAUAUUUAUGUAGUUUCCAUUAAUGAUUUACAUUAAUUACUUAAAAUAAUUUAAAAAAUGUUAAGCAUAAUUACUUAUUUAAUUAUUUAAUUGUUAUGUCACAAAAAUGAAAAUUCAAUGCCUGAAAGAGAUGAAAAUUUAAAUGGAGUUUUUUUUUUUUUUGUAAAGUUGAAGAGUUAUCAUUCUAAAAGGUUAUUGGAGGAGGGAUGAGCAUUGAAGGUCAUUGUUUGCUAUGUCAAGGGAACCAAGAAACAAGAGAUCAUCUUUUUGCAGACUGUAUGUUUGCCAAAACUGUACGCUUUAAAAAUACUUUAAAAAAUACUUCUCAUUUUUUAUUUUUUUUUGAAAAAAUACUUUAAAAAUUAUAUAAAAUUCUUAUUCAAAUUAUCCAAAUAUAUUCCUCAAAAAAUUUCCUCAACUUUAUCUGAAUUGAAAACAUUUGAUUUUAGAUAAGCUUGAGGAAAUUUUGUGAGGGCUAUAUUUGGGUAAUUUAGAUAAGAAUUUUAUAUAAUUUUUUAAGUUUAUUUUUUUUUUAAAUGAGAAUGGUUUGUUUUUAUUCUUAUAUUUCUUAAGGGUUGUUUAAAUUUAAUUUCAAAAAAAGAUAAACUUAAUAUACAAAUAGACCAAAAUAUGAAAAGCAUUUAAUUUGGUGCCGCCAUUCUGACCGGCAAAACCCUUUUUUCCACUAAUUAAAAAAGGAUAAUUACUUCGUCAAGUCCAUGAACUUUUUAUAUAAUCACACUUCAGUUUGAUAUCACCAAUUUUUCAGACGAAACUACUAAAAUUUUAUUAUUUUUUAAAUAAAAUACAAUCAUUGGUCGAUGAUAGCGGGUCGGUGCCGUCAUUGUAUCUGGCAGCAUCGACAAACACGGUAGAAAUCAAGUCAUUUAUGUGCAUAAUUUUUAAAUUUAGUCAUAUUCAUAACUAAUUAAAAAAAAUGAGAUACUUUUAUAAAAACCCGACAAGUAACUUUAACUAAUUAUAUUGAAUUUUUUUCCUUUCAAUCAUUUUUUUUCUAUGUAUGAAAUUUUCUUAUCUAUCAAAUUAAAAAAAUCAUUAAAUCUUUCAAUAAAACCCAUCCACUCUUUCCCACUUCAAUUCUUCUCUAUAUAUUUGGUUCGUUUCUUCAAACUCACCUUUUGUUUUCUUGCUUCUUCUCCUUUGAUCUCAAAUGACCUUUGUGAAGGUUUUCCACAAUUAUUUCCUUCUUUUUUCUAUUAUUAUUUUAUUAUUUAUUGUCUAUUAGUAUUUAAUUUAAAACUUCUCUUAAAUUCUUAUUAUUUAUUAGUAUUUCACUUUAAGUUUUCCUUUCAAUUCUUAUUUUAUAUAUUUAUUUAUACUUUAAACUCCAGUUUUUUUUUAAAUAUUAUCUUAUUUAUUAAUAUUUUUAUGGAUUUUAUUAUAUUCAAUUUUGACAAGGUGUAGCACUAGUAUGUAUAUUUAGACCAGACACACUCAUGUUGAUCAAAUCAAAAGAAAAUGUGAAAUAAGUUGUGCAGAUAUAUAUUGAAUACCAAACUUACCUUAUUGCUGAAAAAAGUUGCAGUGUUAUCAUAGAUGCCCCCUUCACCAACCACGCUUUCAGUUGCAUCACCACUCUCUCUUGAAACUGAGGAAGAAAAUGCAGUCAUUUUUGGACAUUCAGCUAUCGUGAUAUACCUCAGCUUUGGAAAUUCAAGAGCUUGACUUCCCCAAUGGAAAUUUGUCAAGUUGGAACACGACUUAAUUGUUAUGGAGAAUAGCCAAAGAAAUGAAAAUUUAUGUGUCAUUGCUUCCUCCUCCUCCCUAACUACUUCUUCCAUUGAACUGCAUUCUUUCACUUUUAUCCUUCGUAGUAGAUUGAGGCCCAAAAGCAUAGACGGAGUAAAUAUGUACUUCAAGCUGCUACAUUUAUAAAACUGCAGGUGUCUAAGGUUUUCGAUGCCCAAAAUUUCUUGAGGGUUUCUAGUCCAUAUUUCUAUCGACUCCGGAAAUGUGUCAGAGAUGUUGAAAUCAAAGAGUCCAUCCUAAAAAUUAAUCUAAUAUUAUUCCACUAGAUAGCAAUCAUAAAUAGAAAAUGCAGACAAUAACAAAAUAACGAUUAACACUCUUCAAUGGUUAUGGAAGUAGUAAUAAAAUUAAUUGUAUUAGGACAAGAGGAAUCUAGCAAGCAUUAUGAACUUAUUAACUUUGUACCUUUCCUGUGUAGAGCUGUUGUAUGGUGGUAUUAAGGUCACUUGUCCAACUCCAUUUCUCACUGAAACGCGACUGUUUUAUUCUCUGUAAUUGUGGGGUGCUUAAAACUCCCUCAGAAAAGAUCUUUAAACUUGGACAACGUUCCACAACUAAUUCUUCCAAACAAGGAAACUCGAAGUUGUAAUACCAUGGACAAAAACUUGUGAGGCUCUUCAAAUUCAAUAGUUGUAAACAUUUCAAUUUACUAACAACUAUUGUCUGAUGACAGUCUCUCUCGUCUCCCACUAUUUCUGUCAUUUCAGUGCAGUCUGCUACCUUUAUUGUCGUUAAUUGCACAAGAUUCUUAAGUACUGAGGGUGUAAAUAAGUUUGUCAUCAUUCGACAAAGUGACACAUUCAAAUUUGUGAGAUUUUGUAAAGAUGAUGAGAAGCCUCUGAUAUUGACCCAAUCAUCACAAUUAUGAACUGUGAGUGUUUGAAGAUUAGAAAGAAUAUGGUCAAGCUCCGAAUCUUUCCUCCAAAUAUGCUUAAGAUUUCUGGCAGAAACCAAUUUCAGAUUUCUAAUUGGUGGGAGAGUCCCGGAACCUCCUUUACAAGGGACUACAUGUUUGAAAUCAAAAUAAGAAACCUCAAGUCUUUCCAGAUUGUAGAAUCUUCGGACGAAAGAAAAUAAAGAAAAUGGAGAGCCACCACUCACUACAAAAACUUUAAUAUGUUGAAACAAGUCUGGUGGAAAUUGGUCCAUAUCACCAAAAUUUCGUAACUCAAAUUACAUAUCACCAAGAUUUGGUAACUUAAGUUCCAUAUCAUCAAGAUUUCGAAACUCAAGUUCCUCUAAUUUGGGAAUGACCUUGGAAACCAAUUAAAUAUAAACAAGUUAGGCUCAAUGUUGAUGUAUAUGCUUUAAACAAACAAACAAAAAAAAAGAUAUACAAUUUUAGUGUUUGAUUUUGAUGAUUAAAUCCCAACAAAAUCAAUAUUAAAUCAAACGAAUUCAGAAUAGAUGAAUUUUUUGUUUUAAGAAAAACACAAUACCUUGAGAAUAAAAACUGAUAAAAAUUACACAACAUGAAAGCCGAAAGAAGAGUAGCAAAUCUAGAUUAAAAUAGAUAAACAACCAUUGUUAUAUAUUUUUUUUCUAUGAUAAAAAAUAUAAGCAGAACAGUGUAGAUAAAACACCAAGGUUUUAAAAUAUUAUACUGAUUUAAUUUGAUGGUUAAAUUAACGAAUUUAAUAAUAGAAAGACCUAGUUGACUAAUUUAAUAACAAAUUUAAUUUAAUAGUUUAAGAAUGUAAUUAAAAUAUUUUAAAUUUUGGGACUAAUUUAAAAUGAAGAUCAUAGUUUAAGACGUGUAGUAUAAUUAACUUUUAAAAUUUUGACUUUUUAUUGAGUGGCGAUUUUUUUUAGCAAAUUAAACGUUCUAUUUAGUUUCGACCCACUACUUAAAUGCAGGGUAAAUUACAUAUAUAGUCACUUAAGUGUUAAAAUAUUUUCAUUUUGGUCAAUUAGAAACAAGUAAAAUUUCAAUUUAAGUGUUAGAGAAAUUGAAUAUCUUAAUUGCUAUGCCGCAAAGCCUCUAACGGGAUGCUAACGUAGCUUUUUUUUUUUUUUUUGCAUAAUAAUAAAUUUAAUCCUCAACAUUUAUACAUUUUAUCAAAUUGAACUACAUUCUAAAAAGUCAAGAUUAACACUCAAUAUUUACCUAUUAUGUUUAUUCAGUCUUUUUUUAAAAAUUGAAAAAAUAAUUAUAAUUGUAACAAAAAAUUUAAAAUAUAUAUAUUAAAAAUUCAAAAAUACGAAAAAAAAAAUUCAAAUCAAACAAAAUAUAAUAAUUAGAAAUGCAUUAUCGUGGCAUAUUUCUAACUUGAGAUGCUUGUGGCAGUGGUUUAAAUCAUAAAAGGAAAUAUAGUUGUAAUGAUAUACAUACCUCUUCACCCAACAAUACUGGCUGCUCAUUUCCUUGGAUUAAUCUAAGAUGUUCCGAUGCCACUAUCUUUAGCAAAGCAGAAGUACUAUCUGUUCUCAAUUUUUUCAACAUCGGCCAGACUAUAGUAUGUUGCCCUUCAUAAAAACAUUUGAGCUUUUCUACCCCUGUAACCCUAAGGUAAGACACUUGCGGAAACUCAAACCUCACAGGCUGCUCCUCCACUCCAUCCCCUUUCGAUACAAUCUCCUCAACUCCACAAUCAGCGAUGUGUAAAUGUUCAAGUUGUGGAAGAUCUUUGGCUAUUGAUACUGGAAAUAGAUUUUUCAAACUCCCACAUCCCCAAACACUUAUUUUUCGUAGAUUUUUAAAGGAACCUGGUGCUAGGGUCAUUAUAAAAUAUCAUCCUCACAUUACUCAAGCCGAGAUAUUCAUGUCUUCCAAGCUAGGAACUGCAACCUAUUCAUAUAUAUAUAUAAUCCAUGCCCAUAAUAAGGUUAGCUCAAUAAUGAAGGCAGAAAAAAAAACAAGGACAAAUCAACAGAUUUAUGCAGGAGUUGUAAGACUAAUCGAAAUAAAUCACCUUCUCACUAGCUCUUUCAACAAAAAACAAGGACAAAUCAACAGAUUUAUGCAGGAGUGUAAGACUAAUGAAAUAAAUCACCUUCUCACUGAAGAGAGCGUGCAUGCCGGACUGAUUACUAUUCUGACUAAUGAAUUCUAUUAACUUGGGGCAAUGCUCAAUCUUUAGCUCUUUCAACAAUGGGAACUCAAUAUUGUGGUUUCCUGACUUGAAGAAGAUGAGGUUUGGAAGACGAUUUAUAUGCAGGGAAUUUAAUCGAGGGAAACAAAUCACAUCUUUCCUUUCUUCUUCAAUUUCCUCUGUAAGUAUUAUGUCCCUUAAGCACUUGCAAUCCUCCACUCCAUCCCCUUUCGAUACAAUCUCCUCAACUCCACAAUAAGCGAUGCGUAAAUGUUCAAGUUGUGGAAGAUCUUUGGCUAUUGAUACUGGAAAUAGAUUUUUCAAACUCCCACAUCCCCAAACACUUAUUUUUCGUAGAUUUUUAAAGGAACCUGGUGCUAGGUCAUUAUAAAAUAUCAUCCUCACAUUACUCAAGUCCGAGAUAUUCAUGUCUUCCAAGCUAGGAACUGCAACCUAUUCAUAUAUAUAUAUAAUCCAUGCCCAUAAUAAGGUUAGCUCAAAUAAUGAAGGCAGAAAAAAAAAACAAGGACAAAUCAACAGAUUUAUGCAGGAGUGUAAGACUAAUGAAAUAAAUCACCUUCUCACUGAAGAGAGCGUGCAUGCCGGACUGAUUACUAUUCUGACUAAUGAAUUCUAUUAACUUGGGGCAAUGCUCAAUCUUUAGCUCUUUCAACAAUGGGAACUCAAUAUUGUGGUUUCCUGACUUGAAGAAGAUGAGGUUUGGAAGACGACUUAUACGCAGGGAGUUUAAUCGAUGGAAACAAAUCACAUCUUUCCUUUCUUCUUCAAUUUCCUCUGCAAGUAUUAUGUCCCUUAAGCAAUUGCAACCCACUAUCUCAAAGCAUUGGAGCUGCACCAGACUUCUAGCGAGAGAGGGUGAUAACAGAUGCUCCAACUUGCCGCAUCCUUUAAUGAUCAAGCUCCUCAAAUUCGUAACCCAAUGACAUGUCUAGUUGUGCCAUAUUAUUUUGGUGUUAAUGGAACACAAUUACAAGCUUUCCAAGUAAGGGAAAAUAAAUUGCACAUAUUUUCACACAAUUCUUUUUCGAUAGGGAAAGAUAGUAUGUAACAUAAUUUGAAAAUAUGAUUUUCGAUUUUAAAGAUAAUUUUAGUUCGAUUUGUGGGCUCAAAUUUCAUUUUCAAAAUUUAAAAAAAAAAUGGUUGGGUUUAAAUUUAGAUUAUUGAAUUGACUUUGUACUUUUAAUCGGUUUGAAUUAAAAAUUAAAUUUUCAUUUGUUUUGGAUUUAAAAUUUAUUUUUGAGCUCCGGAAAAACCAUUACACAAUAUUAUUUAUUUCUAUUAUUAGAAGUAUUAAUGGGCAUAUAAAUAAAAGUUGUAUAAGAAAAUAUAAGUAAAGCUAAACAAAUACCUGUUUAUUGAAAAGUAGUAAGGGCUUAGUGAAACACCUUUCGUCUGGAGAGCAAAAGCUAACUAGUUGCGGUAGAUUUUCAAGUUCGAUGAAGCAUAAUUCAGAAAAUCCAAUUUUGUUCGUUUUAAUAUAUUGGACAUGCCUACCAUUUCUGACAUGAAGUCUCUUUAAAUUUGGAAGAUCUUUCCCAUUAUUUAACUCCAUAAGUACAUUCUUGACGCCUUCAAGUCUCUCUAGGCACAAAUCUUCUGUCUUUAUCAACAACAUUUUCGUCCCAUUGUCCAAAUCAAUGUUCGUAUAUAACUUGAGCUUCAAUGCUUUUGGAGAUUCAUAAUUAAGGCAACAAUCCAAUAUUUCAUAAUUACCCACGAAAAUCCUGAAUCUGUCCAAUGUUUCAACAAAUCGGUGUUUUGGUAUCAUUUGGACAUCAAGAAUAUGAACAUAUAAAGUAGUUAGACAAGGCAAAUUGUUUAAUUCAUCAAGGCUUGCAUUUUUCCUCUCAUUUUCAACUACUCCUCCUUUUUCCCAUUCAACAAAGCUCCUACUCAUAUAUAAUUCUUCCAAUUUAGACAAACCUGAUAAGACAUUCGGUGGGAUGAUUUUGAGUUCUCUACACCCACGCAAAUCUAACAACCUUAAUUGAGUCAAUUGUGCCAUCUCCUUAGGUAGUUCUUUGAUACCUGACUGAGAAAGGUUGAGUACUUGUAAACUCUUGAGCUCUCCAAGGUUGGUUAUGUCAUCAACUGCACAUUUUUUCAGACACAACAUGCGAAGGUCUGCAAGGUGAAUAAUUGAUUCAGGGAGGGAUGGAAACUGCAUUCCGACCAAAUCUAAGGCUUUCAGGCCUUCGGUUUGUUUGAAGAAAUUGAGAGGAAUUUUAACCUCGCCAUCAUAGGCCAUAUGGAAAAAGGAAAGUCCUGAACACUCCAUCUCCUUAGGAAGGUUAGCUAUAAUCUGAGGACAACGUAAGCUGAUCACACUCCACGUCUUCAUUUUCUCCUUAUCGGACCACUCCUUUGGAGCAUGAUCUCUCAAAACAAUCAUACGGUAGUCCUUCAAUGCAAUAGCUAUAGCAGCAUCCCAAACAACAUCAUGGAUACCAAAGCGCUCAUCAUUAUAACUCUCAAGCAACAAGGCAGACGCUUUGAGAUUAGCCACAACCGUCAAUACUUUAUUUCUAGCUUCUUCCAUAGUGUGGACACCAUCAAAUAAACCCAAACCUAGAGUAUAUCUUACCAAGUCCUCAACGAGACCAUUAUGGCCUAUUACACUGCAAAGCAAGAAAGUCAGCUUGACUUCCUCGCUUUCUAAAUAUUUAAAACUCAACUCUAUAGCUGAAUAUGCCGCAGUUAUCCCCUUGAAGUUGCUUGACGAAGGCCUCUCCAGUUCUCGUAAAGCAUUCUUCCAUUCAAACAACCUUUUGUUUCUCAAAGCCCCUGCAACUGUCGCAAUGGCUAUCGGCAGUCCUGCACAUUUUUUGGCUACCUUCAUAGCUAUAGGCUUCAAAUCGCAACUUUCAUCACAGUUGCCAGCCAUCUUCUUGAACAGGUCCCAGGCUUCCUUUUCCUUUAAAAACCCAAUGGGAAAAUUUUCCUGAGCAUCCAUCUCAUUUGAUAAAACAUUGAGCUCUCUAGAAGUUAAUAGUAAUUUGCAGCCCUUGUGUUCAUCUCCCAAAGGAAUCCCUACUUCCUCAAUAUCAACUUUUCCCCAAAUGUCAUCCAAGACAACCAGAACCCUCUCCUCUUUCUUCAAUCUUUGUCUUAGUCGAAUUGCCUUUCCAACCAUACUCUGUUCCUCAAAUUUCAAGCCCAAGAAGUCUGCAAUUUCGUUCUGAAUCCUCUUAAUAUCGAUGGCUUGAGUUACAGUUACUAUGACAACCGAAUCAAACAACUUGCCCUUGACCUUUCUAGCGAUUUCUUUGACCAGCGUUGUUUUUCCAAUCCCACCCGUACCAUGCACCCCAACAAUGCUAAUGCUAUCAUCUUUUAGUGCCCCCAUUAUUCGGUUCAAAAUCGACGUUCUUGACUCGAAUUCCUCAUAACCUUUAACUUGUGCAACCACGAUACCUUGCAGAGUUGCACGAUAGGAAACCCUUUCAAACUCGCCAUGUUCAAGUAGCUCGGCAACAGCCUUUGCCUCCUCUUCAGCUUUGAGGCUAAGCUUGUAACGAGUCCUGAAAUUAGGACACAAACCAAUGAAACACUUUUUCUUUGCUCUUUCUUCAUCUUGCAUCACUUUCUCUACUUGUUCAAGGAUCAUUUUGUCGACUGCAGACAGCCAUUCGCCAACAUCACCUUCGAUCUCUUCACCGUUUCGUUUAGCUGCAUCAACAGAGUACUGCACUCUGUCCCUUGCACCUUUCAGCCUCUCAGCUCGGUCCUUGAGGGUCUCAACAUAUUGCUGAUGAUUGGAAAGGUAUUUGACAUGGUUUUUGAUAGGAGAGAUCGUAUACUCUACAGCUUUAGCGACAAUAGAGCCAACGAUGGCAAUAACAAUCUCCAUUGAGAGAGCAAACUGAAUAACCACAGCGACAGCAAAGACCAAAACUUGAAUUAUCUUAUAUAGUUUUUAAAAAGAACUCAUUUGCAUAAUCUUAAAAAUAUAAAUAUGAGAUUAAUGUUUUACUUUAUGACAAUUAAAGUAAAGUAAUUUUGUUAAUAGAUAAUCUUUUAUUAAUAUAGACAUAUAUCUAACUUUAUUUUUUUAAUAAUUAUCUUUUUUUGAAGGAAAUUUUUUUUUAUUUUUUUUGCUAAGCAUUGAAGGAAUAAUUUGUCUUUUACACUUUGAAUAAAUUUUACAACACAUCUUUUAAAAAAUAGUUUUCUAAUUAUUAUUUAAAUUAUUUUCAACUAAUUCAUAAUUCUACCAAUUUCUUAUAUUUUGAUUUAACAAGUGAUUGUUUGGUGUAAUGUUUUAUUUAUUUAUUUAUUCUACAAGCAAUAUUAAAAUAUUUAAUUUUUUAAAAUAUUUUACUAUACUUCUAAAAAGACAUUUAUCAACCUCUUGACUUUACUUGUGGAAUUUAAAAACUUCAAUAAUAAAUUAUGAGAAAUCAUUUAGUACACUGCUAAUGGAGUUUUUAGACUCCACUAGCAGGACCAAGGGGGAUUGACAAGUAUUUUAUAAGGGUAUAAUAAAAUAUUUAAAUGAUUGAGAGACAUGUUAAUUUUUUAAGGUUACUUGUAGAAUAAAAAAAAGUAUUAAAUCCUCACCCUAUUUAUAUUCAUAUUUUUAAUUUAAUUUUUAAUCUUAAUUCAUAUUUUAAAUAUUAUGUUAUAACAAAAUGAAAAUUUAUUAAUAUUAAGGGGAAUGAUCUACUUACACAAUGUAAAAAUUAAAGUAAUUUUACACACUUCCGUAACUAUUUAUAUGAUUAAUAUUUUAAUGAUACAAUCAUUAUAUUUUAGGUAAUAAUAUAAACCCAAAAAAUUAGCUUCGAAAAAAAUAAAAUUCACGUUUUAAACGGGCUGAGCUUCAGACAAGAUUUUUUUAGUUUGGACCUAACCUGAAUUUAACUUUUUUUUUGCUGCUGUUUACUGCUUUUACGUUGUUGUUUUUUGCUGUUAUGUUGUUAUUUUGCUACUAUUAUUUAGAUAUUGUAUAACUCUUAUUUUAUUUUUAUUUUUGCUAUUAUUUUAGAAACAUUUGUUUGCUAAGCUGCAACUAUGUUAGUUUUAUUUAAGUAUAAAGAAUUUUUUUAAAUAUAUUUUCAAUUUGUUGAGAAACAUUUAUUUUAAUAUUUUUAGAGUAUUUGAUAUAUUAUAUUUUUUAAAUUUAUUUUUAUAUAAAAAAUAAUCUAAAAAAUUUAAUACAGACGGGUUCAGAUUUAGUGUUUUUUAUCUGGGUUGAACUUAAAUAAAAUUUUAGCGCAUUUUUUAGUUGAGCCGAGUCCGGACCCGAAAAACAAAUCUAAAAACCCAACCUAUGAUUAGAUCUACUACAAAUCCUCCUUCUACAAGAUAAAGCAGUACUCAACCUCUUAAUAACCAUAUUGCAGUAUGUGGAAGCCACAAUUUGUUGAUAGAUCACAAACAAAAGGGCUUAUGCAGCUUUCCUAAUAGUCACCCCUUCUUAUCCCUUUUUUCCACGAACUUUAAAGAGUGUUUUCCACAAUUUUUUUAAUGGAUUUUAGUGGAAAUAUGUUUUCUUUUUAAUUCUGAAUUUUUAUGUAAUUUUAUAAAGUAAAGAUCAAAUUAAGGCUAAAAAAUUUUCUUUGGUCUUUUUAUAUAUGUCAGGUCAACAACACUAAGGGUAAAUUUGAAUGGAAAGAUGAAGAUUUUAAAUCGAAAAAGUACAGGACUCAAAAUCCUAAAGCUAAAAUAGAAGGGCUAAAUAGAUUUAAAGCAUAAAAGAAGUCCAUUUUCAUGGUUAAAACUGCCUGCCUAAGCUUAUUUAUACCGACAAGUAUUUCAGAAGAGUAAGAGCAAAGCAGGGAAAAGAAAAGCAGAUGGUGUACCUUUUGGCUAUGAUCAAUAACUUAUAAUUUUGUCUUUUUUUCUUUUUCUUAACAGAGCAAACCCAGAAAGUAGUGAUUUGAGAAAGAUGACUUCAUCUUACUUUAAAUGAAAGGAAGUCUCGUGGAAACAGCUCAGAAAUGACUAGCCAACAGCCCUAAAAUGUCUUAUACCAAAACAUAUUUUAAUGGGAAAAUAUUCUAUAUACUCUCACUCUAAAUUCCAAAUCUGAUUAUUCAAUACUCACAACUUUGGCUUUUACCAACUAAACAUAUAGUCCUUGAGGGUCUUAACAUAUUGCUGAUGAUUGGAAAGGUAUUUGACAUGGUUUUUGAUAGGAGAGAUCGUAUACUUUACAGCUUUAGUGACAAUAGAGCCAACUAGGGUAGUAACAAACUCCAUUGAGAGAUCAGACAAGAAGUAAACUGAAUAACCACAGCGACAACAAAGACCAAAACAAAAUCAGAAGAAAAAGUUACAAAUAAAAUGAGCAAAAAGUAAAGCUUCUGUAAACCAAGAAGUAAGACCAAAUCAACCAAAAUGAAAGCAGAUGGCGUACCUUUCCAACGUAUAAGAGAAGGAUUCAGCGAUUAGUUGUCGCAGUUACGAACGAGCGAAAAGAUAAUAUUCUUAACAGAGUAAUGCGAGAAGUAAUUUGACAAAGGGCAACUCAAUCUAAACAAAAUUUGAAAUGUAAACAAUAGAAUCCUAAAGAAACACAAAUACUUGAGAGUUUAGCUUUAUGGAUUCUUAUCAUUUGGUGGCUACAGCUGAAAAGUUGACAAAAGAAAGCAACACUCUAUCGCCAAUUAUUUUCCCUUUUGGUAAAGGUCACAAAAGAAAGGAACACACUAUCGCCAAUUAUUGUGUUUGAUGUCAGCUUUUCAUGGUGUUGGAAAAAUAUUAACCAUUUGAUAAAAAGCAAUUAAUCUAAAUCAUUCAGAAAAAAAAAUACAAUUUACUAAACUAAAAUUACUUAAUUUGUCUGUCUAGAUUUUAUCUUUUAUAAAAUGGUAGUUAUAGGGAAGUAAUCGUAAAUUUUCAUCAAAUAAAAAAAAAGUGAGAAUGUUAAAAGAGUUAUAAUAUUACUUAAAGAUUUAAACAAUACGAUGUUAAAGAGAAAUAGUUUAAUAAAGAAUGUAGAUUAUAAGUAUGGAUAUUGUUAUUAUAAGUGAAAAGUUGUUAUAAAUGAUUAAAAUAAAAUAUUAAUAUCGAUUUUAGUAAAAAUUUAAUAAUUACAACGAAAUGGUGUCAUAGUGGGUGAUUAUUAUAAAAGACUGUAUUCCCAUAUCUAUAUUUUAAUAUGUAUUUAAUAAUUAAUAUUUCAAGGAAAAUUAAUCAUCUUUAUAUCAAACGUAGUGUAUUUAUCCUUUGCUUCUCAUGAUAGUUAAAGGCUUGUCGGGAACUGCAUCGACAGAAGCAAGAAAAGUAGCAAAAGUGAUAAAGGAUGAGGAGGAUGAACGCGAAAGCGGAUCGUAAAGUUUGUCAAAAUUACGGAUUUGACUUAGGGUUGUAAACGUUCGGAAAGAAAUUGGAUUUUGACACAAUCUGAAACGAAAUUGAAUCCAAGUCAGAUGAAACAAUUAAAAUAAAUAACUAAAAUAAAAUAAUAAAUUAAAGAUUAAGGAAGUAAAUAAAGAAGAUAAAUGAAAAGAUAGAACGUGGCGUGUAGAAAUCCUAAUAAGCCUUGGAAACACGAAGAAUUCACAACCCCUUUCAAGCGGCUCUAAUUUUCCGUUUGAAGAUGAUCCCCACAAUCUAAAAUAAUUGUUAAAACUCUUCUAAAAGAAACUCAAGAGAAAUUCUUGAAAAAAAAAACCCAAAGAAAAUUUAUUAAUGCAAAAGAGAAAUAGAAUAAUAAUGAAUUUAAUGAAUUGUGUACAAUGCAAAGGCCUACAUACAGGCUAGCUAAAUAAAUCUAAGUAAAACUUUUAAAUAUACUAGAACUCUAAUUUAAUCUAAAUAAGAAGCAGUUUUAAAUUGAAUUUUCUUGUUAAUAUAAAACUCUUAAAUAACUUAAAAUACUUAAUAAUAAUUAAGUCUAAAACCUGAACCCAAUAUGCUUUAAACAUGAAUUAAAAGCCCAAAAUUUGUAAUUCUCGUCAUAAUCCCGUUUAGAAAUUCUACUUGCGCAGUCUUCACUAAAACGGUCAUAACUUGAGCUCCCGAACUCAAAAUCGAGUGAUUCAAAAUGUGUUUCGAAGCUAAGAGAUAGAUCUUCAAAUGCCAUGAGACAUCUCAACCCAAAAAUGUCAGGAUUCCAUUCAAAAAGUUAUUGCAAAUCUGCUAAUUUCCCAAGCCUAAAAACUGGCAGUUUUGAUGAUUGGAAUCUAAUAAAUUUCACUCCAUUCAUGCAUGUAUCAAAAAGACAUUGAUAUUGGGAGAAAUUUAUUACUUUAAUCUUUUAAUUUUUAUAUUUUAAUAUUUUUUUGAAACAAAAAAAAUUGAAUUUUUGAAACUAAAAGAAUUUCUUUAUCAAUUAACUUUUUAUUCAAAAUAACAUAAUUUAAUUGAAUUUUGAAAAUUACGGACCGAAUCCAAGAGCUGACAGGAGCCCGGCCCUCUUAAAAUAAAAAAAUUGUUACUUGAACUCAUUAAUAAAAAAAUUACACUUUAACUCAUCUAAAUUAUGAAAAUUUAAUUCUAUCCGUUUAAAGAUUUAAAUUCUUUUAAAGCAAUAAUGAUGCACAUUCCUACCACUUCCUACGGUUCGCAUUAAUUUCCUUUUAGAUAUAGUGAGACCUAAAGUAAAGGAUGCACUUUGCCAUCACUUUCUAAAAAGCCUUCAAUUGAUUGGGUGUUUCUUUUUAGAAAGAAAGAACUUUUUAAUAAUAUUUUAAGAAUUAAAAAAUGUAAACUUAAAAUUAAUAGUACAAGUGAUACAUUAUAUUUGCAAGCUAUUCGAAUUGGAUUCAAAAAAUCUUAAAAUUUUAUCAAAAAUUAUUGUGUAGAGCUUGAGGUAUUGAUCAAACUGAAUUUAAAUAUUGUAAUAGUUGAUUCAAGUAGCCCACAAACCUAAUUAAACAUUCCAUUUAAAUAUAUUUUUAUUUAUGAAAUUACAUUUUUAUCCUUGAUAUAUAGAAAGAGCUUAAUUAUAAAUGAGUUUGAUUAUAAAAAUUGAUAAACGAGCUAAAUCAGCUCAAUUAUGUUUUGAAUCAAGAUUGAGCUUAAAAAGUGAUGUUCAAGUCAAGUUCAAGCUUGUCAUUAUUCGAGCUCUGCUUGACUCGAUUGUACCUUUAAAAUAGAUGUAUAAAAUGUUGAAAAAUUGUAAUUUUUGGAAACUUUGAAGCAUAUUCUCAAUUGAUAAAAGUGGAGAAUUGAAUCAUAAAAUUAUGAUUUUAUAUUCUACUCCAUGAUAUCUUUACAACAGUAUAUCGUAUGCUCAAAAUGGAUGGUUGAGUGAUGAGUGAGAAAUUAAUGCUCAAAGUAAGUUACUUGUGAAUAUUUGUUAAGGAAAAGAAAAGGUUAGAUCUCACAUUGAUUAAAUACCAAGUGUGAGAUGUGUUUAUAUAUGAGAACCCACUUGAAGGAUGAUUGAAUGACUAAGUUCGAAACUUUGUCUCACGCGCAGGGAGUGUAGAUCCAAACCCAUCGGGGUUGGAGCGCACUCGCACGACGUGGGCGAUGUGAAAUGUCUAGACCGGUUUGUUGGGCCUAUGGAUAUUUUAAGCCCAACACAAAAUUUAUUUUUCUCAGUAAAUAUAUAUAAAAUCUAAUUUAAAAAAAACAUAUAUUAUGAUUUAAUUGCUCAUUUAAUACAGAUUUUGUAUAUUUAAUUAUGGAUAUUUCCAAAAUUCUUCCAUCUUGAAUGCUUAAGAAUUCUUCAAAAUUUUUUACACUGAAAAACUCUCUAAAACCAAGUUUAUUUUGCUCUAAAAAAUUAUUCUCUUUUUCUCUCUAUAUUUUCCAAUGUUCCGAUGAUAGAAAAAGGCAAGAAUUGUUCAUUGGUCUCUGUAGAGGUGCUACUAUUUCGGUUAUCAUGUUGUUGUAUCAUGGGAGACAGUCGACUAACGUUUCUUCAAGUACUGUAAGAGCGGACAAAUCUGUCUUAAGGAAACUGUGUAAAACAAGCCUCAACAUCUAGUUAAAUUCCAUUCUUUAUUCGAUUUUUGGUUUUCUAAUAUUAUUUAUUAGUUUUGAAAAAGAACUGAAAUGUUUUUUUAAAAAAAAAUUAAAAUACUAACUAAAAUGUUAAAUUUUUAAACACGACAACUUAUAUAGCAAUUCACGUGUAUUCUAUGUUAAUUUUUUAAAUUUUUAUAUUCUUAAAAUAUUAAUUUUGAUGUAUCUUUAUUUCUAUAAUUUAGAAAACAAUCUUAUUAUUAUUUUUAAAUUUACUCCUCAAACAAUUAACUUGAGAAAAUUUUUAUUUUAACUGGAAAUGGAACAUUUAUCUCGAAUUAUCAUUAACCAGGAUGAAGAAAAUGAUGGAUGCCUUGAUUGUAAAUUACAAGCUUAACUUUUAAGCAAUAAUUGAUGCACGUUCCCACCACUUGCGGGAAAACAACAACCAAGAUAAAAUUUUUGGAUUCGCUCGUAAAGAGAAAAAGAAUAAAGUUGUUUCUGUCUAAGCCCUUAUCCUAUGAUCCUACUUUAUCCUGUUGAAAUUGGAUCAAUUAAUAAUUAUGUCUGUUUGUAAAGGCUUCCUUAGAAUCAAUGAAUUAAGUCAAUAAAUUAAAACAACUCCCUCGUUAAAGACCCUUUGGGUUUUCUCAUCGAUACUCGUAAGUUCUUCAAAUUUAAAUUAUGAUACAAAUGAGAUUAGAAGAAUAAUUCGAAUAUUUUAUCACCAUAGGUCAUGUUCAUUUUAGAAGACGACAUAGAAUUAAAUAUUAUUUCGAUUUUUACGAUCCUUUAUAAUAUCGUAUACUCUUUCCAAAUGUAUAUUUAGAUUUGAACAAUUAAUUUUAAAAAUAUUUGAGGGCAUAUGAAUAGUAAUAUAGUAUAGAUUAAUUAUAUAUGCUCCCUCUUGAGUCUUGAAUUCUCGACAAUGAUAUUUCCUGUUAUUAACAAUGUCAUUAAUCCUACUAAUUGUUUUCUCUCAUUUUCUUUUGGGCAUACAGAGAUUGAAUGGAACAACAACCAGGAUGCGAAGACUGACUUUGUUCAUUCGGAAAUUUCUUCUACUUGUAUAUGUAAAGUUUUCUUCAAUCUGUGUGAGCUUAUGUAAUGCUAGUGUUAAACAUAAUUGGAUAUGAUUUUUCUCUCCAUCUCAAUCGCUGUUAUCCAAAUUCAUGUGACAGUAAAUACAAAUGUAUGCUAUAAACAGGAAAACUUUGAAUACCAUGAAAUCCUAUACUAUAUCAACUUAGAUGUUUAAUCACACCAAUGGAUGAGAAAACGUUAAGCAGAGAUGCAUAUAUAUCAAACCAAAAGACAUUUGCAAAUUUGGUUCCUCGUGGUUAGCCCAUUUUUUUAGCCACGGUCUGAAGUUCUAUAGACCUCAAACUUGGACCUUGAUCUAAGUAGCAAACAUGAAUUUUUUUUUUUUCCUUUUCAGCUUGUAACCCACAUUGAUAUCAAACCAAGCAAUCAUUUCUUCACAAAAACAAUAAGAAAACAAAAUUAAAAACAAAAUUAGCUAUAUUUACAUAUUAUAUUUUCAUUUCAUUACCCUCUAAAUGCCCUGGUUGGGAAGUUUAUCAGAUGAACUUCAUCUUGCAUUGCAGCUGAGAUUUUAAACAAAAUGGCUUCCCUUGCAACAAAAACUCUCUUCAUACUGUUCUCCACCCUCUUUUCAGCUUUCUUCAUUUAAAUUAAUGAAGAGUUCUCGAGGCAAUCCAUUAUUACAUUAACAAAACGCAUGGGGAUAAUUAAUCACCCGACCGCAAUUCUACUUUCAUGACAUUGUAGAUCGAAAACACCCUACAGCCAUGCAAAUUAUCAGGCUACCAAACAGGACAGCUACGUCACUUGGUACCACUUACCUGGUAGAUGAUCCAUUGAUAGAGAAACCUGAGCCUACUUCAGAACUUGUGGGAAGAGCUCAAGGGAUCUACGCUUUCGCUUCUCAACGUGAAUAUGGGUUGCUUUGGCAAUGCCGAUUGUCGGAGGUGGCAAAAUUUUCCCAUUUUCUCGUAGUUAUGCUUUGGCAAAGACAGUUUGGUUUAAUAAGAAUGGAGAUGCCAUAGUUGAAUAUGACGUGACAGUUGUUCACUACAGAACAAUUGAUGCAUGCAUGCAUGCGAUAUAAUUCAAUUUAGGUACGGCAUUGGUUUGUUUUAUUCUAGCUUUGGAUUGUUUCUCCUAUUGACUAGAAGAGAAAUGGGAUUUUAUCAUUUAUAUUUUUGUCAGGAUGAAUAUGAGAAACUUGGGAAUGGAGUUAUUAGAUUCAACUUUUCAUCAAAAAGCUGAGAUUGCACAGAAAUAAGUACAGAAUAAUCUUUACAGAGAACAAGAAAGAUGAAACAAGCACAAACACAAUAUGUAUAGCAAUCUUAAUCACAUCGUCUAAACCCCAAGCUGACAUUGAUAAGGUAACCAUCAAAAGUUGGCAAAUCCAUCCACCUUUAAGAAGAAUUGGAAUAUUAAAACAGGGGUCAACCUUACUAGUAGAAGUUUACAUGUUUGUAGUUCCCAAUGCCAUGCAUGAUGCACUUGAAAUUCAAUAUUGAGGUUAUAAUGUGAAAUGGAACAGUCGCAGCCACGUGCUUCAGUAGAGCAACUCAACCUACAAUGAAAAGGACGUCUCUAUGGUCACUUUAUAAAGCAUUGGUUAAGCUAUGAUGAAAAUAGAGGAGUCAAUUACCAUUUGUUUUGAAUUGAAACGAAACUGACCUUGUCUCAUAAGCACCCAAACAUAUUUCCUUAUUCUAGCUUGGGCAACUGAUGAGAAACCUCCGUCACCUGAGAAGUUUGCACAUUCUGUGCAUGAUCAAAAGAAACCAAGAAUUGUUCAAUUAACUAUGUAUGCAAAUGCACCAAAUAAUAUUUUACAUAUUGUUACGUUAGUAAAAACACAAGAAUUUAAAUCCUUUGAAUGAUUAGUACCAUUUCAUCGAACAUAUGUUUUAUAGUAGUGUUAAGGCCGCCUUCCCACUGCAGUUCACCUUUCUCAUCUCUUGUUAAGUGCAUUUGUUCCAGCCUUGGUGUGCUUAAAUCUCCUUGGCAGAAAUUCCUCAUUUUGGGACACUUUGUCACCUUCACCAUUUGUAAGACUGGGAAUUCCAACGAGUGAUGAGCCAAGGAAAAGCUUGCUAGACAUGGCAGACAACUUAGUUGCAAAUACUUCAGUUCGGGAAAUACAAUGCCGGCUUGUAUUUCUUCAGCCUCACACGCUAUGAUUUCCUCUAUCAUCUCACAAUCAUCUAUGCUCAAUCUUUCCAGUAGCGUCAGGCACUUAGCUGUUGAGCAUGCGAUUAAAUUGAUGAACCCAUGGCAUCUCGAAACUUCCAGUGUUGUUAGAUUUUUGAAAGACAGCAAAGAUAGUUUAAAAGUCUUUAACGACAACUCUGGAAGUUGAGACAACCUUAAGUCCUUUAACUGAUAGAAUACCGAUGUGUGCCUUUCCUCUUCGAUAAGUCCUUCAGACCGGACUAUUUCAGAAAUGGAAGCAUUGUUUAUAACAAGCUUCUGAAGCUUUGGUAGCGACCGAAUGAAGCAAUAUGGAAGUGUAGUUGACCUCUUACGAAAGCAAUGAAGGUUAAGAGCAUUAAGAUUUUUGAAACACUGCAAUGAGAGCUGUCCAUCACAUAUCCUCUUCACCAUAUCAUUCGUCUUCAGUGUUAGUUCUUCUAAUACAGGGAAAGUGUCCUGGAUGGCAAUGAAUAUAUUGGACAUCGAUGAAAGAGUUUUAAAUUGGUAAGAACUAGACUCUCAUAAAAUUAAAAGAGGAGAGAAUAUUAGCUUUUUCAAAAAGCAUUUUAUAGGUAAUCUCAAGUAGUGAUCAUGGAAUAUGAAACUGUUCGUGAGCUCACCUCAUUGACGCAAAACAAGGGUUGUUGGUUUGAGAUUCCAACCUGACUCACAGGACAUUGUGGAGUAAAUAUCUGUACUUUGAGGCAUUCAAUAAUGUCCAUUUGUUUCAAUGAAGGCCACUGGGUGGUAUGCAUCCUAGAGUAGAAACUUUUCAAUCGUGGCACCUUACACAAUCUAAGGUAUAUUAGUUCGGGAAAUACAAACUUGGUCGUCACUGUUUCAGCCACAAUAGAUUGAGCAGCUGAUGUUGACUGUGACUCAUCAGCAAUGAGUCCUUGCAGCUCAAUAAUUUCUUCUAACAAAUCACAAUUUUGAAUCUGCAGCCUCUUCAAACUAGGGAAAACAACCUAAUAAAUCAUUUCAUUAGGUUAAUAACUGAAAUAUGUAUGAAAAAGAAAGAACUUCAAAUGAAUAAUAAGGUCAAUCGAAGUAACAUAAAUUAAAGGAGAAUCCGUGAAGAAAUGACCUUCUCAUUGAGGAGAGAUGAGUUAUGAAGCUCCAAGUUACUUGCUUGUUCAUGUUGGCCAAUUUCAGGCUCAUCUUCGGAUACACAUUUAGUGGUGAAUGUUUUUAGCAAUGGACAAUUUGUUAGUACUAAAUAUUCCAAACAGUGAAAUUCAAAGUAAUUUUCAAAAGACAAACUAGCGAGUUUGGGAAGGUGUUUUAGCCACAGCAAUUCUAGUUUAGAGAAAAACAUCUGAUUCCUCCCUUGAUGUUCCUCAACCAAUCCAUCCGUGAAUAUUACUUGUUCCAUCAUAUUACAGUCCAAAAUUCGAAGGAAUCGGAGUUGCACAAGAUCUUUUGCUAAGAAAGACGGGAGCAGGUAUUUCAAAUUGUGACACCUCUUCACCUUCAAGAAAUUUAGGUAUCCCAUAGAUGGGGAGGAUGAGUGGUGCCAUAUCUUAUGAAUGUUGAUGGAGGACAAAUCCAGACGCUCCAGACUAGGAAUGACAACCUGUUGACAUAAAUAUCAUUAUAAGAUAGUAUCACUCUUCCUUCUGUACUUUGAAAGACAAUCAAAAUGAGUAGAUGAGUAUGAAGAUUUAUAAACUGAUCCAAAGGUUAAUAUUCACACAUCAACUAGACAGUUAAAAGUAACCAAAAUUUUUUGGUUAAUUAUGAAAAUGAUCUAACUUAAAAAUCAUAUAGUAAAUGACCUGAUUUCUACAGUGCUUACUACACCGGCCCCCAUCAAUGAUUGCUUUUUAAAAAAAUUAUAGUGGUGCUGCUUAAUAAAUUGACGGCACCAGACUGAAUGUGACUAUAUAAAACGUGCUGGGAUCCUUUGAAGCGGUUAACAUUUUUAGAUUGGUUAAAAAAGGGGUGUCGUUCAUAUCUGAACCAAAUUAAAUGUUUUUCAACUUUUGACCUAUCUUCAUGUUACAUCUGUCCUCUUUUAAAAUUAGAUUUAAAUAGCACUUCUUAUUCAAAUUACCCAAAUAUAUUCCUCAAAAAAUUUCCUUAAGUUUAUCUAAAUUUAAAUAUAUUAGGGAAUGAGUUGAAAAUGCUUGAAUUUAGAUAAACUUGAGGAAAUUGUGUGAGGGGUAUAUUUGGGUAACUUAAAUAAGAAUUUUAUAAAAAAAUAAAAAAAAAUGAGAAUGGUUUAUUUUUGUUAUUCUUAUAUUACUUAAGUGUUAUUUAAAUUUAAUUUUAAAAGGGGAUAGACCUAAUAUGCAAAUAGACCAAAAGAUGAAGAGCAUUUAAUUUGGUGCCCCAUAUUCACAUGAAGACCCCUUUUUCCGCUAAUUAAAAAAGGGUAAUUACUUCGUCAAGCCUAUGAAAUUUUUUAAAUAAAAUACAAUCAUUAGUCAAUGAUGGUAGGUCGGUGCAGCCAUUGUGUCUGGCGGCACCGACAAACACUAUAGAAAUCGAAUAAUUUAUGUACAUAAUUUUUAAAUUGAGUCAUUUUCAUAAUUAAUCAAAAAUUUGAGUUACUUUUAUAAAAACCCGACAAGUAAAUUUAAAUAAUUAUAUUGAUCUUUUUUUUCUUUCAAUGAUUUUUUCUAUAUAUGAAAUUUUUUAAAAAAAAAGCAUUAAAUCUUUAAAUAAAACCCAUCCACUCUCUCACUUCAAUUCUUCUCCAUAUAUUUGGUUCUUUCUUCUUCAAACUCCUCACCUUUUGUUUUCUUGCUUCUUCUCCUUUGAUCUCAAAUGACCUUUGUGAAGGUCUUCCACAAUUAUCUCCUUCUUAAUUCUUAUACACCCACAAAUUAAAAUAAAGGAAAAUUAGUUAUCUUUCUAUUAUUAUUUUAUUAUUUAUUGUCUAUUAGUAUUUAAUUUAAAACUUCUAUUAAAUUCUUAUUGUUUAUUAGUAUUUAAUUUUAAGUUUUCCUUUCAAUUCUUAUUUUAUAUAUUUACGUUGAAGCUAGCCAACAUGCUGACAUGAAGCAAUAGAAACUGCCCGAGCCAUGCAUGUUGCAGCUGAAGAUGGUGCUGCUGUUUUAGCUUAGUUUUGUUACUUUGAUCAACAUUUUGCAACUUAGUUUGAUUUGAACCAAGUUGUCAUUGUACUUGAUGAAUUUUUGUCAAUGUUUGAGCUGGUAAAACAACUUUACUAUGUGUGCAAGUUAUGUUUUAUUAGUUCCAAGGUUACUUAGUGGUAGUAGGUGAUGUUUAGGUAAUCAAAUUAUUUUCCUUGACCAGCUCAUGUCUGGUAUCUGUAUUGGCAUUAUGUCAUUGUUUCAGUUAAUGAAAAUUCCUCUAAGAAUUUUUCAUUCAAUACUCUCUCAAUCUUAGUUUCAUUUGGUUCUUAAAUGUUUAAUUCAGUUAUUGUUUGUUCUGCAAGUCUCGAGCCUUAAAGCUCAAGAAAUUGUUUUGUUUCCUUUAACUUUGUUCAUUGUUCCAACAAUUGGUAUCUAGAGCCUAUUUCUUAGUGGACCUAUCAUUCUUCAAGUCCAAGAACCAUGUCUUCAUCUAGAUUCUCACCAGCUCUACCACCAGUGUUCAAUGGUGAAAGCUACCACAUUUAGGUAGUGAAACGAAUACCUCCCUGCAGGCAUUUGACUUGUGGGAAGUUGUUAACUCAGAUUUUGAACCAGCACCUCUGAAAGCCAAUCCUAUAAUGGCUCAGAUCAGGCAGCAUGCAAAUGAAUGAACUAAGAGACACAAGGCUAUGUCUUGCAUUCAAAACAGUGUGUCUAAUGUGAUUUUCACAAGAAUCAUAGUUUGUGAGUCACCAAAGUAGGCCUGGGAUAAGCUAAAGGAAGAGUUUCAAGGGACUGAAAGAAUAAGACAGCAACAACUACUAAAUUUGAGAAAGGACUUUGAAAAUUUGAAGAUGAAGGAGGAAGAAAUAGUGAAGCAGUAUUCAGACAAAAUCAUGGCUAUAGUGAACAACAUUAGAUUGCUUGAGGACCAGUUUAGUGAAGCAAGAAUUGUAGAGAAGGUUAUCUCAAUUUUACACGAGAGAUAUGAAGCCAAGGUCUCACCCCUUGAAGAUUCAAGAGAUCUGAUAAGUAUCUCUUUGACUGAGCUGAUCAAUGCUCUUUAUGCAUAAGAGCAAAGAAGGGUUAGAAGACAGGAGGAGCAUCAAGAAGGUACCUUUCAAGCCAAGAGCAAACCACUGUCUCAAGCUUCUCUGGCAAUAAAUGGACAAAAGUCUGGCUCGACAAGCCUAGAAGAGAUAGAGUAGGAAUGAGAUAUCCACUUUGCCCAUACUACAAAAGACUCAGUCAUCCAGCUGAAAAUUGUUGGUUUAGGCCUGAUGUGCAGUGCAAAGUCUGCAAAAAGAUGGGUCACUCUAAGAAAGUUUGUAGAAACAAAGGCAAGCUGAGACAAAGUCAACCUCAAUAGCCAAAAGCUGAAGCUUAAGUGGCAAAACAAGGCCGUGACCAGGAAAAGCAAGUCUUUGUAGUGUCUUGCUCAGCUGCCAAAGGAAAAGUCAUAAAAGCGUGGCUGAUAGACAGUGGUUGCACAAACCAUAUGACUUCUAAUGCUACAAUCUUCAAGAGCAUCGACAGAAGCUUCAAAACAAGGGUGAAGGUUGGAAAUAGACACUUCAUCAAGGCAGAAGGCAAAGGAGAUGUGCUGAUUAACACUCCAACAGGUAACAAACUUGCCUCAAAUGUCUUGUUUGUACCUAAAAUUGACAGAAACUUGCUAAGUAUAGCUCAGUUGUUAGAAAAGGGCUAUUCAAUUGUGUUCAAAGGCAAAUAAUGCCUGAUCAGUGAUCCAAGUGGAUCUAAGCUUAUGUUAGUAACUAUGGCUAAUAGAAGUUUUGUAGUAGACUGGAAUAAGAGCUCAGACAGUGCCUACAUAGUAGUACUAGAUGAAUCCAAGCUGUGGCACAAGAAGUUAGGCCAUGUCAACUACAACUCACUGGCUAAACUAACCAAAGAAGAUUUGGUUGAAAAUUUUACCAAUUCUGUUGAGAAGGAGGAUGUUUGUGAGGUAUGUCAAUUAGAAAAGCAGGUCAGACUGCCAUUUCCCUUGAACAAAGCCUAGAGAGCCUCACAAAAACUGCAGUUGGUUCAUCCUGAUGUGUGUGGCCCUAUGAAAACACCAUCCUUGAAUGGUAGCAAGUAUUUCAUUCUUUAUAUUGAUGAUUACUCGAGGUAUUGUUGGAUUUACUUCUUAAAACAAAAAUCAGAAGUGGCCUCAGUAUUUUAGAAGUUCAAGUUUGCAGCAGAAACAGAAACAGGUUGCAAGCUGAAGACAUUGAGGUCAGACAAUGGGAUAGAGUAUACCUCAGUAAUGUUUCAGAGUUUCUGUGAUGAAAAAGACAUCAAGCAUCAACUUACCAACACCUAUACACCACAACAGAAUGAUGUUAGUGAAAGAAAAAAUAGAAACCUGAUGGAUAUGGUUAGAUGUCUAUUGUUUAAGAAGAAUUUGCCAAAAACCUUAUGGGCUGAGGCAGUUAACACUAUUGUAUAUCUUCAAAAUAGACUGCCAACAGAAGCAUUGGCUCAUAAAACUCCAUUUGAAGCCUGGUUUCGGUUCAAACCAUUACUAGCUGAUCUGAGGGUCUUUGGCUUCAUAUGCUAUGCACAUGUCUUAGCUGUUAAGAGGGAUAAAUUAGCCAAGAAAGCACAACCAGGUAUCCUGGUAGGCUAUAGCAGUAUGAAGAAAGGCUACAGAAUCCUAAAUCCUUUAACUAAUGAAGUCUUUGUAAGUAGAGAUGUGCUUGAUGAGAAGAUAGGGUGGAAUUGGGAUAAAAAUGAUCUAGAAGCUGCUGCUGAAGAUCUGUUAACUGAUUAGACUGAAGCUGAUCAAAAUGGUCCUAAAAUGGAUAUUGACCACGAACCAAUCAGGCAAACCAGACCUUUGAGUGAAAUUUAUGAAAGAGCUGAAGUGGCUGCAGUUGAACCAAGUUGUUUUGAAGAAGCUGAAGCUCAACAAGGAUGGAAACAGGCUAUGCUCGAUGAAAUGAACAUGAUUCACAAGAACCAGACCUAGGAGCUAGUUAAUAGACUAGUCAAUAGGAAAAUUAUUGGAGUGAAAUUGGUGUUUUGAGUGAAGCACAAUGCUGAUUGAACUCUGAACAAGCUAAAAGCAAGACUGGUAGUGAAGGGAUUCAGUCAAAAGUAUGGUAUUGACUACUUUGAAACAUUUGCACGAGUAGCCAGACUUGACACAAUCAGGCUGCUGGUUGCUUUGGCUACACAAAAGCAAUGGAAAAUACAUCAGCUCGAUGUAAAGUUAGCUUUUCUCAAUAGUUUCCUUGAAGAAGAGAUUUAUAUCGAGCAACCUGAAGGUUUCAAAGUUGUUGGUGAAGAGGACAAAGUGUACAAACUGAAGAAAGCCUUGUAUGGCUUAAAACAUGCACCAAGAGCCUAGUAUGAUAGAAUCGAUAGCUACCUGGCUAGCUUGGGGUUCGAGGGAAGCAUCAGUGAGCCAACCUUGUAUGUGAAGAAGAAAGGUAUUGAAACACAGCUUGUAGUGUCCCUGUAUGUCGAUGACCUACUUGUAAUAGGUCAAAGUCAUGAAUUGCUGGUUGAUUUGAAAGGCAAAAUAGAGAAAAAGUUUAAGAUGUCUAAUUUAGGAUAAAUGUGCUACUUCUUUAGCAUUGAAGUGUCUCAAACUCAAUCAGGGAUCUUCCUAAGUCAGAAGGCAUUUGCCUUGAAGAUUCUGAACAAAUUCUCCAUGCUAAACUGUAAGGCAACAAGCACUCCAGUUGUUGUUGGAGAGAAGCUGUCAAGCCAAGAUAAUUUCGAAAAGGUUUGUAAAUCAACCUACAGAAGCUUGAUUAGAUGCCUGCUCUAUUUGACUGCCACCAGACCAGACAUUAUGUUUGAUGUAAGUCUGAUAUCUAGAUUCAUGCAUUGCUGUAAUGUGAAGCACUUCCAAGCUGCCAAAAGAGUUCUCAGGUACAUUAAAGGUACACUGAGCUUUGGAAUGAUGUUCACCAAGGCUGAAAGGAUGAAGCUGCUUAGAUAUGCAGAUAGUGAUUGGGCUGGAUCGAUAGAUGACAUGAAAAGCACCUCAGGGUAUCUGUUUACCCUUGGUUCAGUUAUUUUUUGUUGGAGUUUAAAGAAGCAAACAGUAGUUGCUUAGUCAAUAGCUGAGGCAGAGUAUGUAGUAGCUAGUAAUGUUGUUAACCAAGCCAUUUGGCUAAGAAAGAUCAUGACUGACUUGAAUCUACACCAAAGGAAAGCAACAGAGAUCAACUGUGACAACCAGUCUACUGUUGUAAUUCCAAAGAAUCCAGUGUUCCAUGGAAGAACAAAGCACUUCAAGGUUAAGUUUCAUUUUAUUAGGGAAAUAGAAUAAGCUAAUAAGGUGAAACUGAUUCAUUGCAGUUCUCAGGAUCAACUUGCUGACAUUCUGACAAAGCCCCUUAGUAUAUCAAGGUUCGAGCAAUUGAGAAUGAGAUUGGGAGUUUGCAGCAUGCAAGCCAAGGAGGAGUGUUGAAGCUGGCCAGCAUGCUAACAUGUAGCAACAGAAAGUACCCGAGCCAUGCAUGUUGCAGCUGAAGAUGGUGCUGCUGUUUUAGCUUAGUUUUGUUACUUUGAUCAACAUUUUGUAACUUAGUUUGAUUUGAACAAAGUUGUCAUUGCACUUGAUGAAUUUUUUGUCAAUGUUUGAGCUGAAAAAAUAGCUUUACUAAGUGUGCAAGUUAUGUUUUAUUAGUUCUAAGGUUACUUAGUGAUAGUAGGUGAUGUUUAGGUAAUCAAAUUGUUUUCCUUGACCAGCUCAUGUCUGGUAUAUGUAUUGGCAUUAUGCCAUUGUUUCAGUUAAUGAAAAUUCCUCUAAGAAUUGUUCAUUCAAUACUCUCUCAAUCUUAGUUUCAUUUGGUUCUUAAAUGCUUAAUUCUGUUAUUGUUUGUUCUGCAAGUCUCGAGCCUUAAAGCUCAAGAAACUGUUUUGUUUCCUUUAUCUAUGUUCAUUGUUCCAACAAUUUAUUUAUACUUUAAACUUCAACUUUGUUUUUAAAUAUAUCUUACUUAUUACUAUAUGGAUUUUAUUAUAUUCAAUUUUGACAAGGUGUAGCACUAGUAUGUAUAUAUAGACCAGACACACUCAUGUUGAUCAAAUCAAAAGAAAAUGUGAAAUAAGUUGUGCAGAUAUAUAUUGAAUACCAAACUUACCUUAUUGCUGAAAAAAGUUGCAGUGUUAUCAUAGAUGCCCCCUUUGCCAACCACGUUUUCACUUGCAUCACCACUCUCUCUUGAAACUGAGGAAGAAAAUGCAGUCAUUUUUGGACACUCAGCUAUUGUGAUAUUCCUCAGCAGUGGAAAUUCAAGAGCUUGACUUCCCAAAUGGAAAUUUGUCAAGUUGGAACACGACUUAAUUGUUACGGAGAGUAGCGAAAGAAAAGUAAAUUUAUGUGUCAUGGCUUCCUCCUCCUCCCUAACUACUUGUUCCAUUGAACUGCAUUCUUCCACUUCUAUCCUUCGUAGUAGAUUGAGGCUCAAAAGCAUAGACGGAGUAAAUAUGUACUUCAAGCUGCUACAUUUAUAAAACUGCAGGUUGCUAAGGUUUUUGAUGCCCAAAAUUUCUUGAGGGUUUCUUGUCCAUAUUUCUAUCGACUCCGGAAAUGUGUCAGAGAUGUUGAAAUCAUAGAGUCCAUCCUAAAAACUAAUCUGAUAUUAUUCCACUAGAUAGCAAUCAUAAAUAGAAAAUGCAGACAAUAACAAAAUAACGAUUAACAAUCUUCAAUGGUUAUUGAAGUAGUAAUAAAAUGAAUUGUAUUAGGACACGAGGAAUCUAGCUAGCAUUAUGAACUUAUUAACUUUGUACCUUUUCUGUGUUGAGCUGUUGUAUGGUGGUAUUAAUGUCACUUGUCCAACUCCAUUUCUCACCGUAAUGCGACUGUUUUAUUCUCUGUAAUUGUGGGGUGCUUAAAACUCCCUCAGAAAAGAUCUUUAACCAAGGACAAUGUUCCACAACUAAUUCUUCCAAACAAGGAAACUCGAAGUUGUAAUACCAUGGACAAAAGCUUGUGAGGCUCUUCAAAUUGCAUAGUUGUAAACAUUUCAAUUUACUAACAACUAUUGUCUGAUGACAGUCUCCCUCGUUUCCCACUAUUUCUGUCAUUUUAGUGCAGUAUUCUACCUUUAUUGUCGUUAAUUGCACAAGAUUCUUAAGUACUGAGGGUGUAACUAAGUUUGUCAUCAUUUUACAAAGUGACACAUUCAAAAUUGUGAGAUUUUGUAAAGAUGAUGAGAAGACUCUAAUGUUUAUCCAAUCAUCACAAUUGUGAAUUGUGAGUGUUUGAAGAUCAGAAAGAAUAUGGUCAAGCUCCAAAUCUUUCCUCCAAAUACGCUUAAGAUUUCUGGCAGAAACCAAUUUCAGAUUUCUAAUUGAUGGGAGAGUCCCGACGUCUCCUUUACAAGGGACUACAUGUUUGAAAUCAAAAUUAGAAACCUCAAGUCUUUUCAGAUUGUAGAAUCUUCGGACGAAAGGAAAUAAAGAAAAUGGAGAGCCACCACUCACUGCAAAAACUUUAAUAUGUUGAAACAAGUCUGGUGGAAAUUGGUCCAUAUCACCAAAAUUUCGUAACUCAAGUUCCUCUAAUUUGGGAAUGACCUUGGAAACCAAUUAAAUAUAUACAAGUUAGGCUCAAUGUUGAUGUAUAUGCUUUAAAAAAACAAACAAACAAAAAAAAAAGAUUUACAAUUUUAGUGUUUGAUUUUGAUGAUUAAAUCCCAACAAAAUCAAUAUUAAAUCAAAUGAAUCCAGAGUAGAUGAAUUUUUUGUUUUAAGAAAACACAAUACCUUGAGAAUAAAAACUGAUAAAAAUUACACAACAUGAAAGCUGAAAGAAGAGUAGCAAAUCUAGAUUAAAACAGAUAAACAACCAUUGUUAUAUAUAUAUAUAUAUUUCUAUAAUAAAAAAAUAUAAGCAGAACAGUGUAGAUAAAAACACCAAAGUUUUAAAAUAUUACACUGACUUAAUUUGAUGGUUAAAUUAAUGAAUUUAAUAAAAAAAUACCUAAUUGAUAUAACCUCAAUAGUUUAAGGAUGUAAUUAGAAUGUUUUAAAUUUUGGGACUAAUUUAAAAUGAAGGUCAUAGUUUGAGAUGUCUAGGGUAAUUAACUUUUAAAAUUUUGACUUUUUAUUGAGUGGCCAUUUUUUUUAGCAAACUAAACGUUCUAUUUAGUUUUGACCCACAUAUAUAGUCACUUAAGUGUUAAAAUAUUUUCAUUUUGGUCACUUAAAAACAACUAAAAUUUCAAUUUAAUCACUGUUGCUAGAGAAAUUAAAUAUCUUAAUUGCUAGGCUGCAAAGUCCCUAACAGGAUGCUAAUGUAGCAUUUUUUUUUUUGCAUAAUAAUAAAUUUAAACCUCAAUAUUUAUACAUUUUAUCAAAUUGAACUACAUUCUAAAAAAUCAAGAUUAACACUCAAUAUUUACCUCUUAUAUUUAUUAAGUCUUGUUUUUAAAAAUUGAAAAAAUAAUUAUAAAUGUAACAAAAAAAUUAAAAUAUACAUAUUAAAAAUUCAAAAAUAUGAAAAAAAAAACUUCAAAUCAAACAAAAUAUAAUAAUUAGAAAUGCAUUAUCGUGGCAUAUUUCGACUUGAGAUGCUUGUCGCAGUGGUUUAAAUCAUAAAAAGAAAUAUAGUUGUAAUGAUAUACAUACCUCUUCAACCAACAAAACUGGCUGCUCAUUUCGUUGGAUUAAUCUAAGAUGUUCCGAUGCCACUAUCUUUAGCAAAGCAGAACUAUCUGUUGUCAAUUUUUUCAACAUCGGCCAGACUAUUGUAUGUUGCCCUUCAUAGAAACAUUUGAGCUUAUCUACCCCACUAACCUCAAGGUAAGACACUUGCGGAAACUCAAACCUCACAGGCUGCUCCUCCACUCCAUCCCCUUUCGAUACAAUCUCCUCAACUCCACAAUCAAUGAUGCGUAACUGUUCAAGUUGUGGAAGAUCUUUGGCUAUUGAUACUGGAAAUAGAUUUUUCAAACUCCCACAUCCCCAAACACUUAUUUUUUGUAGAUUUUUAAAGGAAUCUGGUGCUAGGUCAUUAUAAAAUAUCAUCUUCACAUUACUCAAGUUAGAGAUAUUCAUGUCUUCCAAGCUUGGAACUGCAAUCUAUUCAUAUAUAUAUAUAUAUAAUCCAUGCCCAUAAUAAGGUUAGCUCAAAUAAUGAAGGCAGAAAAAAAAAAAGGACAAAUCAACAGAUUUAUGCACGAGUGUAAGACUAAAGAAAUAAAUCACCUUCUCACUGAAGAGAGCGUGCAUGCCGGACUGAUUACUAUUCUGACUAAUGAAUUCUAUUAACUUGGGGCAACGCUGAAUCUUUAGCACUUUCAACAAUGGGAACUCAAUAUUGUGGUUUCCUGAGUUGAAGAAGAUGAGGUUUGGAAGACCCACUAUAUGCAGGGAGUUUAAUCGAGGGAAACAAAUCACAUCUUUCCUUUCUUCUUCAAUUUCCUCUGUAAGUAUUAUGUCCCUUAAGCACUUGCAAUCCUCUAUCUGAAAGUAUUGGAGCUGCACCAGACUUCUAGCGAGAGAGGGUGAUAACAGAUGCUCCAACUUGCCGCAUCCUUUGAUGAUCAACCUCCUCAAAUUCGUAAUCCAAUGACAUGUCUGGUUUUCGAUUGAGGGAAAAUAAAUUACACAUAUUUACACACAAUUCUUUUAAAAUAAAGGUAGUAUGUAACAUAAUUUGAAAAUAUGAUUUUCAAUUUUAAAGAUAAUUUUAGUUCGAUUUGUGGGCUCAAAUUUCAUUUUAAGAAUUAAAAAAAAUUGUGAGGUUUAAAUUUAGAUUAUUGAAUUGAUUUUGUACUUUCAAUCGAUGUGGAUUAAAAAUUAAAUUUUCAUUUGUUUUGGAUUUGAAAUUUAUUUUUGAGCUCCGAAAAAACCAUUACACAAUAUUAUUUAUUUCUAUUAUUAGAAGUAUUAAUGGGCAUAUAAAUAAAAGUUGUAUAAGAAAAUAUAAAUAGAGCCAAACAAAUACCUGUUUAUUGAAAAGUAGUAAGGGCUUAAUGGAACACCUUUCGUCUGGAGAGCAAAAGCUAACGAGUUGCGGUAGAUUUUCAAGUUUGAUGAAGCAUAAUUCAGAAAAUCCAAUUUUGUUUGUUUUGAUAUAUUGGACAUGCCUACCAUUUUUGACAUGAAGUCUCUUUAAAUUUGGAAGAUCUUUCCCAUUAUUUAACUCCACAAGUACAUUCUUGACGCCUUCAAGUCCCUCUAGGCUCAAAUCUUCUGUUUUUAUCAACAACAUUUUCAUCCCAUUGUCCAAAUCAAUGUUUGUAUAUAACAUGAGCUUCAAUGUUUUCGGGGAUUCAUAAUUAUGGAAACAAUUAUAUGCUCCAUAAUUACCUACGAAAAUCUUGAAUCUGUCCAAUGUUUCAACAAACCGGUGUUUUGGUAUCAUUUGGACAUCAAGAAUAUGAACAUAUAAAGUAAUUAGACAAGGCAAAUUGUUUAAUUCAUCAAGGCUUGCAUUUUUCCUCUCAUUUUCAACUAUUCCUCCCUUCUCCCAUUCAACAAAGCUCCCCCUCAUAUAUAAUUCUUCUAAUUUAGACAAACCUGAUAAGAUAUUCGGUGGGAUGAUUUUGAGUUCUCUACACCAACGCAAAUCUAACAACCUUAAUUGAGUCAAUUGUGCCAUCUCCUUAGGUAGUCCUUUGAUACCUGACUUAGAAAGGUCGAGGAUUUCUAAAUUCUUGAGCUCUCCAAGGAUAGUGAUGUCAUCAACUGCACAUUCUUUUAGACACAACAUGCGAAGGUCCGUGAGGUGAAUAAUUGAUUCAGGUAGGGAUGGAAACUCCAUUCCGAACAAAUCUAAGACUUUGAGGCCUUCGGUUUGUUUGAAAAAAUUGGGAGGAAUUUUAACCGCGCCAUCAUAGGCCUUACGGAAAAAGGAAAGUCCUGAACACUCCAUCUCCUUAGGAAGGUUAGCUAUAAUCUGAGGACAACGUAAGCUGAUCACAUUCCACGUCUUCAUUUUCUCCUUAUCGGACCACUCCUUUGGAGCAUGAUCUCUCAAAACAAGCAUACGGUAGUCCUUCAAUGCGAUAGCUAUAGCAGCAUCCCAAACAACAUCAUGGAUAUCAAAGCGCUUAUCAUUAUAACUAUCAAGCAACAAGGCAGACGCUUUGAGAUUAGCCACAACCGUCAAUACUUUAUUUCUAGCUUCUUCCAUAGUGUGGACACCAUCAAAUAAACCCAAACCUAGAGUAUAUCUUACCAAGUCCUCAACGAGACCAUUAUGGCCUAUUACACUGCAAAGCAAGAAAGUCAGCUUAACUUCCUCGCUUUCUAAAUAAUUAAAACUCCACUCUAUAGCUGAAUAUGCCGCAGCUAUCCCCAUGAAGUUGCUUGACGAAGGCCUCUCCAGUUCUCGUAAAGCAUUCUUCCAUUCAAACAAUCUUUUGUUUCUCAAAGCCCCUGCAACUGUCGCAAUGGCUAUCGGCAGUCCUGCACAUUUGUUGGCUACCUCCAUAGCUAUAGACUUCAAAUCGCAACUUUCAUCACAGUCGCCAGCCUUCUUCUUGAACAGGUCCCAGGCUUCCUUUUCAUUUAAAAACCCAAUGGGAAAAUUUUUCUGAGCAUCCAUCCCAUUUGAUAAAACAUUGAGCUCUCUAGAAGUUAAUAGUAAUUUGCAGCCCUUGUGUUCAUCUCCCAAAGGAAUCCCUACUUCCUCAAUAUCAACCUUUCCCCAAAUGUCAUCCAAGACAACAAGAAUCCUCUCCUCUUCCUUCAAUCUUUCUCGUAGUCGAAAUGCCUUUCCAACCAUACUCUGUUCCUCAAAUUGCAAGCCCAAAAAGUCUGCAAUUUGGUUCUGAGUCUUCUCAAUAUCGAUGGCUUGAGUUACGGUUGCUAUGACAACCGAAUCAAACAACUUGCCCUUGACCUUUCUAGCGAUUUCUUUGACCAGCGUUGUUUUUCCAAUCCCACCCAUACCAUGCACCCCAACAACGCUGACGCUAUUAUCUUUUAGUGACUCCAUUAUUCCGUUCAAAAUCGACCUUCUUGACUCGAAUUCCUCAUAACCUUUAACUGGUGCAACCACGAUACCUUGCGGAGCUGCACGAUAGGAAACCCUUUCAAACUUGCCAUGUUCAAGUAGUUCGGCAACAGCCUUUGCCUCCUCUUCAGCUUUCAGGCUAAGCUUGUAACGAGUCCUGAAAUUGGGACACAAACCAAUGAAACACUUUUUCUUUGCUUUUUCUUCAUCUUGCAUCACUUUCUCUACUUGUUCAAGGAUCUUUUCGUCGACUGCAGACAGCCAUUUGUCAACAUCACCUGCGAUCUCCUCACCGUUUCGUUUAGCUGCAUCAACAGAAUUCUGUACUCCGUCCCUUGCAUCUUUCAGCCUAUUAGCUCGGUUCUUGAGGGUCUCAACAUUUUUCUGAUGAUUGGAAAGGAUUUGACAUGGUUUUUGAUAGGAGAGAUCGUAUUCUCUACAGCUUUAGCAACAAUAGAGCCAACGAUGGCAAUAACAAACUCCAUUGAGAGAGCAAACUGAAUAACCACAGCGACAACGAAGACCAAAACUUGAAUCAUCUUAUAUUUAAAAAAAAAAAAAAGAAAAAGAAAACUCAUUUGCAUAAUCUUAACUACCAUUGAAGAGUUAAAAUUUUAAAAUUAUAAAUAUGUGAUUAAUGUUACUUUUAUGACAAUUAAAGUGAUUUUGUUAAUAGAUAACUAUUUAUUAAUAUAGACAUAUAUCUAAUGAUAUUUUCUAAUAAUUAUCUUUUUUUAAGGAAUACUUUUUCCUAAGCAUUGAAGGAAUAAAUUGUCUUUUUACACUUUGAAUAUUUUUACAACACAUCUUUUAAAUUUUUUUAAUUAUUAUUUAAAAAUUAAAUCUUUCUAAUUAUUUUGAAAUAUAAUUUUUAUCAUUAAAUUAAAUUUCUUUUAAAUUAAUUUAAACUAAUUCAAAAUUAUACCUAUUUCUUAUAUUUUGAUUAAAGCAAUAAUUUAUGGGUGAUUAUUUGGUAUACUAGCAAUAUUUUUUUAUUCCACAAGCCAUUUUAAAAAGUUUAUGUGUCUCUUUUUUAAAAUUUUUAAUUUUUUUUAUAUUUUACUAUACUCUUAUAAAACACUUGUCAAUCUCUUGACCUUACUGAUGGAGUCUAAAAAUAUUGUUGGAAGAAUUACUUUUAUGGAAACUUUGAGGCAUAUUCUCAAUAGUUAAAAGUGGAGAGUUGAAUCAUAAUUUUAUGGUUUCAUAUUCUACUCCAUGAGACCUUUACAAUGGUAUAUCAUAUGCUCAAAAUGGUUGAGUGGUGAAUGAGAAAUUGAUGCUCAAAGUAAGCUACUUGAAAAUAUUGCUGAGAAAAAGUAAAGGGUCAGAUCCCACAUUGGUUAAAUACCAACGUGCUUAUGUAUGUGAACUCUCUUUAAAAAUAAUUGAAUAACGAAGCUUGUAACAUUGUCUCACGCGUAAGGGGGGUGUAGGUCCAAAUCUAAUGGGGUUGAGUGCACCUGCAUGACGUGGGCAACGCGAAAUGUUCGGGCCGGUCGGGCCCAUGCGGAUAUUUUAACCCCUGCGGAUAUUUUAUGCCCAACACGAAUUUAUUUUUCCUCAGAAGACAUAAUCUGCUUAUAUAUGGACAGUAUCUGAUUUGAUCUAAUUUUUAAAUCAAAUUGAUUUUUUGCUCAUUAUCCUAAAUGCCUAUAAAAGGUUGUGUAUUCUGGAGGAUUAAACACACAUUCAAAUAAUUUUUUAUGCCGAAAUUCUGUUCAUUUAAAAACUCUUCCUUUUCCUCUCUAUUUUCAAACAUUCUUCUGAUAGAAAAAGGCAAAAUUCGUUAGUUGAUUGUUGUAGAGGUGCUACUACUUUGAUCACUUUUGUUGUUGUAUCCUGGGAGACUUUCGACUAACAUUUCUCCAAGUACCGUAGGAGCGGCCGAAUCUAUCUUAAGGAAACUGUGUUUCACAGGCCUUAAUGUUUCGUAAAAUCUCAAUUCUUAUUUAUUUCAACUUUUCUUAUGUUUUUAUUUGAUUCAUAUUUAAUAAAUGAAUUAUAAAUCAUUCUAUUUAUAUUUUAUUUCAUAUGUGUUUAUUAAUAAUUAAUUUAUUUUGUUCGCUAAUGUGUUUUGUCCAAUAAAUAUUAAUAAUAAAUUGUGGAAAUUAUUUAGUAAGUGGAGGUUUUAGACUCUACAGAUAGAGUCAGGAGGUUGACAAGUGUCUUAUAAGGGUGUAGUAACAUAUUUAAAUAAUAUAGACAUAUGCCAAUUUUUUAAGCCUACUUGUGGAAUAAAAAAAGUACAUUGCCAUUGUACCAAAUACUCACUCUAUUUAUAUUUAUAUUUUUUAUUAUUUAUUUUUUAAUAUUAAUUCAUAUUUUAAAUAUUAUGUGAUAACAAAAUUAAAAUUUAUUAACAUUAAGAAGAAGGAUCCACUUAUAUAUGUAAAAGCUAAAGGAAUUUUACACACUUCCGUAACUAUUUAUAUAAUUAAUAUUUUAACAAUCCAACUGUUAUAUUUUAUGGUCUAUUCAUAUAGAUUAUACAUGUCAAAUUUGAUGUAAAUUUAAAAUUUCUAACUAUUUUAUUUUUGUAAAAAAAAUUUCAAUCGUUGAUUAUAUAUUAGUGUAUAGAGUAUUUUAGAUCGAUACGAUAGAGAUAUUGAAUCCGUUCAAAAAUUUACAUGCAUUACAAGUACAAUUAUAUAUAUUGAUAAAUUAAACUGUUAAAUCGUUAAAAUAUUAAUCAUAUAAAUAAUUACGGAAGUCUGUAAAACUAUUUUAGUUUUUACAUUAUAUAAGUGACAAUAUCAAUAAUAUCUUUUUGUUAUACUAAAAAUUUCUAACAAUAAUUUUACAAUAUAAGAAAAUUUUUUUUGUUUAUUAAUGUUCUUUUUUUUUUAAUUUCGCUGCACAUUUUUUAAAUUAGUUAAUUUUUUAAAUAUUGAAAUUUUAAAUUUCAAAAUAGUAUAAUAAUAAUUAUGUUAUAAAAGCAAUUUCUAAAUAAUAUAUAAAUAAACACUUUUAAAUAUAUAAAAAUAUGUAUUUAAAUUUUUUUUAAUGAUUUUUCAUAUAAUUUUAGUGGACCAUCAAACCAGCUUUCCAGCCAUAUAUAGUUUUGAAAGGAAAUAAAGCAUCGAAUAAAAAAAAAGGUGGUCGACUACAAGAUAAAUCACCCAACCUCUGAAUAAGCAUGAAGCAACAAGUUGUUGAUACAUCCCAAACACAAGUGCUUAUGCACCUUUCCUAAUACUCACCCCUUUUUUUCUACGAAUUUUAAACAGCUUUUUAGAGAUUUAAAGCAUAAAAGAAGUCUAUUCUCAUGGUUAAACCUGCCUGCCUAAGCUUAUUUCAAAAGAGUAAGAGCAAAGCAGGGAAAAGAAAAGCAGAUGGCCUACCUUUUGGCUAUGAUCAAUAACCGAUAGUUUUCCCCCUUCCGUUUUUUUCUUCUUAACAGAGCAAAGCCAGAAAGUAAUAAAUCGAGAAAGACGACUUCUUACUUGCUUUAAAAGUAGAAAUGACAACCCAAGAUGUCUUAUACCAACGUAUAAAUGAAUUAUUAGGUAUCCAUGUAUUACAUAAACAAGGUUUCUCUUUUUCUCCUCUUAAAGGUGGAGUGAAUGAGUUAUCCAAUUGUAUGAGUGUUUUCAUAUAAGGUCAUUUUCCUAAUUAAUUUCCUUUUUGCUUUCUCUUUCUUCAACCACCUAUUCCUCCUAUUAAUAUAUGUUUUUGGAUGACUUAUUUAAUGGAGUGGUUAGAAUCAAACAAAGCACAUCACAAUCAAAGUAGAAAAAGACAAGAAAUAAGGAAGAAUGUUUCCAAGGUUUAGAUAUCAUCUUUGACAGACAAUGCUAUGCUAUUGAUUAAUUUAUGUAUCAAUUGCAUUUCAUGGAAACAACUCAGAAAUGACAUGCCAACAGUCCCAAAAUGUCUUAUACUAAAAUAUAUUUUAUUUAUUUUUGACAAAAUGGUAGCUAACAAAAACACGCUUUUGACUUUGACUAAUGAACUUAUCACCUUUAGAAUGUUGAUUAUGAACAACACAUAAGCAACCAAACACACAAAGAUCAUCAAUUAAAGGAAGUCUACCAAACAACAAUUUUUUUUUUCUUAAACACCAAGCUUAGAUACCAUGAUAAGAAUAGGGUAAUAAUUCCUUUCAAUCUUAUUGAUAAGCUUCAAGAAUAUACAUAAUAUUUAUACAACAGUAGUCAUGUAGGAAUAGAAAAGAUAUAUAAUAUAUUCCUAAAUAUAUGCUUAAAAGAUAUAUAAUAAUAUACAAUACAUUUAGAUAUUCCUAAAAGAUAAUUUCUCAUAAUAAUAUUCCAACAGUGUACCAAAUACUAGCUAUAUUUUAAAUUAUAUUUGUUUGUUACAAGUAUCAAACUAUUACAGCACGAAUUAUAUAAGGAAUUACAAAAUAGAAUCAAAUCAUUAGAGCACAACGAGAAUAAAAGUCGGUACAAUCAAGACUAAAGCCAACAACUUAAAUUAACUGGAUUAAAACUCACAUAUGACCAUCGCAUAUUAUGAGAAUAUGGACUAAGCAAAGUUAAUAAUAUCAAUAUCAACUACACUAAAACUCGAUUAGCAUCUAUUUAAUAUUUUUAAUUAUCUUCAUUUUGACUAAACGUACAAAAAAAUGCUAGUGGGGCAUAAGAUUUUUUUCCUUUGUUUGUUGCUAUCUACUAUUUGUUUUUGUUUUCUUUUUUUCUAAUCAACAUUGAUUUCAUUCAUAAAAGAAAGAAGUACAAAGGUGCAAUAAACUACAGCAAAGCCACAUAGAGGGCAGGCCUGUUAAUGCAACCUACUAUUGAACAUACAAAGUAUUUAGCUAAUUUCAUUAUUCAUUUCUACUAUUUGGUCAUAUAAUUUUUUCCUUGUCAUUUACAUACCACAUAUCCAUCAUUAACAUUCUCUUCCAUAAUUCAUGUAUUUCACUUUUCAAUUUUACAGCUCAUUAAACUAAAUUAAUUAUUUUUGUCUUUCAUAUAAUCAUACACUUUCUUACAUUUUCACUUAAUUUAUGGCUUAUCAUACCAUAAAACUUUUCAUUUACAUAUCACAUGUUACUCAUAUAUUUUACAAAUCAUAAUCAUAAUUAGAAUAUCAAUAACAGAACUCCUAGAGUCCUAGGCCAAAAUAGAACUCUCGACCUUUUAACGAAACCCUGAUAAUAGAACUUCGAUAUCCUACCUGUAAACAAUAUUUCGAAGAACAAAAACAUCAACAUAUCAUAAACUGAACUCUUGUAUCGAUUGUAACCCCUAUUUCACCAAUCCUAAGAGUAAUUUUUUUUAUAUCUCAAACUCAUAUGAGAAAUUGGAAAUUGGAAAUUUCAGACAAAUUUUACAAAGUACACAAAGAAUAAAAAUUCAUAAUAAAAUUCAUAAAUUUAAAAAUUAAAAUUAAAUCAAAUAAGUCACUAACUUUCGUAUCUUGCUAUGUCUUCUUUUAAGGAAAUUUUAAUAUUCAAUAUCAAAUUUCUCAAUUUGCAAUCCAUUCAUUUUACUAACUAUUUUUUAUUUUUGAAUCUUAAUUAAAAAGGAGAGUAUUUGGUACACGGAUAAUAUAUUAUUUUUAUUCCACAAGCAACUUUAAAAAAUUUAUAUAUAUAUUUAUUUUUAAAUAUUUAUUUUUUAAUAUUUUAUUAUACUCCUGUAAGACACUUGUUAACCCAUUGAUUUUGUUGGAGUUUAAAAACUCCACUAACAAUGUACCAAAUAAUUUUCUAAUAAUAUUCAAAAAUCAAAAUUUUGAAAAAAAAAUCAUAAAAAUUAAAAAUAUAUAUGAAAUAUGCGUGAAUUAUUAUAUGUAUUUCAAAAUUUAACGUUUCCGUUAAAUAAUAAUUUAACUCUUUUUAAAAAGUUGAUGAUUAAAUUCAACUCUUUUUAAAGGGUUUAAAGCCAAAUUGUGUGACAUUGUAAAUUUUCUUUGGUGGCAUAGGGGUAUGGAAGGAAAAAUAAUAAUUGUGUGACAUUGUAAAUUUUCUUUCACUUCACAUGGAGGUUACCAAAAUGUUAAUCCAAACUGCAGAGCUAUGCCAUUUUGUACGUAAAAGACUUGCUAGCUUUGAAUGGGUAAAAAUAAUGUGAGAGUAACUUUAAAUAAUUAUAUAAAACAUACUAUUUUUUUUAUUUUAAAGAUUUUUCUUUUUUGAGAUUUUCUUACCUAUGAAAUUAAAAAAAAUAAAAAAUAUCUUUUUGAUAUUGAACAAAUUGGUCACUCUAAAAGAAAUAGAGUAGUUUAAUCCUUAUUAAUUUUGAAAGUAACCACGAACAAUUAAUCAAGCGCUAAUAGUUUAUGUUAAUUAUACAUAUUUUUUAUUAGUAUAAAAAUAAAUUUAAUCCUUGAUGAUUAUAUAUUUUACGUAAAUGUUGAUAGAAUCACUACACCAGAAUAGGCCUUUAGCGGCACUUUUAGCGGCGUUUGGAACAAAAGCGCCACAAAAAAUCGAGCAUUAGCGGCGAUUUAGUCAAAGCGCCGCUAAAGGUAGACCAUCAGCAGCGAUUUCCAAGAAGCGCCGCCAAAAAUAGGAAUUAGCGGCGUUUUAUAUAAAGCGCCACAAAAAACCUAAGACCAACGACGUCGUUUUUGCGAUUUUUAAACCUUUAGUGGCGUUUUUAUUUUAGCGCCGCUAAUUCUCCGAUCUUUAACGGCGUUUUUAUCUGAGCGCCACUAAUGUUCUGGCCUUUAGCGGCGUUUUUGUCUAAGCGCCGCUAAUGCUCGUAUCAUUAGUGGCGUUAUUGUCUGAGCGCCACUAAUUCUCUGUUCUUUAGCGGCGUUUUUUCUAAGCGCCGCUAAAGUUCGUGUUUUUAGUGGCGUUUUUAUUUGAGCGCCACUAAUACUCUAGCCUUUAGCGGCGUUUUAUAUGUAAGCGCCGCUAAUGCUACCUUUAGCGGCGUUUUUGCUGAAGCGCCGCUAAUAGUAACAAAAAUCUUAUAAGUUGAAAUAAUUAAUAUUUUGUUCUAUUUAUUAUAUAGUCAUGGUACAAUUUACAUAUAAAUUAUAAUUAACAAAUAAUAUUGAUUAAUACAAAAAGUUUUUAUUAAAUAGAAGUCGUAUAUAUAUAUAUAACAGCUAACUAUUUAUUACUAAUUUUCAAUCACAGUUGAUUUAAACUACUUUACGAGAGAAAAUAUAUUAAAUUAUGAAUAAAAUAAAAUAUAAUAAAACUUAAAUUUUUUUAUUGCAAAGAAUAAAUUAAAAAUAGAAUUAACUUUUAUAAGAGUAAUAAAUUUUGGUAGUACUGUUCGACCAAAUAAAUGAAAGGAAUUAUAAAACACCAAUUUAUACAAAAUAUAUUUUAACAAUUAAUUAUUGUUUAAUCGAUUUUGACUAUAUUUUAUGAUUAUAUAUAUUAAAUAUUUAUGGAAUUUUUUUUAUUGACGGUAUUUUAAGGAGGACUGGGUAUAGAUUUAAGGUUUGGGAUUUAAGGUUAAUUUAGGGUUGGAGGUUUAGGGGGUUUGAGAUUUAGGGUUUCAACGGUCAUGUUAGGUUUAAUUUAGAUUAGUAUUAGUUUUUGAUUAUUUUUUAUGGUAAAUAUAUAUGUUCUUAUAUAUUUGUAAAAUAUAGAUCUAGAAUAAAUUUAAUAUAUUGAAUAUUAAUAUAAUAGGUAGAUCAUCAUGAUGGAUUUAUGCAUGUCUAUUGAUUGGUUAAUUUGAGACUUGUUAAAUGAUACAAUUAAUUAUCUUGUAUAUUUAAAAACAUUUAACCCUAACCAUUUGAUUUUUUUGAUAUAUAUGGCUAUAGCAAUAGCAGAUGCAAAAAUAUCGAUACUUAAGUUCAAAAAUGGUAAAACUUAUAUUUAGAUCGAUCCAAACGAAAAUUAUUGUCAUAAAGAUAAUUUGCUACCAUAUUUCAAUGGUCAGGGGGUUUAGACGGUCAUGAUAGGGUUUCUUAAUAAGAGGUUAAUAUUAGAUUGAUUAAUUUUUACGGUAAAUAUAUAUAUGUUCUUAUAUAUUUGUAAAAUAAAUCCAGUUAGAUGAAAUUUAAUAUAUUGAAGUUUAGUAUAUAGUUUAUAUUAUAAUUAAUAUAUAUAUAUAAUAGCCUUUAGCGGCGUUUUAGUCAAAAAUGCCACAAAUAUUACAAUAUACGGCGUCGUUUCGUGAAUUAGGGAAUCAGAUUCUAUUGUGGCGUUUUAUAGGGAAGCACCGCUAAUAUUCUUGAAACUGUGUCAGAACAGCGUCGUUUCAGUUGAAUGAUGUACUCUAUUAGUGGCGUUUUAAGGGAAAACGCCGCAAAUAUGUCUACAAUUUUGUGAAAACGUCACCGUUUCUUUCUGUAAUUGAAAAUUUAGUGGCGUUUUUUCCCGUAGCACCGCAAAAGGCAUGCAAUAGCGGCGUUUUUACGCAAAACGCCGCAAAUGUAACCUAUAAUUAAUUUAAACGGCGCUGUUUCUUUAAAGGCCAUUUAACCCGUGUCCUCAUCCUUUACGAACUUAUUAUCGAAAAAAAUGCAUUUUCUAUACCAAAUUUUAUAAUAAAAAAUUGUUUUUUAUACAAAGAGACAAAACUUGUUGUACCAAGUUUAUUAUAACAAAUUUCAUCCAUUUGUUAAGAGGACAUUCGAAGCUUCAUACGAAAAUUUGUCAUAAAGAUAAUAUUGCAUCCUUAUUUCAACUUUAUACAAUAUUUUUAACUAUAUAUAUAAGUUAUUAUAUUUUAAUAGAUUUUCACUAUAUUUUUUUUAUUAAAGAAUAUUUAGGGAAUAUUUUGGUCGAUGCAUGGUAUUCUAAGGAGUACGGGCCGGUAUAUAUGAAUUUAAGGUUUGGUAUUUAUGGUUUAGGGUUUAAGGGCUAGGUUAUGCUUUAGGGGUUACAGACGUGAAUUUAAGGGUUAAGGAUAAGGUUAAUUAGGGUUUAGGGUUUAGUGAGGGUUACAGAUGUUUUAGGGGUUUGGCCAGGGUUUAGGGUUUCUUAAUAGGUUAAUAUUAGAUUGAUUAAUUUUGGAGGUAAAUAUAUAUGUUCUUAUAUAUUUGUAAAAUAUAUAUCCAGAAUAAAUUUAAUAUUAAGAUAAGUUUUGAGUAUAAUAGGUAGGUGAUCACUUUAUGCAUGUACGUAGCUACAUAAAUUGAAUGGUUAAUAUGAAGAUAACAAGGUUAAUUUAUAAUUUGAGACUUGUUAAAUGAUACAAUAUAACUAAUAAUAGUUAUAACUGGCAAAACAUUUAACCCAAAUUAAUGUCCAUUUGAUAUAUUUUUACUUAUAUAUGGAUAUAUAUGAAUAUAUAUGGAUAUAUAUAUAUAGUUAUUAAUUAUUUAAUUUGUAAAUAUAGGACCAAAAUAAAAUUGGUAUAAAUAAAUAAACAAAUAAAUAAGUUAGUAAUUAUUUAUUUGUUAAAUAAAUUGGUAAUUAAUUAUUUAAAAGUAAGACAAAAAGAAAAUGAGAGUUUUAGCGGCGUUUCUAUAUAAAAACGCCGCAAAAGGUAUCCUUUACCGGCGUUUUAGUCAAAAACGCCACAAUUAUUGCAAUAUACGGCGUCGUUUCGUGAAUUAGGGAAUCAGAUUCUAUUGUGGCGUUUUAUAGGGAAGCGCUGCAAAACUUACAUAACUUAACUUAAACGGCGCCGUUUCGUCAGCGGACAAAUUCACUUACAUCAACCCUUAACAAAAUUCACUUACAUCUCUGCCUCUGUCCUCCAGUUACAGCUACCCUUAACAAAAUUGCAGAGAUUAGGUUUCGAAAUUUUCUAAGUGUCGAAAUUACAGAAAGAAGUGUGUAAAAACUUAUCACGAAAAAUAGAAAGGGAAGAAAGGUGGUCGGAGUCGAUCUUGAAAGAUGGUGGGCACAGCUGCGAGAUUUGUCGAUUGAAUAGGUAAGCCAUUUCUGUUCUUUUUCGAUUAAAUUUUUGGGGUUUUAGGUUAGUCUAAGUUAUUUGGGGUUUUAGGGUUUCGAUUAAACAACAUAAUUUGUGGGGAAUCAUUAGAUGAUGGGGAAUAGGUAAGACGUCUCUCGUCUUGGAACUGUGUUUGAAUUUAAGGGGAAUUUUACUCAUGUCUUUGCCAUCCAUUCUUUUUCUUUUACAGAAGAAAAAAGUGGAAUUUGUUUGAACUGGAACAAGGCAAGAACAAGAACAAGGCAAGGCAAAGGUAAGGCAAUGGUGUCUGUACAAGCCCAAUUUUCAUGCCCGGGCCCAAUUAACCUCUAGCCCAAGCAAAAACAAAACACAAAACCUGUUAACAAUUGAACCAAAACCAAUUAACUUACCCAACUAGCCUAACCCGGAACCCAAUUACAAACAGACCCAAUUACCAUUAACCUAACCUACCCAAUCCAUUACAGAACAGGCCCAAACCCGAGGCCCAAUGUCUUAGCCCAGUAAGCUAACUGCCAAAACUAGGGUUUCAGAAAAUCUGAAACCCUAGCGCCGCACCUGCUCCUGGCCUCCUCACCUGCCCUCUGUUCACAGCCGUCACCACGCCCACUUGCCCCAGACCUACCGCCACUCCUCUGGUAGCCACCAACUCCACCGCCAUCGUCACAUCACCUGCAAAGAAGAUGGCAAACACGCAAGCAGAAACGAAGACAAACUCUAUUUCUUUCUUUCGGCUAUAAAAGGCCAGACCUAUUAUGUUUAAGGGGCUUGAAUCUUUCUUUGUAAAAAAAAACGCAUAUCAGAAUCAGAAAUCAAGGGAAAUAAAAGAGGUUCUUGUUUCUUAUUCUUUUUUUCGAUUCUAUUUUUUAUUUUAUUUUAUCGUUUUACAAAUCUUUUUAAAAAAAAAACUAUUAAUCAAAAAGAAUAAAGAGGGGCUUACCGAAUGCCUCGUGACCGCAUCGUCGGAGGGCCGUUCUCCGUCAUCAGGACCGAUUUCGGGAAGGGAUUGUGAGCCCCAGUCCCGGCGCUCGUGGGGGUUCAAGGACCCGACUCUCAAGUCGCCUGGAGGCAGGGCUUUUAAAAACCCUUUUGUUGUGCUUCUUUGGCCGCCGAUUUCGUGGCGGUACGGCGGACGGACGGUCAGCGGUGAGAGCCCAACCGUUGGAAGGCAUAGGGAAGCUUUGAGAGCUUUCUGCAGUUUUUUUUGUGUGGGAUGGGGAAAAAAUGAAAAAAAUAAAAGAAAUGGGUGCUUUUAUAGCAGUAAUAAAACGGCGCCGUUUUGGCCCUUAGGAUCCGCACGCGACCCGACCCAUUCCAGGGGAUCCGUGUGUUUCCGUUCAAUGGGCUAUUUGCAACCCAGGUCCUCCGCUUUUAUGCUUGUCUUCAAUUUAAUCCUUUCACCCUUUCGUUGGCAUUUAUUAAUUUGGCCCCGCAGUUUUUGCGUUUAUUUCAAUUCGGUCCUGAAUGAAAUGACGGGCUAGAAGUUGGGGAUAUUCUCCCAAUCGGUCCCUUGCUCUUGCAGCGCAUUUUAUUGUGGUCCAUGGGAGCCCUUUUCUAUUUAUUUGCACUUUAGACCCCAUGUUUUGUUUCUAAAUUCAGUUUAGUCGAUUUGUUUAUUUAUUUUAGUUAUUUUAUUAAUAAUGUUAAUAAAUUUGAUACUAUCAUGGUUAUUAUUAUGUGUAUUACUGUUGUUAUAUGUUAUUUAUAUUAACUUAUUUUAAUAUCAAAGAUAUUUGUUUUUAUAUUGAUAUUACUAUAUUUAUAUUAUAUUGAUAUUAUUUAUAUCUUUCUUAUUUUUCAAACUUUGUUACAUGUAUAUAAUGAAUAUAUCUAUAUACAUAGAUUUUUUUUUACUCGUGUAUAUACAUACAUACAUAUUUAUCUUUGGUUUUAUAUUUCUAAAAUACAUAUGUACAUAUUUACACUGUUUUAUUAUAUAUAUACUUUUAUAUUUUAUAAUUUUAAUCUUUUUGUUAUUUACUUAUUUAUUUAAGUUCUCAUGAUUAUUUUAAGAGAAUGUUUUAUUUUUAUUUGCUUAUACAUUUGUUAUUUUGUGAGUUGUUGGUUUGUUCUUUUAUUUAUUUUAUUUUGAUUGCUAUUGCUCGUAUUUUUUAUACUUUUUAUACUUUCAUAUUCAUUAUGGUUUUACCAUGCAUAAAAAAUGUAAUUUGCUUUCGUAUUUUUUGUUACGGUUUUCGUGUUUUUUUAUUAUACUCGAUUUAACAAAAUUGGUUUUGAAUAAAUAAUAUUUCGUGUUUAGAUUCGAGAAGGUCGUACCCUAACUUACUGGGUUUCGAUUUUCACGAUAAAUCUAAAUGUAUGAAUCUUUUUGAACUCAAAUUUUAAAUGAUCUCGAAAUUUAAGAAAAGGGGUCGCGUCCUAACUUACUGGUUAUGAUCUCAUUUUUAAAUUCGAGAUGGCCAAAAUUUCUUAAAUAAACUUUCUCAUCCGCGUAUCGAAAAUUCGAGACAUUGUGUCCUAACUCACUGGAUAUGAUUCUCCUUCUCGAAUAACGUGAAAUAUGCCCCUUUUUCCUGAAAAUUUUCAACGUUUUAAUACAAGGAUCGUAUUUUUAAAAUUCUUCAAGGUUCUCAAUUUUUGACAUUAAGACAUUAAGUAAUCAACUAGGUACCAAUUUUGGGCGUAUCGAGGGUGCUAAUCCUUCCUCGUGCGUAACCGACUCCCGAACUCGUUUUUUUCUGAAUUUCGUGGACCAAACUUGUUGUUUUAAUAAAAUCAAACCGUUUAUUAAAAACAACCAUUUUUCGAGGUAAUCCAAUCACACCUCAUAAAAAAGGAUUGGUGGCGACUCCCAUUCCCGUUUCUUUUUUCAAAACCCAAGUCGACCCCAUUUUCAUCCAAAAAAAAUGGUAUCAACAGUGUCGAUGGCUUGAAUUGAAUCUGUCCAUGUUGUAUUGAAAACAUUGUCGAAGACAUGAAUGAGACAUGCAUUCUUAAUAGCUAGAGAAAUGAGUAUAAAAGUGAAGGAGAAUAAUAGAGUGAUUAACAAGUUUUAGACUUUGAUUUACAAGGAUCUUCACAAUUCUUUCUGCCAAAACUCAAUUUGUGUUUUUGGUUUAUAAAAGGCUACAAACUGCCAAAUUAAUUAUUUCUCAUCACCCAAUUGCCUCCGUUUUCUUUUCCAGAUAUAAUUAGAAUGGUUUUAACCCACUAAUGAUUUCAGGUGAAGAAUAUGAUGGUUAGAUUUUGGUGUGAAUUUGACGUGUUUUAUUUCUUUGGUGUGAAUUUGACGUGUUUUAACCCACUAAUGAUUUCUCAUCACCCAAUUGCCAAAUAAUUUGCUGUUUGCUGUGACUUAUUUCUUUUUAAAGAUGGGGUGAUGUGAUUAUAAUGUAGUAUCAAUGUAGGAAUCAUUACUGAAGUUUUGGGAAAUUAUUAGACAAGUAGGUAGACUAUUGCUGUUAGUUUAAUUGAUUUAAUGGAUUGUUUUUCUGUCAUGUUAUUUUGGGAACAUAUAUAUAUGUUCAAUUUUGGGAACAUGUUAGUUUGGGUACAGUUAUAUAUGUUCAAUUUUAAACCUCUAAUAUCAUCUAAUUCACUGUCAUGUUUCAACAUAUAUUCAUAUAUAUUUUCAUAUAUAUGUUCAAUUUUAGUUUUUUUAGUUUAGCUAACUUUGUGAGUAUAAACUCCUGUUUUUUUAAGUUUUUUGGCUUUAAUUACUUAUGUUUUUUCGGUACGUACUAAUGUAUUUCUGUCUUUUUUUUCCAGGAUUUGCUUCGGAAUUGAGUGGAUUUAAGGUAUUUAUUCCUAUUUUUCUCUAUUUAGGUUUCUUAUAAAAAAAGUCAAAUUGUUAAAUUUUUAUAUGUUAUUAUAUUUUAGUUGUAUAGUUUAAUUAUUAUUUUUCAUUUUUAGAUGGGAGUUUUAAUUACCAUUUUAGCUAAAUUUGCAUUUUACUUUGCAUCUUAUUACAUUUUUUGAUGUCUAAAUUUUCUGCUCAAGAUAUUCGGCAAAGAUCACAUUGUUUUAAACUAUUAAAAUUCGGAAUACAACUCUUAAACAAAUUUAUAUAUUUCAGUAAUUGAAUAAAUUAUGGGCGAAUCGUUUUAUCGGUUUAGCGUUUAUAAAUCAUCGAUUUCCGAUAUUAUGUGUUGCAAUUAUAAAUUUUACUUCAAAUUAAUGAUUAAUUAUCGAUCUUAACUUACAUAAUGGGAAUUCGUUAAUGAUUAAGAAUCUUUUACAUACAAAUAAAUUUGUAUAUUUAUUUAUAUUUUUUAUUAAAAUAAAAAUAUACUUUUUCGAAAUAUAUUUAUUUUGUAAUGGAAAUUCAAAGUAUUAUUUCUUUAAUAAUAAAAAUUGUUUUCAUAAAUAUAAACAAAUUAAUUAUUUCUUGUAAUUCGAAGUCAAUGUUCUUGUAUGAUUGAACUAACAUCAUUUGUUGUUUGAAUUAAUAAAAGCUACAAAAUAUACAUCAUAUCGUAACGAUCUUUGAAUUAUCCGGAGAUUAAAGCUACAAUAUUAUAUUUUAAAUGAAAUGUAUUCAAAGUUAUAUUGAUAUAUUUAUAUACAGUUUUAAUAUAUUAAUUAAAAUUAUAUUGAUAUAUUUGAAAAAUUUAAAGCGUUUAUAAAUCAUAAUUUACAUACAUAACACAUAGCCUACAUGACUUAUAUAAUACACAACUUAAAUAAUUUAAAUAACUUACAUUCAUAACUUACUCAAACUUAUAUUGCAUUUCCUUACAUAAUACAUAACUUAUAUAAAAUUUUUAUAUAAACUUACAUAAUACAUUACUUACAUAUUAACUUACAUAAGUUAUCUACAAGCUUAUAUUUAAACUUUCAUAACUUACAUAAUAGCAUAACAACUUACAUUAUACAUAGCAUACAUAACUUACAUAACUUAAAUAUCUUACACACUACAUAAUACAUAACUUACAUAAUACAUAAUAACUUACAACAUACAUAACAUACAUUAGUUUGAUAACUUACGUAAGUUACAUAACUUACAUAAUACAUAAAAAUAUAUCAUAUCAGAAAUUUUUGAAAUUCAUCUAUGGUUAUAACUGGCGUUUUAACUUACCCGUGCAAAUUAUUGUGAACGUCAGAAUUCAAUAAUUAAGAAAUGGACCGGUCUUGGAUGAAUUUGUCAAGGGUUAGCAAUGGUUAUCGAAAUGGAGUACAGUGUUUUCUAAAUUUUGCAUUUCAACAUGCAAGCCAAGAGAACAUGAUUCUUUGCCCGUGUAAGAAGUGUGUCAACAAAAACUGGCAUUAUCGUGAGGUUGUAUAUGAGCAUCUAAUUGUUGAUGGGUUUGUUCGGGGUUAUAAACAAUGGUUAUUUCAUGGAGAAUGCCCGCGUAGUACUUCCUCUUCAACGAUGGAUGUAUCUUACUCUGGUACUGCUUACCAUCAGUCUGAUAGAGGGGAUGACAUGGAAGGUAUGUUGCGGGAUGCAUUUAAUAUGCAUAAUCAUGGUGUCCAGUCGUUCCCAGCGGACUUUGUGGCUUCUGAUGAAUGUAAUAUUGGGAGAAAUGCUUUUACCGAACCGGGAAGUAGUGUACCUCAUGAAGAGCCGAAUGAAGAAGCGGCGAAGUUCUAUACGCUACUUAAUGACAUGAACGAAGCACUGUAUGAGGGAUCAAAAUUUUCAAAAAUGUCUUUCUGUGUUCGUCUUUUUCAAUUAAAAUGUUUGGGAGGGUGGACCGGGAACUCUUUGACAAUGCUGUUAGAGUUCUUGAGAGAGAUGUUUCCCUUUGCAAAAAUCCCUCAGUCAUGCAAAGAUAUGAAGAAAAUGAUAAAAGAUUUAGGCCUUGGGUACAACAAAAUCCAUAGUUGCCCAAAUGACUGCAUGUUGUAUUGGGGCGAUCGGAGAAAUCAACAGUGCUGUCAUGUAUGCGGCCACUCCCAUUGGGUAAGUAAAAAUACAGAAGGUGGGAACGACGAUGAAAAUGUAACAGCCCGAUUUUGACUCUAAUUGGACAUAGUGGUUUCGGGACCACAAGUCCGAGUUAAAAAAAUAUUUUAAUAUUAUUUCAUGUGUUUAUUAUAUGUUAAUUUACAUGUGUGAAAAUCUCGUGAAUUAAUUUUAUUGUUUGUGUGCUUAAUUUAAUAAAAGGACUUAAUCGCAUAAAAUGUGAAAUUGACUAAUUAAUGUGUAAAGUGCUAACUUGCUAAUGUCUUUAUAAUGUGAAGUCCUUAAUAGGAAAUUAGGCCAUUAUUCAAGAUAGUGGAUCGCAUUAUGCUUAUAAAUUAUAGUUUUUAUAUUAUGUAUAAAGGUUAUAAUAAUAUAUUAUAUUAUAAUGUUAAUAUAUUAAAAGACAAACAAAUUAAAAGCCACAUUUUUCAUCUUAUUUUGACCGAAACUAGAGAAAAGAAAAAGAAAGAAACCUAAGCUAGGUUCGGCCAUCUUUUGAAGCUUAAUUCAAGGUUAGUUUUUGUUCGGUUUUUGAUGAUUUUUACGUUUUUGAGAUCGUUGCUUUGAAUACUUCAAAACCCAUGUCUUAAUUUUGUGAAUUGAUGAAUAUUUUGAAUUAUGCCAUUGAUGAAUAUUUGUGUUUUGGGAUGUUUGAUGAUGAAUAAUGGAAGAUAUGUCUUAGAUUAACAUGUUUUGUAUUGGUAUUUUUGAUGAAUUUGAGUAUUUAGGGCUAAAUUGUGAAAAUAAAUUUUUGAGGGACUAAAAUGUGAAAUAAAUGCAAUGUGUGGACUUGUAUGAGAACCAUGAAUAUUCGGCCCUUGUGUGUUAUGGGCAAAUUUUGUGUAUUUUGUGUUUUGUGCAAAAAGGACUAAAUUGCAAAAAGUGCAAAAUGUUAGGGGAAAAAUGGUAAUUUUCCCAUUUAUGUAUUGUUGGACUCAAAUGAAUGUUUUGAUGAAUAAAAAGGUUAAAUUUGACUAUGUUUAGAUCAAGGAACGAAGAAAACGAAUUUGGAUCGGGGGAAGUCGAAGAUAAUUGAAUAGUCGAUCGUGUUUGCUGAUAUCCGAGGUAAGUCUAUUAGCUAUUUAAUGUCAUAAAAUCAGUAUAUAAAUAAGUAUAUGAGCUGUUUUUGGAUGAAUUAUAAUUAAAAAUAUGAUAGUUGAAAUAAUUAAAAGUAUGAGUGAAUUAUAUAUAUUAUGCAAAUCUACAUCUAUAUGUUCUCGUAUUGAACUUAGGUAUGCCAUUUAUACAAGUUUAUAAGGGGUUCGACUAUGCAACUAUGCAUGUAUAUGUUCUUGUGAUAAAUUUAAGUAUGAAACUUAUAUAUGAAAAAGGGAGAUUCGAUUAGGUAUGUAUGUUCUUGUAAAGGUUCUUGAACGGGGUUGAAGAGAUGAAAUUAUUAGCUUGGAUUAUCUUAAUGUGUUCGAAAGUACGAUAUUAAUAGUAUGCUUCAAUGUGUUAAGUUAUAUAUAUAUAUAUAUAUUCGGAUGUAUAAUUUAGAUAUUGAGUUGAAUUUGAUGAUUGAACUUUUUAUACCGAUGUGGGUUAAGGAUAUAGUUUAUAAAUGAUUGAGCUGAAUUUUUAUGUGAAUUCUAUAUACCAUUAUGAUAUACAACUCCUAUGAAUUGAGAUUCUUUUGUUAAAGCUCAGUAUCAUUCGGUUUAUCGUUAGUGACAUAAUUCAGACUUUACGUCUAGCAGGCUUAACGUCGGUGAAAUUAUUCAGACUAUAAGUCUAGCAGGCUUAAUGCCGGUGACACAUUUCAGGCUAUAAGUCUAGCAGGCUUAAUGCCGGUGACACAUUUCAGACUAUAAGUCUAGCAGGCUUAAUGCCGGUGACACAUUUCGGACUAUAAGUCUAGCAGGCUAAGAGCCGGUGUAUUGAAUCAGGUUUUAAAACCUAGCAGGCUAAAUGCCGGUGAAUCCGUUUAAAGCAUGUGAUAAUAUACAAUUGAUACCUCUAUGAUUUUGAUUAUAUGAAAUCGAUGUAUACAUAAAUGUUCAAUCACAUGAUUUUAGUCAUAUUAACUUGAUGAGCAUAUAUAUAUAUACAUAUAUUUGGUCUAAGCAAUUGAUAGAUAUGUAUAUAUAUAUAUGUUGCAUUCGGCAUAGGUGAAUAUAUUUAUGUGUAUGCAUUCGGCAUAGGUGAAAAUAAGUGUAUGUAUCUAUGCAUUCGGCAUAGAUGGGUAUAGGUGCAUAUGUGCAUUCGGCAUUUAUGGAUGAUAAGCAUAAAAAUUUGGCUUUUGAUAUAUGUAGUUGAAUAGUUGUAUUUAAAUGGAUUCGAUGAAGUGCGAACAAUAAGUACUCUAGAAAUCAGUAUAUGCUGUUAAGGAUUAUGCUAGUAACUUGAUUAUAUGCAUAUAAUGUAUAUACAUUUGUCCGUUUAUGUGUAUUAGAUAAAUAUACAUCCUUUUAGACUUAAACAAAAUGACUCAAUAAAGUAGUGUUUGAUUAGUAAUCAUAUUUGAUGAUUGUAAUUUCAAUAAAUUUACUUAAAGAAUUAUAUGAUUCUUUUAUAUGUAUUAUAGAUAUGCUGUAGACUUACUAAGCUAUAAAAGCUUACUUUGUUUGCUUUCGUUCAUUCGUUUUUAUAGAUUUUUUUUUUGGAGACGCGUUACGAGCUCGGGGAUCAUCAGCACCGCCCAUCACACUAUCGACUUUUUUUUUGGUAUUUUGUUAAAUAUUUGAACUCGAUCUUAUGGCAUGUAUAGGCUUGAUAAUGUUUUGGAUAAUUUUGAAUCCUAUUGUGUAAAUAGCAAUGCGAAAAGAGUUUAACUUCCAUGCUUGAAUUUGAUUAUAUAUGUUCAUGAAUUGGACUUGCAUUUGGAAUUAGAUAUUAAAGUUAUGUUUAUGUGAGCUUGGUUUCGUAAUGCCUCGUAACCCUGAUUCGGCGACGGAGACGGGUUAGGGGUGUUACAUAAAAUGUUGCACAACCAAGUCAGAAGCCGGUCAAGAUUUUACGAUAUUUUUCGUUGAUACCAAGGCUUCAAAAGCUUUUCAUGUCGUCGAAGACAGCGGAGUCUAUGACGUGGCACCAUGACGGACGAACCGAUGAUGGGAAGAUGAGGCAUCCUGCAGAUUCUUUAGCUUGGAAAUCAUUUGAUAAUAAAUAUCCAAGCUCUGCAAGCGAUCCUAGGAGUGUGAGGCUUGGGCUAGCAUCUGAUGGAUUUAAUCCUUUCAAGAUCAUGAGUACUGCGUACAGUACUUGGCCAGUAGUUCUUGUUCCUUACAAUCUGCCUCCGUGGAUUUGCAUGAAGAAAUCUUCCCUUAUUUUAUCUAUGAUUAUCCCUGGGGAGAAAGGGCCUGGGAAUGAUAUCGACAUUUAUUUACAGCCACUUAUUGAAGAGUUAAAACAAUUAUGGGCUGGUGUCGAGACAUACGAUGUGCUGAGAAAAGAGAACUUCAAUUUACGUGCAGCUUUGAUGUGGACCAUUAAUGACUUUCCUGCUUAUGUCAAUUUAUCCGGUUGGAGUACCAAGGGUCUUACGCGUGUCCUUGUUGUGCUGCACAAACAUGUUCACAAUGGUUGUACAAUGGGAAGAAGUUCUCUUACAUGGGGCAUUGUCGGUAGUUACCAGAAAAUCAUAGAUUUAGAUUUCAGAGUUCUGCAUUUGACGGCACUGAAGAGUUCAGAGAAGCUCCUUCCCAGACCAGUGGCUCUGAAAUCUUGUUCAUGUUGGAAGAUAUGAAUUUCAUUUAUGGGAAGAUGAACCAACCGCCAAACACACAGAGAAACAGAAGAUCAAAUGAUGAAGCUGAUGAAAGCUCCGACGAAGAGGACGAUCCUAAUGAGGCGGACUUGUGGAAAAAAAGAAGUAUUUUUUUUAGUUGCCUUAUUGGGAGCAUCAUCUUUUACGACACAAUCUUGAUGUUAUGCACAUUGAGAAAAAUGUCUGCGAGAACAUUGUGGGUACAAUUUUAAAAGUCGACGGAAAAUCAAAAGACAAUCUUCAGAGUCGACUUGAUUUAGUCCAAAUGGGAAUUCGGCCUGAUCUUCAUCCCAAUCCACUUCCAAAUGGGAAAUAUCGGUUGCCGCCUUCUAUUUUCUCAAUGUCCAAGAUGGAGAAAGAACUGUUUUGCAUGGUGUUGAAGAAUAUAAAGGUUCCGGAUGCGUAUGCAUCAAAUAUAUCUCGAUGUGUUAGUGUUAAAGAGCGAAGAUUAUAUUCGCUAAAAUCACAUGACUAUCACAUCUUGAUGCAAGAUUUAAUGCCAGUUGCUCUACGAUGUUGUAUGUCCAAGAAGGUGACGUCUUGUAUGAUUGAACUAUCCAACAUAAUGAAAGCCAUCUGUGGCAAAGUUUUGGAUGUUCAAGAACUUCAGAAGGUACAGGAUCGAGCCGCUUUGACUUUAUGCAACAUGGAGAAAAUCUUCCCACCUUCCUUCUUCACCAUUAUGGUUCACUUGAUAAUUCAUCUCCCGCACGAAGCAAUUCUUGGCAGACCUAUUUUCUAUCGAUGGAUGUAUCCCAUAGAAAGGUGUUAAAGAAGUAUUUUUUCAAUUUUUCUUCAUUCACCUCUAUGCCUUUAGUUACAACUUUUGAUAAUGUUGUAUAUUGUGUUUAGGUUCCUAUCCAAAUUAAAAUCUUACUGCCGCAACAAGCGAUAUCCAGAAUGAUCGAUUGCUGAAGGCUACUUGGCAGAGGAAUGUAAGACCUUCUGCUCAAGAUAUUUGGAAGAUGUCGAAACAAGGUUGAACAGACCAAAUAGGAAUGCUGGACUCACGGACUAUAACUUAGCCGAUACUUAUUUGUUCCAAAGUUUUGGAAAACCAAUCGGCAAAGUUGAAAUUGUAGAAUUAGAUCAUUUAUCGUGGGUACAAGUACAUCGAUAUGUUCUGUUUCACCACGAAUCAUUGGAACCUUUACGGAAGUAAGUUAUACAAAUUUUAAAAAUAUUUAUCGAACUAAAAAUUGUUUAUCUUCUAACAAAGAUCACAUUUUAUUUAACAUAGUGAGUACAAACAAAUAUUGAGAUCUCGUUCGCGCUCCCGAAGAACACAACAUCGAGAUAUCAAUAAGUUGUUUAGAGAAUCUUUUUAUGAAUGGUUAUGCCAAACGAUAUGCAGUUCGAGCUUUCGCUUACAAAUUAUAAUGAUUUCUCAUAACAUUUUUAAUUAGUCAGUUUACUUUCCAUUCAAUAGGUUUGGAGUGGGAAGAGCGUAAACGACGAAGUUAAAUGGCUCUCCUAAGGUCCAAAUCAAGUGGUUAAAAGAUAUAGUGUGUUCCUCAUCAACGGAUUCAGAUUUCAUACAAAAUAUCGGGAGAGGUUGAGGAGAACGCAAAAUUAUGGAAUAGUUGUUAAUUCUGCAAUUACAAGUUAUGCUAGCGCUAGGGACAAUAAUCCUGUCGAGGGAAAUGUGGAAUAUUUCGGACAGCUUACUGACAUUAUUGAGUUGGAUUACUACGGCAAAUGGAAAGUUGUCUUAUUUCGAGGUGAUUGGGCCGAUGUUAAUACAGCUCGUGGAAUCAAGCAAGAUCAAUUUGGUUUUAUAAUGGUGAACUUUGACCGAUUGAUUCACACAGGACAACAACUGAUAGAUGAGCCGUAUGUAUUCUCAAGUCAAGUCAAACAAGUUUUUUACUCAAAAGAUCCAACUGAUGAGGGUUGGUACAUUGUACUCCGUAACAUCCCUAGAGACUUGUUUGACAUGGGCAGUGGAAGUAGGGAUAACAUCGACGACAGAUCAGAAACUUUGUCAUUUCCAGAACAAAACUUAAAUGAUAAUAUCCCUAGUACUAGUGCACAAUUUCAAUGGGUUCGUCAGGAUACGGAUGAAGAUAUUUACGAAUAAUGAUGUAGUAAGAUUUUACGAAUGUUUAAUUAUAUGUAAUAUCAUCAUUUAUAUCUUGGUCUCGUUAUAUCAUAUCAACUGUUUUAUAUGUGCUGUUAUUGUUGUAAUUAGUUAUUAAGUUUUCAACUAUUUUAUGUGUAUUGCAGAUAAAAUGCCCAGAAGAAAAAUUCUAAGGGGAAGCAUUGUUCAAAAUGAUCCAAACUCGACAGAAACAAAUAGUACUGAACAACAGACAGCAAUUGGAUCUUCGAAUGUUCCGAUUACAGAUGAGGAUCCUACAGAAGUUCAAAGUAAUUUUACAUUUAAUUUACAAGCGUGUUAACUUAUAGUUGAUUUAUCUUUCAAAUUCUUAUAUUAUAAUAUACCAUUUGUAGCUGAAAAUGGAGGGAUGCGCAGAGGUCGAGGACGUACGCUACUUAAAGAGUUAUACGAGUUAGAUCCAGUCGAGCGUGUCAAGGUAUGCAGAAACAGUUUUGGUCAGCCUGUUGGAUCAGAAGCUUGACUUUUAGUAGGAUACAUGGGCAUUUUAGCACGAAAUGUGAAUAUGUUGCCUAUCAACUACGAGUCAUGGCGUGAAAUGCCCGAUAGCAACAAAAAUCAAGCCCUCGAUAAUAUUAAGGUAACAAAAUGUUAAUGUCAUCUGUAAUGCUUGGGAAAUACUUUCUUUUAUAUUUACUUUAUUAACUUGUGUUUUUUGUAGGCGAGGUUUGCUUUAGAGGUCUCCGAUGCUUAUGUAAAGAUGGCAUUGGGAAAAAGAUGGAGAGACAAUAAAAGUACGUUGAAAAAAAAUUAUUAUAAGACAAAAACAACCCUCGAUGAGAAAUUGCAAAAUGUCCCGCCGGGUAUGUUGAGGUACCAAUGGGAAGAUGCGGUUAGAUUUUUGCAAUCGAAGAAAGGCGAGGUACGACGUACUUCCAAACUAUUGUAAUUAUUUUGGUUUAUACUAUUUACUAUUUACGUUCUAAAAAUUUUAUAAUGUAGGAUUGUGAACGAGUUGGAAAAAGUAGCCGGCAGCAACAAAAAUUCACUCACACAGCCGGGUCAAGAAGUUUUGCAUGUGUAGCUGAGGCGGAGGUAUUUCUAAUUUUUUAAUAUUCUCAAAUAUGUAUAACUUUCUAUUAAAUAAUAUUUUUACUACUAUAUUGUAGGAACGGGCGUCCGGUCAAAAAGUUGGACGCCUUCAACUUUUUGAAAUUACACAUAAGAAGAAAGAUGGAUCUGCUAUGACUCUUGAAGCUGGUGAAAUUAUGGUACGUUUGCUUAAUACGAUUUGACUUGUUUUAGUUAUUUAUAGUGUUUCUUUACUAAUGGUUUAAUUUAUUGCUUUUAAUGCGACUAUUGUUAUAUUGCAUUUGUUUUUUUUAAUAUAUAUUGUGUUCCUAACUAUGUGAUUUAUUUAUUAGGAAAAACUAAAGGAUAAAAAGACGGAGUACGAAGCGAUUGCGUCUACUGAUAGUUCUAUUCAUCUUGAAGACAUUGACAACCGGAUUAUUACUGAAGUUUUGGGUCCAGAAAAGUAUGGUCGGGUUCGAUUUCAAGGAUCUUUUAUCAGCCCAACCCAAUAUUUUGGAACCAGCUCGCACCAAUACAUGGCUUCGGGGAGUCAAUCUCAAGCUGAAGUUCAGAGGUUAAAAGACCAGAUGGCUCAGAUGCAAGCGACCACAUUUGAGGUUCAAAAGAAAUAUGAAGAACUUCAGCAACAACUUAAAACAGAGGCGGCAGCGAGGGAAGCAGAGGCUGCAGCGAGAGAAGCAGAGGAUCAAAAGAAAUAUGAAGAACUACAACAACGACUUCAAGCAGAUGCGGCAUCGAGAGAAGCAGAGCAGAGCAGAAAGUAUGACGAACUUCAACAGCAACUUCAGAUGAUGAUGAAGAUGUUUCAGCAGUCGCAACUUCCGCCUCCAUAAUGUAUGUUUCAUAAAUAUUUUAAUCAUUUUAACAUUUAACGUUUUUGUAAAGAAAAGUAUGAAUUCAUUUUUAUAUAUUGAUAUUAAUAUUAUUUUAGUCAUUUAAUUUGAAAUAUUAUAUAAAUUUAUUGUUUUUGGUUAGUUUAGAUUUGGUUGCUUUUAUUUUGUUGUUGCAGGAGGGCAGAAAAAAACAAAAAAAAUUUAUUUUAAAAAAAUCCCAAAAUUAGUGGCGUUUUUAAAAAAAGCGCCGCUAAAAGUUAUAUCAUAUAGUGGCGUUUCUGAAAUAAGUGCCGCUAAAGCACACUACUUUUAGUGGCGUUUGUAGAUAAAGCGCCGCUAAAGAAUUUUACUUUUAGCGGCGUUUAUUCCCAAGUGCAGCUAAAGAUCAUGUAAUUUAGUGGCGUUUUCUAUAAGCGCCGCUAAAGAUCAUGGUCUUUAGCGGCGUUUGUUGCACAAGCGCCGCUAAAGAUCAUGAUCUUUAUUGGCUUUUUUUCUAAGCGCCGCUAAAGAACAUGAUCUUUAGUGGCAUUUUUUUCCUAAGCGCCGCUAAAGAACAUGAUAUUUAGUGGCGUUUUUUCUAAGCGCCGAUAAAGAACAUGACCUUUAGCGGCGUUUUUUCUGUAAGCGCCGCAAAAAGUUAGCGGCGAUAUCCUUAGCGGCAUUUUUUGUGGCGCAUCCACAAGCGCCGCAAAUUCCUUUAGUGGCGUUUAAAAGCGCCGCUAAAAACCUGUUCUGGUGUAGUGAAUGUGUAAUUAUUACGGGUUAAAUCAUGAUUAAAUUGACGAAAUGUGCAAAUAUUGUGGGUUAAAUUUUUUAAAUUAAUGACAAUUUGAUAGAAUGUUUAAACUUUGAAGGCUAAAUUUAUCAUUAUACCAAGAAAAUUAUGUAUAAUUGAUGAAAAAUAUUAACGUUGUGAUUAAUUGUCCUUAAUUUAUCACUUUCAAAAAUAGAAAUAAUUCAAUAACUCAGAUAUUUUUAAAAAUACCAACUUUUUCAAUAUCGAAAUUGAAAACAAUUAGAGCCACAUGUUUUAAUAUAUUUACCGAAAUUGGGGUAAUUCUGAAAUCAAUUGCCAUUCUUCAUUUUAAUAUAUUUCAUAAUUAGUUGCUUAUGUUUUUUUUUAUGGUUUAUGCACGCACUGUGUUUUUUUUUUUUUUUUGCAACAAUGAGUAACAUAGACAAUAAAUAAUGAAAUAUUAAGCGCAUAAUACAAAUCUCAAAUAUGAAUUAUAAAAUGGAUAUAAAAUAUACAAAUAAAAAUAUCAGAUUAAUCCUCAUAUUUUUUUCCCUCAACAAAUAAAAUUCAUUAGAAAUUAAAGGGUGUUGCUUGGAGCAAAGCAUCAAAACACCUUAAGAACCAAUCCAUAACCAAAUGGACAGUUACACUAAUAAACCAUAAACUCUAUGGAUUGGAACACUUGGUUAAUUAUGGAUGAAGGCCAGCUUGGAAAUUCAUACUUGAGACCUGCCAACCUUGCAACGUAUAAGCGAGACAGUCAACCGUAAAAUCAGAGGAUCAACAACCAAAUGGCAACAAUCAGUAAAGCCUACAACUGAAAUUUUAAAACUUGAUCAGAAUCCACUUAACAUUAGGCCCUGUUCUUCCAUCAGGCAAAUACCAACAACCCAUUGAUUCAAUUUCGGCCGUCUUUUCAGAAUCAGCCGUAUCAUUAGUAGAUAAUUGCCUACUUUUAUCCCUCAUUAAGGAAUAAUAUAUAUAUUAUAUUUGUAAAGAUACUUGAUAGCUUUAUGCUGACAUUGAUAUGGUGGCAAAUCCUUAAAACAGGGGUCAACCUUACUAGUAAAAGUUUACAUGUUUGUAGCCCAAUGCCAUGCAUGAUGCACUUGAAAUUCAAUUUUGAGGGUAUAAUGUGAAAUGGAACAGUUCAAAUAGUAGUUUUACAAAAACUGAAAUAACCUUUCACAUUUUACCAAAAGUUGCAGCCUCGUACUUCAGUAGAGCAACUCAACCUACAAUGAAAAGGGCGUCUCUAUGGUCACUUUAUAAAGCAUUAGUUUAAGCCAUGAUGAAAAUAGAAGAGUCAAUUACCAUUUGUUUUGAAUUCAAACGAAAUUGAGCUUUUCGCAUACGCACCCAAACUUAUUUCCUUAUUCCAGCUUGGGCGACCGAUCAGUAACCUCCGUCACCUCAGAAUUUUGCACAUUCUGUGCAUGAUCAUAACAAACCAAGAAUUGUUCAAUUAACUAUGUAUGUAUGUAUGUAAAAACACAUGAAUUUAAAUCCUUUAAAUGAUUUGUACCAUUUCAUCGAACAUAUGUUUUAUGGUAGUGUUAAGGUCGCCUUUCCACUGCAGUUCACCUUCCUCAUCUCUUGUUAAGUGCAUUUGUUCCAGCCUUGGUGUGCUUAAAUCUCCUUGGCAGAAAUUCCUCAUUUGGGGGCACUUUGUCACCAUCACCAUUAGCAAGACUGGGAAUUCCAACGAGUGAUGGGCCAAGGAAAAGCUUGCUAGACAUGGCAGACAACUUAGCUGCAAAUACUUCAGUUUGGGAAAUACAAUGCCGCCUUGUAUUUCUUCAGGCUCACACGCUAUGAUUUCCUCUAUCAUCUCACAAUCAUCUAUGCUCAAUCUUUCCAGUAGCCUCAGGCACUUAGCUGUUGAGCAUGCGACUAAAUUGAUGAACCCAUGGCAUCUUGAAACUUCCAGUGUUGUUAGAUUUUUGAAAGACAGCAAAGAUGGUUCAAAAGUCUUUAACGUCAACUCUGGAAGUUGAGACAAACUUAAUUCCUUUAGCUGAUAGAUUGCUGAUGUAUGCCUUUCCUGGUCGCUGAGUCCUUCAGAUUGUACUAUUUGACAAAUGGAAGCAUUGUCUAUAACAAGCUUAUGAAGGAUUGGUAGAGACCGAAUGAAGGAAUACGGAAGAGUAGUGGAUGUCUUGGGAAAGAAUUGGAGGUUAAGAUGCUUAAGGUUUUGGAAACACUGUAAUGAGAGUUGUCCAUCACAUAUCCCCUUCACCAUAUCAUUCGUCUUCAGUGUUAGUUCUUCUAAUACAGGGAAAGUGUCCUGGAUGGCAACGAAUAUAUUAAACAUCGAUCAAAGAGUUUUCAAUUAGUAAGAACUAGACUACAGAAUGAAUAUAAUUUCCAUUUUCUUUCUCAUAAAUUUAAAAGGAAGGUGAGAAUAUUAGUUAUUUCAAAAGGCAUUUUAUAGGUAAUCUCAAGUAAUGAACAUGGAGUAUGAAACUGUUAGUGAGCUCACCUCGUUGACGCAAAACAAGGGUUGUUGGUUUGAGAUUCCAACCUGACUCUCAGGACAUUUUGGAGUAAAUAUCUGUACUUUGGGACAUUCAAUAAUGUCCAUUUGUUUCAGUGAAGGCCACUGGGUGGUAUGCAUCCUAGAGUAGAAACUUUUCAAUCUCGGCACCUUAUCCAAUCCGAGGUUUAUUAGUUUGGGAAAUACAAACUUGGUCGUCUCUGUUUCAGCCAUAAUAGAUUGAGCAGCUGAUGUUGAAUGUGACUCAUCAGCAAUGACUCCUUGCAGCUCAAUAAUUUGUUCUAACGAAUCACAAUUCUGAAUCCGCAACUUCUCCAAACUAGGGAAAACAACCUGCUAAAUCAUUUCAUUAGGUUAAUAACUGAAAUAUGCAUGGAAAAGAAAGAACUUCAAACGAGUAAGAUCAAUCGAAGCAACAUAAAUUAAAAGGAGAACCCGUAAAGAAAUGACCUUUUCAUUGAGGAGAGAUGGGUUAUGAACCUCCAAGUUACUCGCUUGUACAUGUUGGCCAAUUUCAGGUUCAUCUUCAGAUACACAUUUAGUGAUGAAUGUUUUUAGCAAUAGACAAUUUGUUAGUUCUAAAUCUGUCAAACAUUGGAAUUCAAAGUAAUUUUCAAAGCAGAAACUUGUGAGUUUGGGAAGGUCUUUUAGCCACAGCAAUUCUAGUUCAGAGAAAGACAUCUGAUUCCUCCCUUGAUGUUCUUCAACCAAUCCAUCCGUGAGUAUUACUUGUUCCAUCAUAUUACAGUCCAAAAUUUCAAGGCGUCGGAGUUGCACAAGAUCUUUUACCAAGAAAGACGGGAACAGGUAUUUCAAAUUGUGACACCUGUUCACUUGCAAGGUUUUUAGGCAUCCGACAGAUGGGGAGGAUGGGUGGUGCCAUAUCUCAUGAAUGUUAACGAAGGACAAUUCCAGAUGCUGCAAACGAGGAAUGACAACCUGUUGACAUAAAUUUCAUUAUAAGAUAACAUCAUAACUCUUCCUUCUUUACUCACAUAUUUAUGUAGUUUCCAUUACUGAUUUACAUUAAUUACUUAAGUUAUUUAAUGAGUUACCUUAAAAAAGAGUUAGGCAUAGAUAAUUUAUUUAACCCUCCAAUUUUAUAAAAAAAAUUUUAUUUUAGCUCUCUAUUUUAAUUUUUAUUUCUUUUAUCCUUUGAACUUGUGUUAUUUGUCAAAUCAUUCAAAGUAGAGAAAAAAAAAUUGACAUUUGUUAACUUUGCUGAUGUUAUAUACAUUGGAUUGCCUGUAGAUGACAUGUCAACAAUUAAUUUUUAUUUUAUUUUGAAAAUUUUAUAAAAAUAUUUAAAAAUAUAUAAAAUAUUCUAAAAAUUAAUUAAUUGCUAACUUUGCAUACACAUGAAUUUUCACAUAAGCAAAGUUAACAAAUAUAAACUUUUUCAUUCAUUUUGAGGUGAUUUGACAAAAAUGCAAGUUCAAAAGCUAAAAAAGAUGAAAAUUUUAUUUAACAUUAUUAAGCAUUAGUCGUAGCUAUUAUAAAUAAAUAUUAAUAACUUUCGGAUUUAAGAUCUUAUGUUUAAGGGCUUAGAAUUUCAAGUUUAAGAUUUAGGGUUUUAACAUUUAAUUAUAAUUAAUUUUUAUUUAAUUAUGUUUAGAUAAAUUUAUUAGUAUUUAUUUAUAAACCCUUUACUAUAUUUUUGUGGUAUUUACUGAUAAUUGUAUGUUCUUAUUCACCGAUGAUACAUGAAACUUGUGUACCGCCAAUACAUCAAAUAUUCUUCAAAUUAAAAUAGAUGAAGAUUAGUUUUUUAUUUUAUUUUCUAUUAUUAUUUUAUUAUUUAUUGUCCAUUAGUAUUUAACUUUAAAACUUCUCUUAAAUUCUUAUUGUUUAUUAGUAUUCCACUUUUAAGUUUUUCCUUUAUUCUUAUUUUAUAUAUUUAUUUAUACUUUAAACUUCAAAUUAAAAAAUAUUAUCUUAUUUAUUAAUAUUUUUAUGGAUUUUAUUAUAUUAAUUUUUACAGCACGUAUCACGUGACAUUAAUACUAAUAUAUAUAUAUAUAUAUAGACCAGACACACUCAUAUAAAUUAAUCAAAUAAAAGGAAAAUGUGAAAUAAGUUGUGCAGAUAAAUAUUGAAUACUAAACUUACCUUAUUGCUGAAAAAAAUUGCAGGGUUAUCAUAGAUGCCCCCCUCGCCAACCACGUUUUCACUUGCAUCACCACUUCCUCUUGAAACUGAGGAAGAAAAUGUAGUCAUUUUUGGACACUCAACUAUUGCGAUUCUAAACAACUCUGGAAAUUCAAGAGCUUGACUUCCCAAAUAGAAAUUUGUCAAGUUGGAACACAACUCAAUUCUUAUGGAGAAGAGUGCAAGAAAUGUGAAUUUAUCUGUCAUUGCUUCCUCCCUAACCACUUGUUCCAUUGAACUGCAUUCUUUUACUUUUAUCACUUCUAGUUGAUUGAGGCUCAAAAGCAUAGACGAAGUAAAUAUGUAUUUCAAGCUACUACAUUUAUAAAAAUGCAACGAACCAAGGUUUUUGAAGCCCAAAAUUUCUUGAGGGUUUCUAAUCCAUUUUUCUAUUGACUUGGGAAUUGUGUCAGAGAUGUCCAAAUUGUAUCCGUCAUAGAAUUCAUCCUAAAAAAAAAUUUAUAAUAUUAUUCCACUAGAUAGCAAUCACAAAUAGAAAAUGCAAACAAUAACAAAAUAACGAUAAACACUCUUCAAUGAUUAAUGAAGUAUUAAUAAAAUUAAUUGUAUCAGGACAGGAAGAAGCUAACUACUUUUAUGAACUUAUUAAUUAACUUUGUACCUUUUCCGUGUAGAGCUGUUGUAUGGUGGUAUUUAAGUCACUUGCCCAACUCCAUUUCUCACGGGAACUCGACUGUUUUACUCUUUGUAACUGUGGGGUGCUUAAAACUCCUUCAGUAAAGGUCUUUAAUCUAGGACAGUGUUCCACAACUAAUUCUUCCAAACAAGGGAAGUUGAAGGUGUAAUUCCUUGAACAAAAGCUUGUGAGGCUCUGUAAAUAGCUUAGUUCUAAACAUUUCAAUUUACUCACAACUAUUGUCCGAUGGCAGUCUCCCCCAUUUCCCACUAUUUCUGUCAUUUUAGUGCACCACAUCACCCUCAUUCUCGUUAAUUGCACAAGAUUCUUAACCACUAAGGGUGUAACUAAGUUUGUCAUCAUUUGACAAUAUGACACAUUCAAAGUUGUGAGAUUUUGCAAAGAUGAGGAGGAGACUGUAAUAUUUAUCAAAUCAUCACAUUCCCAAACUUCGAGUUUUUGGAGAUUAGAAAGAAUAUGGUCAAACUCCGAAUCUUUCCUCCAUAUAUGAUUAAGAUUCAUGGCACGAUCCAGUAUCAGAUUUCUAAUUGGUGUGAGAGUCCCAACGUCUCCUUUACAAGGGACUACGUAUUUGAAAUCAAAAUCACGAAGCUUAAAACUAUCCAAAUUGUAAAAUCUUCGAAUGAAAGGAAAUAUAGAAGAUCGAGAGCCACCACGCACUUCAAAAACUUUAAUCUCUUGAAACAAGGCUGGUGGAAACUGGUCCAUAUCACCAAAAUUUAAUAACUCAAGUUCCUCUAAAUUGGGAAUGACCUUGAAACCAAUUAAACAUAAACAAGUUAGGCACAAUGUUGAUCUAUAUGCUUAAAAAGAACAUAAGAUCUACAAUUUUGGUGUUUGAUAUUGAUGAUUAAACCUCAACAAAAUCAAUAUUAAAUCAAACUAAUCCAAAAUAGAUGAAUAUUUUGUUUUAAGAAAGCACAAUACCUUAGAAACAAAAAAUGAUAAAAAUAAGCUGAAAGAAGUGCAUAAAAAAUCUGAAUUAAAAUGGAUAAGCAACCACCGUUUCAAAUAAUAUAUAUAUCAACAAGAGAUGGAUGUGACGGUGGCUUAAAUCAUGAAAAGGAAUAUAGUUGUAAUGAUAUACAUACCUCUUCAACCAACAAAACUGGCUGCUCAUUUCCUUGGAUUAAUCUAAGAUGUUCCGAAGCCACUAUCUUUAGCAAAGCAGAACAAUCUGUUUUCAAUUUUUUCAACAGGGGCCAGACUAUUGUAUGUUGCCCUUCAUAGAAACAUUUGAGCUCUUUUAGGGAUGUAACCUCAAGGGAAGACACUUGCGGAAACUCGAACCUCACAGGCUGCUCCUCCACUCCUUCCCCUUUCGAUACAAUCUCCUCCACUCCACAAUUAGUGAUGCGUAAAUGUUCAAGUUGUGGAAGAUGUUGGGCUAUUGACACUGGAAAUAGAUUUUUCAGACUCCCACAUCUCUCAACUCUUAUUUUUCGUAGAUUUUGAAAAGAACCUGGUGCAAAGUCAUUAUGAAACAUCAUUUUCACAUUUCUCAACUUGUUGAUUGUCAUCUUUUCCAACCUAGGAAAUGCAACCUAUAUUUAAUUCGUGCCAGUACAAAAGUUAGCUCAUAUAAUGCCAGACAAAAUAACAAGGACAAAUCAACAGAAUUAUAUAAGAGCGUAAGAGUAAUGAAAUAAAUCACCUUCUCACUGAAGAGAGCGUGCAUGCCGGACUGAUUACUAUUCUGACUAAUGAAUUCUAUUAACUUGGGGCAACGCUCAAUCUUUAGCUCUUUUAACAAUGGGAACUCAAUAUUGUGGUUUCCUGAGUUGAAGAAGAUGAGGUUUGGAAGACCAUCUAUAUGCAGGGAGUUUAAUCGAGGGAAACAAAUCACAUCUUUCCUUCCUUCAUCAAUUUCCUCUGUAAGUAUUAUGUCCCUUAAGCAAUUGCAAUCCUCUAUCUCAAAGCAUUGGAGCUGCACCAGACUUCUAGCGAGAGAGGGUGAUAACAGAUGCUCCAACUUGCCGCAUCCUUUGAUGAUCAAGCUCCUCAAAUUCGUAACCCAAUGGCAUGUCUGGUUGUGCCAUAUUAUUUUGGUGUUAAUUGCAAGCUUUCCAAGUGAUGGAAAACAAAUUGCACAUAUUUACACAAUUAUUUUUAUUCUUUAAAAUCUAAAAGGAGAGGAAAGGGAAAGAUAGAAUGUACAUAAUUUGGAAAUAUGAUUUUAAAUUUUAAAGACAAUUUUAGUUGGAAUUGUUGGUUCCAAUUUCAUUUUCAGAAUUAAAAAAAUUUGUUAGGCAGUCAGUUUGGAUUAGAAAUUAAAUUUCCAUUUGUUUUGAGUUUGAAAUUUAUUUUUGAACCCUGAAAACCAUUAUACAAUAUUAUUUAUUUUUAUUAUUAGAAGUAUUACUAACUAAAAGUUGUAUAAGAAAUAACAAAUAAAAGCAAACAGAUACCUGUUUAUUGAAAAGUGGUAAGGGCUCGGAAAUAAUGGAACACCUUUCGUCUUGAGAGCAAAAGCUAAUGAGUUGCGGUAGAUUUUCAAGUGUGAUGGAGCAUAAUUCAGAAACCCCAAUUUCAUUCAUUGUAAUAUUCUGUACAUGCAUACCAUUUUCGAUGUGAAGUCUCUUUAAAUGUGGAAGAUCUUUCCCAUUAUUUAACUCCACAAGUACGUUCUUGACGCCUUCAAGUCCCUCUAGGUACAAAGCUUCAGUCUUUAUCAGCAACAUUUUCAACCCAUUGUCCAAAUGAAUGUUUGUACAUAACUUGAGCCUCAAUGUUCUCAAACAUUCAUGACUUUGGUACCAUACAAACCUAUUAUAAUCACCUACACAAAUAACGUAUUUGUCCAAAGUUUCAACGAAUCGAUGCUUUGGAAUCAUUUGGGCAUCAGGGAUAUGAACAUAUAAAGUAGAUAGACAAGGCAAAUUGUUUAAUUCGUCAAGGCUUGCAUUUUUCUUCUCAUUUUCAGCUACUCCUUCCUUUUCCCAUUCAACAAAGCUUCCACCCAUAUAUAAUUCUUUUAAUUCAGAUAAACUUGACAAGACAUUUGGUGAGAUGAUUUCGAGUUGUCUACACCGACUCAAAUCUAACAACCUUAAUUGAGUCAAUUGUGCCAUCUCCUUAGGUAGUUCUUUGAUAGCUGACUGAGAAAGGUCAAGGAUUUCUAAAUUCUUGAGCUCUCCUAUGAUGGUUAUGUCAUCAACUGCAGAUUCUUUUAGACACAACAUGCGAAGGUCUGUGAGGUGAAUAAUUGAUUUAGGUAGGGAUGAAAACUGCAUUCUGAACAAAUCUAAGACUUUGAGGCCUUUGGUUUGUUUGAAAAAAUUGGGAGGAAUUUUAACUGCGCCGGCCAUAUGGAAGAAGGAAAGACCUGAACACUCCAUCUCCUUAGGAAGGUUCGCUAUAAUCUGAGGACAACGUAAGCUGACCAGACUCCAGCUAUUUAUUUUCUCCUUAUCGGACCACUCCUUUGGAACAUGAUCUCUCAAAACAAGCAUACGAUAGUCCUUCAAUGCAAUAGCUAAAGCAGCAUCCCAAACAACAU
rnacentral:lncRNA from 1 species